ACCGGAAAACCUCCAUUUGUCUCCAAUUCUUGUGUAAAAGGUAAUAAUUUCCCUUUUUUCCUCUGUGAUUAGAACUUGUAAUCUGUAAUUUAAAAUUGGAAUGUGUUUAUUGCGAUUUUUUCCUUUGUGAUUAAAACUUAGAAUCUGUAAUUUCAAAUUGAAAUGAACAUUCUGUUCAGAAAUAGGGCUUGUUUAUUGUGAAUUUCUCACAUUAAUUUACUAUGUUGUGGCAUUGGGAAUUAAUUAGUUUAUGCUUAAAGUAUUUGAGAGAAGUUUUUAGUAAGAGUUUUAGGGAUCCUUCGCUAAAAAACCAUCACUUAUCUGAUUUUCUGAGUAAGAGAUUUGCAGAGCUUCUAUGGUGAUAUGAGUUAUUUUUUACCUUUUAGGAGAAAUUAGAUGUUUCAUAGAUUUUAAUUGUGUUUGGGAUGUUUUUAUUUAAUUCUAGGGUAUUUGGGCUUUAACGAAAAUUGUAUUGAUAGGGUAGUAGUAUUUAAGACAUUGCUCUAGCUAUUUUUUUUUCUAAAUUUUUAUGUUUUGUUAUUUUAUCAAUUUAAAAAUAAAUUUGUCUUUUAUCCAAAGUGAACCUCAUAUUUUGUUAUUCUUCUUGUUAGCCCUUGUAAUUAUGGGGUUUCAACUACUAUGGCUUAAAAUGGUAUACAUAUCACAAGAUUAAUCCAAAUUUUCUAAUUUUUUUAGAAAUGUUCUAUGGGCUAAUAUUUUACACAAAUAUAGGACCUAAAUGAAACCAAUUUAUCCAUCUUUAUUAUUAAUAAUAUAUUAAAAAAUAAAAAAAGGAAAAAAGGAAAGUGAAUCAUAAAUAAGAUUUGCAUUUAUUAGAUAACCUAUGUAAAAAUUCAAGUGAUUAUAAUCAAAAUUACCUCUUAAUUAUUUUUCUUUUAUGAUUUUGUUCAAAAAUUAUUUCCUCCCGAUUUCUCUCUCACCUUUCAAUCUCUCUUUCCAUUCAUUCUUUCUUUCGUUUUGCAUUAUUUUUCAUAUAUUCAACAUAAUUAUAUAUAUUGAAUAAUAAUAUAUAUAUUAUUUUAAUAAUGGAAGAUUUUGAUAUCAAUUUGUUUAUAUAUUUUAUUUAAAAUAUUGAUAUCUUAUAUAGUAAAUAAUAUGUUAUAUUUGAAACAAUAGUGAUUAUGUAUGAAAGUUGUUUAUGUUUAAGGGAACAAGGAUGAGAAAAAAUUAUUAUGAGUAUAUGUAAUAUAUAUCAUUAAAACAUUAGUUGUUCUCUAAUAUAUUUAAUGUUGAGGAAAAUACUAAAUAUGUUUGCAAUGCAGAGACUUUGAUGAAAGAAUUGAAAAUCGAUGGAAUUGUACGAAAAAAUGGUCGAAUGGAGAUGAUAUGUUAAAUUAGUUUAUGAAUAAUAUAUAUUAAAUAAUACAUUAUAUAUUUUAUGAAUGAAAUGGUAUGUUAUCAACUUGUUAAAUUGGUUUACAUAUUUUAUUUCAAAUACUCAUACUAUAUAUAAUAAAUAAUAAGUUAUGUUUGAAUGGUAGUAUAUUAAAUAUAAUAAAUUGAGGAACUUUGAUAAGUACAUUAGAUAGAAAUUUAUGGAAAAAUAUGAAAAUAAAAUAAUUUAUUUAAAAACUGGAAUAUGAAUAUUGAAAUAAAAGUUUGAAACAACCUACAGAAAGUCUAAUAAUAAGAGGAAAAAACCAGUUCAAUAAGAAAAACUUGCAUCUCUUUCAGUUAUGACCAACAUGUCCACAAUGAUCACAUUUAACACAUCUCUUAAAGUCCAUUUUAGAAAGAAUUCUAAUUUUCUUUGGUCGACCAACUGAACGUUUUACAUUCGGUGGGAGGAUGACAACUUCAAUUUUUGUAUUAUUGAAUAUAUACAGUAGUAUAUUUGUAACAAAUCACAUAAUAUAAAUGUAUAAUGCAGUAGUAUAUACUACAAGAAAAGUGGUCUACGACGACAAUUAUUUUCUGUCGUGAAUAAAAUCCGUGACAGUUAUUUACACUCAUCGAAGCGGGAGUCAUGGAAAGUUAUUCUAUGAUAGUUUUCAAAAACUGUCACAAUAAGUUUUUUCAUGACAGAAAAUAAAUGUCGUUAAUUACUAUUUUAUGAUGACAAAUAACUGUCAUAUUUUAUAUUAUGACAACAAAUAACUGUCAUAUUUUAUAUUAUGACAACAAAUAACUGUCAUAAUUUUCGUAUUAACGACAGUUUAAAAAUGUCACAAAUUCGUUUAUUAUGACAUUUUUUAAAUGUCAAGGAUAUGUCAAUCGUGAUAGUUAUUUUAGAAAUUAAAUAUCAUUGUGCUGCUAUUGACGACAUUUUUUUCCUAUCAAAUAUAGGACAAUCAUGACAAUUUUUCUUAUAAAAAAAUGUCAUUGUUUUAAUAUUGACGACAAUUCUGGAGUGUAACGAACUCAUAUAUUAUGACAUUUAUUUCAUGUUGCCAAUUCCUUAAUUACUAUCGUUUUUCCUUGUUCUCCAUGUCGCUUCGCCAUUACACGAACCAUUUGAAUGACAAUAAUGUUAUAAUGCAUAACACCCAUAUAGAAACAAAUGGUCGACACUUCUAAUAUAAUAUAUGCUAUAAUACAAUUUGUAAUAUUCGUAUAUUUUCAAUCAAGUUUGAAUAAUUUAAAGUAUGUAAAAAAACAAUAUAAAACAUAAAUAAUUUUUUUUUUACUAUAUACAAAUGUAUAUAUUAAUAACAUCAUCUGUGUAUUGCAAUGAUAUAUAAUGAAAUUCAACUACAAUUAAUGUAUUAUUGAAUAUACGUAGUAUAUAUAUAAGGUACUGAAAAUUUAUCAUAUAUUAUUAGGAUUUUAACUAAGAUUUAUGUAUUACCAUAAACUAUUAGUAGUAUAUAAGAAGGUAUUGAAAUUCAAAUAUGAAAGAAUAUAUGAUAAAACAAUGAACUUAUAUAUUAAAGAAAACAUUGAACUUAUAUAUUAAAGAAAACAAUGAACUUAUAUCUGCCACUAAGUACGUAUUAUUAUAUAUAUACAGAUGUAUAUACGAUAAAAUGAAUUAUAUAUUAUCAAAUAUAUGAAGUAGUGUAUAUGUAACAAAUCACAUAAGAUAUAUGUAUUAUGCACUACUAUAUAUAUAAUAAUUAAAAAAAAUAUUGAUCCAUUACAUAAUGUGUGUGAAAUGAUAUAUAAAUUCAGUAUGAAAAAAUUACAAAAAAAAGAAAACUAUGAAUGUAUUAUUGAAUAUAUGAGUAGUAUAUAUAAAACAAAACACAAAACAUAAAUGUAUUAUUUAGUAGCAUGUGUAGAAGAUAAAAUAAAAAUACAGAACAGAUAUAUAAUCUGUGUAUGAAGUGGUAUACCGAACAUGAAACGAAGAUAUGCUACUAAAUGGAAGAAGAAACAACAAUAUUUUUUAGAAGAAACAACAAUAUUUUUUAGAAGAAACAACAAGCUAGGAAACUUUAUAAAUAAUAUAAGUUUUGAAAAAUGAACGAAAAAAUAAAGACAAACCGAUUCAAAAUUACCAAAUAGAAAGGAAAAAAUAGAAUAAAAACAGAAAUCGAAAAAGAAAUUCAAAGUCGGAAUUCACGAUGGCUUGAAAAAAACUUUUGGUUUAAGCAUUAAAUUGAAAAUAGUUAUAAUGAAUGAUGAUUAAAAAUAUUAUUACCACACAAAUUAUAUAAUUUAUACCUAAAUUAUUGCAAAGGUAAUACAUUAAUAAAUAUAAAUAUAUAUAAAUUAAUAAUUAAGGAAGUUAAAAUUAAUAUAAUAAAUUUGGUGGUUGAUAAUUAAGGAAAAUAUUCUUUAACAUUUUUAAAAAUAAUUAUUUUCAAAUAAUUAGAUAAAUUUUAAAAUGAUCCUAAAAUACCACGAUUUUCUACCUACGAUAAUAAUUGAAAAAUUAAGGCAUUUGCAUACUCAAUUAAGACAUUUGUGUAUUUUGUUUUCUCUAAAUCUUUCUAUAAUGGGUAAUUAUAAUUUAUGGUCAUUUUAGCAAUAAUAAUUAAGGAUAUAAUAAGAUUUAAAUUUUUUCGCAAAUAUAGCAAAAUUAUCGGUGAUAGACUUGUAUCAGUGAUAGACUUGUAUUGCUGAUAGACUCGUAUAGGUUUAUCAGUGAUAGACCAAUAUUUGCAACAUGAUCUAUCAGUGAUAGACUCCUAUCAUUGAUAUAAUUUGACAAAUUUUGUUAUAUUUGUAAUUUUUUUAAAAAUGUUGUUAUAUACUUAACUAUUUUGAAUUUAAUUGUUUUGCAACUAUUUCUUCUAUAACUAUUUAAGAUUAUUGGAUCCAAGUUCAAGUCCAAGUCCAAGCCCAACAAAUAACUAGCGCAUGAAAAUCUUAUUAGAGCCAUUACCCCUAGAAAAGAAAAAGUUAGAAAGAACUUAAGGCGAAAAACACUCAAAAUUUAAAGUCUUUAUUAAAUUUCUAGAGAUUUAAUUUGAAGACAAUAACUAUGGACAACAUUUGAAAAAAAUAACUACUCUCAAGCUUUUGAGAUAAGAUACAACUCCGAUCCUCUCAAGUUCCUAAGAUCUAAAAAGUACCAACACUUUUGAAAUUCUUUUAAGUUAUAAAUUCUAAAGAUCGUUAAGCAAUUCAAAAACUUAGAGACCGAUCUAAACGAUCAUCUGGUCUAAAGAUCAUUCAUUGAAGAAAGAUCAACAAGUUCAAAAACCAGUCUUCUAAGAACACUUUUGAAAUUCUUUUAAGUUAUAAAUUCUAAAGAUCGUUAAGCAAUUAAAAAACUUAGAGACCGAUCCAAACGAUCAUCUAGUCUAAAGAUCAUUCAUUGAAGAAAGAUCAACAAGUUCGAAAACCAGUCUUCUAAGAGAUAAACAAGCCUAAAGGUUUGAUCAUUCAGAAAGAUCAUCAAAUCCAAAAGUCAAUUAUUAAAAAGGAUCAAUAAAUUUAAAAUAUUAAAAAAAAAUCAAUAAAAAGAAUCAAAUGAUCAUGUAUUAGAGAUUGCAUUCAUUAUAAUAUAUUAAAAUUAAUAUAAAUAUAAAGUUUAAAAUUCAUAGCUUUAAGUUUCUUCGAAAAUCUUAUCCAACAAUGAUAAAAUAAAAUAACAAAGAUUAAAAUAAGAUAGUUCGGUCCUCCACAUUAAAAAAUUGUAAUUAUUUAACUUAUAAAAUUAGGAAUGAGAUGUUUUUAUAAUUUUUUUCAAAGGUAUUGUAAUAAAUGCUGGAGUGGAGAUUUGAACCUAGGACUUUUUGUCUACAGGAACAUAGAGGUGUCAGUUGAACUAAGCUCAUGUUGGUAAUUAGACUUUUAGAGGAUAAAAAUGGAGAUUUAAUUUGAAAUUAAAUGGUUAUAAAUUUCAAAUAUAAGAAUCAAAUUAUUUGUAGUAAGGUUUAGAUUGUAAAUAGUUAGAAAUUUGAGAGUAAAUCAACUAAAUUUGAAGGAAGGUGUAGAAUAACAUUUUUUUGUGUAUUUCAUUUAUAAAAUAAGCUUGAGUUUAAAUAAAAAGGAGUUUAAAAAAAGAAACAUUUUUUCAUAAGAACAAGUUGGAAAUUUGGAACAUUAUAAAAUUGUCAUGUUAAUAUAUUUAGAGAUAUGGAGCAUGUCAAUGAUUUAUUGAUGCAUAAGACCAACAUGUCAAAUUUUCUAAUCAACCCAACAUAGUUCCAAUAAACAAAAUUCUUAUGUUUUGAACCAACAAAUAAAAAUGGAGAGUUUUAGAAGAUGUAAACACUUAACCUAAUAAUUCCUUGAAUAACAAUGAAUAUUUAUUACUAUUAACCUUUCUUACAGAUCCUCUAGCAAGAGUAAGCGCCCAUGGCCUAAUGGAUAAGGCGUCUGACUUCUAAUCAGGCGAUUGUGGGUUCGAAUCCCACUGGGCGUGCUCGCUUUUUCUUUUUUUACCUUUUUCUGUUUCAUUCCUUCUUUUUUCUAUACAUGGUACGAAAUGUACAUAAUAUUCAAACAUUAAAAAUAAAACAUUUCAAAGUUACAAGUAAAAUCGAAACCAACCUGAUUGAUGUAAACUUAAACACACCACCCCCAUUUGUAUAAACUACAAUCCCACCAUCAUCUCUCUAUUCAUUACUUAUACAAUACAAAAAUCCCCAACUAAACAUUUACAUCCCUAACCAUAUUUGUAUUUCCAUUCCUGUUCUCCUCUUCAUUCUCCCCGGUCAGCUCCUCCAAUGACUUUCCUUUGGAUUCUGGCACCAAUAGAGUAAACAAUGCUCCACAAAGAUUCACACAUCCCAACAGAAUCAAAGCAUUCUUUAUUCCGAUCCCCGUUGGGUAACCCGGAUCCGUCAAUGUCGGAUCCUUACUCUGUGCCGCAUACAAAAACCCAAACGCCCCCACUAUCGCCCCUGCUUUCCCCGCCGCCGCCGAUAUCCCAUGGCACGUCGACCUCAACCUAGCCGGAAAUAUCUCCGCUGGCACUAUGAACGUCGUCGAAUUCGGCCCAAAAUUGGCAAAGAAAAAUGUCAACGAAUACAUUACAACAAACCCAAUUCUGUGAGGUUUCUCCUUCCAAUGAUUGUAAGGAAACGCCAGAGCAAACAUGAAGAUCGUCAUCAUUAUAAAUCCCAUCAAUUGAAUGAAAAAUCUACCCAAGUAAUCAAUUAGAGCCACUGUGAACCAGUAACCGGGAACGGUCCCACAGAGUGCGAUUAAUGUCUGAGCUUUUGCGAUUUUGAAACAUUCUUCUAAUUCGCUCAUCGUCUUCGCCGGUGGAAGCCAUUCAAUGGCUGUGAAAAUGUCUUUUUGGAAGAGGUUUUGGCUGUAAAAAGCUAUGUCUAAAAGAAACCAUGUGGUGGUGGUUCCUAAUAAAUGGAGCCCGUGCCGUUUGGCGAAUUCACGUGAGAAUAAACCGAAACGGUUUUGAUUUGCAUGUGAUUCGGUCGUGAAAUUUUUUUCCUGUUCGUUUAAUUCCAGAUUAACUUGCAGCACUUUCGACAUAUCCGCCGCAGCUUGUUUGGCGUUUUGAGCAACUAAGGCAGUGUAUCUCGCCGUCUCCGGCAUUUUCAUCCGCCAGUAAUAUGUUAAUGCGGCCGGAAUUGCGCCGAACAUUAGAACGAUUCGCCAUACAUAAUCAGCCUCCGGUAUGGUGGGGCGAAUGGGAUCGUUCAUGUAUGGUGGUGCUGGGAAGCGGUUGUUGAAAGCGGCAGACACGAUUAAAGCGACGAUUCCUCCACCUAAAAUUCCAAAGCCUUGCAUUGCGAAGACAGCGGCGAUGAAUGCGCCGCGGGUUUUUUUGUUGGCGUAUUCGGACAUGAUCGUGGCGGAGAGAGGGUAGUCGCCGCCGAUGCCAAAGCCGAGCCAGAAACGGAAGAAACAAAGUGUGGCAAUUACGGAUUUUGGGGAGUGGCUGAAGGAGAGGCCGGAGGCGAUGGAGCAAACAACCAUGAGAAUGAGGGUAAUGCCGUAGACUUUUUUACGGCCGAGCUUGUCUCCGAGCCAGCCAAAGAAUAGUUGGCCAGAGAGGGUGCCGCAGAAGGCGACGCCGUUGACGGCGGCAGCGAUGUUGGGAGGGAGGGAGCCGGGUUUGGAGCCAUUUGGAAUAUGGUAAUAGAUUCGGCCGAGAAGCUUAGUGACGAUGGAGAUACAAAAGAGAUCGUAAGCGUCGGUGAAGAAACCCAUUCCGGCGAUGAUGAUUGCAGUGAAAUGGUACCAUUGGGUUUUUGCAAGAUCGAGUGCGUUUAGAACUCCAACUUGUUGUUGACUCAUCUUUAAGUUUUUGGCUAUGGAAGCUUUGAUUUCUUUAUUUCUUCUUUUUGUACUGAAAUUAGCAAAAAAGAAGAGAAAUAGAAGGUUAGUCACUUCUUGAUUUUUGGCCUAAAUGACGGGAAAUUAUAUAUAUACAUAGAUAUAUAUACACACAUAUACAUAUAUAAUUUGAGCUUGUUCCAAUAACUUUCGAAUCAUUUUUAGUGGAAAUUUUCAUGAAAAUAUUGAUAUUUAAUUGAUAUAUUUGAAAAAGAAAAAUUCUAAUAUGGAUGUGAAUUAAAUAUUUUUAUAGUUUUUAAUGUAAGUUAACUUGUCUAAUAUUUAUAUUAUAUCUAUAUUAUUCUUUUUAUGUACUUUGCUAAUUUCGGUUCAUUAAAAAUCAAUUCUACCUUUCUUAUGGAAAGGUUUGAAAAAUAUUUACACGUCGAUGAAAAUUUAACACUAUACCUACACUUUUGUAAAAAUAAUACUACUACUUUUUAGAGGCGUAGAUUGAUUAUUAUAAUUAUAAAUUAUUAUAGUUGAAUUAUAAAUAAUUUGUGUCUGACGUUUCGUUUAGGAUAUAAUAGUACGUGUUUGGUGUGAAUUUUUUAAAAGAAAAUACUGUAUCAUGUAGCAAAUAAUAAAAAUUAAUUAAUGUGAAAUAGUAAAAUCAAGCAACAUAUUACUCCUAAUUAUAUUUAUCAAAGUUUGAUAUAUACUCAAACGAAGGUUGGCAUCAGCCUAUUAUUUAUAUUAUUUUCAAGUCAUUUACAUUAAAAAUUUGUAGGAAUUUUUAAAGUUCAACUUAAAUGCCAGCUCCUUAGCACAAAUUAUGAAUAAUAUUAUUUAUUUAAACCAUCUUCAUUUGAUUGUGACUUGGGAGAGAUUUACAAUGUUUGUAAUAUUUAAUUUGGAGUAGAUGAAAAGAUAGUGACAUAUAUAUAUAUACACAUAGAACACGACGGUCAUAUUUUAAUGUAUUUUAUGAUCAAGUAAAUAUCUUGAACUGAUUUUAUAAUUGGAAAAAAAAUGAAAGUCUUCAAAUGACAUAUAUAUAUAUAUAUAUAUAUAUAUAUAUAUAUAUAUAUAUAUAUAUAUACUAUCAACAAAACCCAUGAAACGUAACGUCAAACUCAUUUAGUAAACAAUAAUUAGAUUAGCAAACAAAUAAGUUCUAUAUCAAAUGCUUAGGUCACAGUUCAACAACUAAUUUGAUUAAGUUAAAAUGAGUAUAAUACAAUUGAUACAUAAUAUGUUAAUAUAUUAAUAGACUCAUUAAAUUUUGAAUUGAUAUUCUAUUACGAACUUAGAAUUUCAAUCCAUUUGGAUAUAUAAGUUAGUGUGUGAGAAGUUUAAUUUUUUUAUUUUCUAUUUUUGUAAUAAUUGAACUACAACCUUACGUAAUUAUUUAAUUUAUUUGUAGACUAUGAAACUAACCUAAAUUUGUGAAAACUAAUUUUUUUUAACCAUUAACUAAUUAUAGUUAUGAUUAGAAGAUUAUAGAAAAAAUGGUAUAAAAUUAAUAAAUUAAAUAUUUUCAAAUGAAUCAAAUUGAACAUAGUUCAAGUAAGAUUUAAAACCACUAAAAACCACGAACGUAUUGAAUCACCCUACUUUAACUAUACUAGUACUUUAAUUAUACUAAAACAUUCACAAAUGCACAAAAAGGAAUUGUAAGAAUAAAAGUGAGUAAUGAUUUUGAGAUGAAACUAAAUGAUUGUCCAUAAGAGAGAAGAGAGAGAACCUGAAAUUUGUGGAAAAUGAUAGGGAGUGGUGCAGAAGAAAUCCUUGAUGAUGGGCUGAAAGAAGAUGAAGGGAAAAGGGGUGUUUUUAUAAGUGAAGUAAUCGAAAUUCCAGAAAUGCCCCUGCAGGCAUCUCUUGGAAUAUACCAUCUUCACAACCAAUGAUUCAUCAAGUCAACUUCUUCCAAAGUCUCUGUUCCCAUUUUUCUAACCAUAUUUUUAAUUUUGCCUGAUUGACUUAUUUGCAUUUAUUGUUACUCUUUCCGUACAUGUUGUCGAUAUUCCAAUCAUAUCAAAUGGGUAAAACACAUUCCACGUAUAUUAAAAAUCUAAGUUCAACGAAUUAACGUUGUUUUUUAAAGAUAAUUUUAUUCACCUUAGUGCUCGAGUUUGAGAGUAAUUAUCUCUCAGGAUAGAACAAAUUAAUUACCUUUCUUCUAGAGGUAGCACCACGUGUAGAAGAUCAACGAACAAAACUUUAUGUUCGAACCAAUCUUUAACGAAUUUGAAAAUGGAGAGAUACUUUUUAGAGAAGGUAAAAUUAUAGAACACCAAAACCAAAUUCAUAUAUCAAAUUUAGAGAAAGAACACUUAAUUUAUAGACUUAUUCGUGGUCAUUCGAAUAGUUAGGUCAUUUCUUUAAAUUAGUUAUUAUCAUGAAGUGAAGCAACCAUUCAUGAGAGACACCAUCGAUCAUAUAGUGAUGCAACCAUUCAUGAAAGACAUUAUUUAUUCUAACAAUUAAAAUAUUUGUUGGUGCUCCAGUCACUUCUUCCAUUGAUUUUGUUGCAAGUUUUUGGUGUCAUUCACCUCUAACUUGCAUCUUCCUAGUUUUGUCUUGAGAUAUUUGAAGCUAAUUUAUGCAAGAGGUUCUCCAACCAGUGUAGUGUCACCCCUAUUGCAUUUCGAUGCUUAAAUAGUACCAUGAGUGACUAAUGUAAUUAAAGCAUAAAAUAAGUAAGGGUCUUUGUCUCUUCUUUGGAGAUUAUUAACAUUGCUUCUCUUUGGGUAUGGUCAAAUCACAUGUCUCCGAGUCCGAGUAUGUGUGAUGAUACUGGUAUCUAAGAUAUUUCUAGCACUCAAGGUUAUAGGGUGUUAGUCUUGAUCUGACUUGACUAUUUCUCUUUUGAUAUAUAUUCAUCAGCUCGAUAGUUGACUCAAACCCAAAGCAUUAGAAUUAUUUCCUUUUUGGGACGCAUGUUCUCUUAUGCAUCAUCACGAUAUACCCCAUGAGCUUGAACUCGCUCAUGAACUUUAGGCCUUGCCUUGGACAACAUCUCUCUCAACCAUAUUCAUUAUUCAAUAUCAAUUUACACACAACACUUAUUUAAUAAUCCUCAAUAUAAAUAUAUGAAUACAAUGCUUUAUAACUUAGUUUAAUUGGAGGCUCCUUGGUGAGCUUUAAAAUAACAAAAGUAACAAAACUUAAAACAAGAAAAUACACCAAAAUUUACCUCUUGUUUAAAGUGGUCAUCCAAAAUGUCAACUAAAGGCAUUAAACUAUAUAUGAUUGAUGUAGAAGUUUUCGAUUUUUGAAGUCUAUCAGUAAUAUAAAUUGUAUUAAUGAUAGACUUAUAUCAUAAAAGUCUUAUCACAUAUAGAGUAAUUGGGUGUUGGUUGUGAUUAGAAGUCUUAGUUGUGAUUAGAAGUCUAUAAUUGACCAACUCUUUUUUUAUUUUUUAUAAAAAAAUUCUAAUAGUAAAUAUAAAAAUGUACUUGAACUCUAGCCAAUAGAAAAUGUUAAAAAAACCAACUUUGUAAGUGAAAUUUCCAAAUUUUGAAGUCUAUCAACAAUAAACUCCUAUUAGUUAUAUAAAAGUCUAUUAUUGAUACCAUAUAAUUAUUGACAAGUCUCCAUCACAAAUAUUUUUGUAUAAUUAAUAUAAUUCGAACAAGGAAAUGUAAUAGUCUAUCAAAUAUAACACACCUUCAAUUAUAAGUCUCUAGCUAUAGAUACAUAUGUUGUUCAUAUCAUUAGGUUAAUUAAUAUAGCCCUAAUAGAAAAUAAAAGAUAUACAAUUAUUUCAAAGACGAGACUAUUAUAAUUAUUUUAAAUAAUAAAACUGGCGAAAACAUUUAUAAAUAUAGCAAAAUGUCACUAUCUAUCAGCAAUAGACAAUGAUAGAUCUUAAUAGACUUCUAUUAUCAAUCUAUCAAUAUCUAACAAGUCUAUCGAUCACACCUAUAGACAUUGGUGUUUUAUUAUAUUUAUGAAUAUUUUUAUUCAUUUUGCUAUAUUUAAAAAUAACUUUUGUUAUAAUAUAUAUAUAACAUAAGUUUAUAGAGAUUAACUAAUUAUCGGAUAGAUUUUUUUAUAAAUUUUUUACAUUUUGUGUAUCCCAAAACCAACUAAACAAAAAUAAAGAAUUAAAGUAGGAAAAUUAUUAGGGACAAUUUCUAAAAAUAUUUACAACCAUGACAAAAUAUAAAAAUAUAUAAACUAACAUAGACGAUAUCUAUUCUAUUGGAAAACAAUAUUAAUAUUACAUCUUCUUAAUUAAUUUUAAACCUCCAAGAAACCCAAAAAAAAGUUGACUUAAAAAAGUCAUGUUAGUAUUUAAUCACCUAAAAAUCCGUUAUAAUAUUUGAUGAAUAUAUAUUUUGAUGAAAUAAUUAAUAAUCAAUAAUUAAUUUAAGUUUCGUAGGUUGUUUCUAGGUGAGGUAUCCAAUGUUUCGUGCACAACCCAUUUUUGACCAUCAUUUAUUUAAAACAAGAGAAUGCUUCUUUAGUAAUUUAAUAAAAAUUAUGUUUAAUAUAAACUAUAUUCUCAACUAGGUUGAUCAAUCUGUUUUACAUUAAAAGUUUUGUAAAAUUAAUGUCUUAUAACAUUAUAUAUAAAUAUUACAAAAAUAAUAUAAUUUGAAAUACAAUUUAGAAGUGUUCCGUCACUAAUCAUUUUAGGUAGUUAUCAAAACACUUAAAUUAAAAGAUCAAACUUACUUAAAAUUAAACCAAACACAUAUCUAGAUAUGAAAAGAAUAAUCUACCUGCCACAAUUUUAGAAAGAAAAAUCUAUCUAUCAAAUAUAGGUAAUUUAUAAAAGAGAAAACAUGUUUAAGGGAUAAUAAUAAAAGAAAAACCAACACUAAAAACCAACCAACAACUUUGAUUGAGAUUAUUAUUAAUUGGAAAAACAUGACAUCUUGUUCAACAGCUAUGGUUUUUGCAAGUUAGGGCAAUGCAAUUUUAUGGACAUUUGUAAUAAUUAUUAAAUGUAUCUAGUGAUGGGUAAUUUUUGGAUAAGAAGAAGCACAUAGUCAGUAAAAUUUUCAAAUAUAUAGGACAUAUGAACACAUUAAUAAUCAUUAUAAAUAAACAAAACUAAUAAAAUUUAAAACUUAUUUAAAAAGUGAUCACAUAGUCUAAAUUGAUACACUUCUCAAAUUAGAAGAAUAAAUUGAUAUCUCCCUAAAAUUAAUUUCAUAUAAAUCCAAAGAUAAAUGAUUAUACGAUUUUCAAUACAUUAGUUUAAUUGUUCUUCUACAACGCUGCAAUUUGGAAUAAAAUUGCGAUAUGAAUGCCUUUUCAAUUUUUUCCACCAAAACUUUGGAAGUACACUUUUGUCAUGAUCUAAUUUAGUACGUAUAUUUGGAACUUUAUGUGUAUGAUUUGACAUAUAUUGAUAGUGAUUUUGACGAUGUAUUAUCUUUGAAUAAGUUAUAAUUACAAGGUACUUUGAAUAAAUUAUCUUUGCUUCUUUAAUGUAAUUAUAACUUGUGACUUGAAUGUGAACAUGAAAUAAAACAACAAUCAAGACAGAAAAAAACUUACAAAAAGACUAAGAGAGCUAUACCUAUAAUUGUUAAAAAGAAUAAAAGAAUUACGAAAUGGCCUAUUCUUCAAAAAGAAAAAGAAAAACAAAACAAAAUAGGAAUGAAAAUAUAAUGAUAAUAACAAUAAAAUUAUUAAAAAAGACCAUAACAAAAUUUUCUUACCUAUAUAUUAUAAAUAUAUGGUGAACUAAUAUUUAUAUGUAUGUAUGUGGGACGUGGAUCUUGCUUAAUGUUUUAUUUAAAGACUUUAUAUGUUAUAAUUAUUAGAAAGAUGCAGUCUAUUUAACAUUUUUUUAUAUUACAAAUAUAAUAUAAUUAAAUAUAUGAGAUAACUAUCAAAAAAAAAGUUAUCAAACAAGUAUUAAAAGUCUAUGGGAACGACUAUUCGAUUUUUAAUUCACUACUUUUGUAAUUUAGAAAAUGUAAUCAUAUGGAUCCUAUUAUUAGAAUUGUUUUUACUAUUUUGUAAACGUUUCUAAUUAUUAUUCUAAAACAUUAUAUAAAAUAAAGUAAUAAUAGUUGAAUUAAUUUAUGCACCAUCUCUAUAGAAUAUCAAUGUAAUGCAAAACUUUCUUUUCUAUUCCGUUUUAUAGUUGUUUAUGACUUCUCUCGUUUAAAUUGGGAGAAAUUAUCAAAGAAGAUGGUCUAAUUAAUGUUGUUAGGGGUAAUUUUUAUUACCAAAACAUCAUAAAAACAAUAUAUCAAUUUUUUGGGUUGAUAAUCAAAAUGAGAAUAGAAAAGGAGAUGAUUUGGAACUUGAUAAUCGAGAUCAAGCAUCAUAAAAUACUUAAUGUGACAUAUCUCAACCAUGCGUCGAUCCAAGGAAUAAUCUUAAUUAGGCCUAUAAAAUGGCUAAGAGAAGGUGUUGAAACUUAACUAUGGAUUAAGUGGUAAGUCGAAGGGAAAAUGAGAAAUUAUAAUAUAGGUAGAAAUUUUAUGAAUGAUAGUUGAGUUUAUAACAUUUUGAAAAAUUAUAAAUAAAGCAAAAUUUAUCAAUGAUUACUCCUAUUGUCAAUAGACACUUAUCAAUAAUAUACCAAUAUUUUCAACGUAGUUUAUUACUAACAAAUCAGUUCUAUCAUUAGUAAAUUUGCAUAGAUUUGGUUAUGUUUACUGUUUUUUAAAAAUGUUAUGACUAUAUAUGAAUCAAAUUCGUAAGUUUUGCCACUAUCCCUAAGAAAAUACCAAAUUGAAAGAACCCAAGGCAAGGUAAAGCGUGGGAAAGGAAACUUGUAUGGGCCUAGCCCAUGCCGAGGUCGACCCAAAGAAGCCACCAAAAUGGGAUGAGCUACAAAAAAACAUGAGAUAAAAUGUCGUCAUGGCCAUGGGCCUUCAACCUCACUUCGAUGAUAUGAUUGAUAGAAGCUCUAAGAAAAGGAAUGGUGAAUCGAAUCCUCAUGACCCAAAACCAUAAGAAACCGAAGAUUUUUCAAAGGCACGGAUUAUGUUGAUCUUAGACUUCAAAGGUUUAUGUAUGAAUUAAGUAAUGUUCUUUGUUGAUAGGUUACUGAGCCAAUAAUUUGUCGCUCUACACUUAUCUUGUUUUAAUUGCAUAAGAUUUCUGAUGAUAAAUUAUCUUGAUUUUACUAAAAACUUGAGAAAUUAUAUAUGGUAGGUUUUUGUUUCAAGAAUUAUAUGGUGAAACAAAUGCUAGGGCUUCACAAAGUAUUUAACUCUUGAAAGACAUAUUUAUAUUAUAGGUUUUUGCUCGAGAGACCACUCCUCAAGCUUGUACAUUGUCAGAGUGUCAGAUAGGUUUCAUAUCUCCAAUUUUGCCACUAAUUCCGUAGUUAACCAUAUGCCUUGAUUUAGGUUUGAUAGUUGACAUUAUCUUAGAGUAGAAAUAUGAUUUGUGUGAGAUUUCAACUUUUGGCUUUAGAAAUAGGUCUUGUGCUUAAGGAGGAAAAUAAUAAGAGUAGGAGUAGAAGACUUUGUUUUCAACCGAUGUAAUGGGGAGGGGGUUGAGAUUGAUUUUGAUUUCAAGAAAUCUAAAAUGCAUGAAAGGAAAGGGUAUUGUAAUUAAAUUCAAUAAAUAAAAGAUCCUAGGUCUAAAAGAAACUUCUUAUUUCGAUUUGUUCGAUCAUGACAAUUUCAUUGCUAAAUUUAAUUUCAUUGCUAAAUUUAAUGUUAAAUCCCAAUCAAUUUGAUAAAAAACAAUUAGCUCAUAGACAAAGAAAUAGGGAAAGAAUCCUAAUGACCAAAGUUAGAAAGUGAUCCAUAGCCUUACAUCAACGUGGUUUUUGCUUGAUUUACAGAGUUAAGAUGAAAUCAAACCUAAAACCUAGUGUUGUAGAUGGGUAGAGGGCGAAAAGCCGAAGAAAACAACUGGUCAUAUGCCUAAAAUGACUGUCCAAUUGAUCAAAAGAUAUGUCAUAAAAAUUGAAUCUAUGGAUUUCUAUUUGUGUUACGACAUCGCGGACAAUGCCAUAGAGAGUCACAACACCCUCCUUUAGUGGCAAUUUCGUAAUUUUUGGGUCUUUUGGAUUAAUUUCUUCAUUGGGACUUCAACUUGAUCUGAUUUAGCUCCAUUUUCUUCGUAAUGCUCGAUUCUAGAUCUUUGAUGCUUGAAACCUAUAAAAUAGUAAAUCAAGAACUACGUAAAAUCAAGAAACGAGCUCAAAUUAAAUGAAACAAAAUAAUGUAUUUCCAACGUUAUCAAUAAUGUUGAUCGACAAAGUGACUUCGCAAAGUGAAGUUUGUAUGCUUUUGCUAUUGAUGAUAGCUUCUUGAUUGACCUCCAUUUCAAAGUGGUUUUCACUAAACUUCUCGUCUGGAUUCAGUUGUGCCAUGCUUUAAUCCUUUUCUUUUUCUAAAUUUCCUUGCGAUUAAUGGAAGUAGGGCUUGAAAUGCAGGUGGGUUAUUCAAAUCUCUCUCUUUUUUUUCUUUUCCUUUUUCUUCACAUUCCCCAGAUUUUACGAUUCUAAAUUUGGAAAUUUCUUUGAAGACGAGCACCAGCUAGAUCUGGUUCGGAUGAAUCUGGAUAAAAAAUUGCUGAUUCCUGGUGAGCUAGAGCAGAGAUAUUGGCUGGAACUUGAAGAUGAACGGCUGUCCUCAAUGUCAUUUUUCUUGAACUAUUCUCUUUUGGUGGUGAAGAUUGGAUGCCCUAAUUGCUCAUAUUUGAUCAACAUUUAAAAAUUAAUUUUGCUUUCAAAUUGUUGAAAAUCAAAAUUGAUCAUUGUUGUGCCGUGUCGAACCACUGCCUUAAAAAAAAAAAUGGCUUUCGAUUGCUUUUCAAGAUUAAUAUUACUUCCUACUCAAGCGUGCACUUGCGGGAGUAGAAAUGAAAUUGAAGAAAAAAUUGCUCAAACAAGAAUUAAGGUUUUGCAAGAAGGAGAACUCAACACGACAAAAACCUUUUCUUUAAUAUAUAUAUAUGUAUAUAUAAAGUAUAAUGGUUUUAGAAUAUAGAAUAUAUUAAUUAAUAAUAAUUAUUAAUUUCAACUUAACCAUUAUUUAUAAAUGAAAACCAUGAUAGCCAUUCCCAACAAUUAAUUAUGUAUGGUUAUCGAAUCAAAGUUGGUCAAGUUUGUAAAACUACUUCAAUGUAGCAUAAUUUUAUUGGUAUGUUAAUCUUGGAUUUGUUUCUACAAUUUCUUAUGUUUACAUAUUCUUAUUUUUGUUCUACCACCACAAGAAAUUUUGGAUUUUCCAACACAACUCCAUAUUAUUGGGAGAAACGACGUCGAGAGAUAGGGUGUGAGAUCUGAAUUUGAAUAGAAAGAUCAUUUUGAAAAAUAAAUGGUUAAGUAAAGGAUUUUGAAGAAAAUGUUCUUGAAGAUUUAGACAUAAUGAUGUUUCGCAUUGAAGCAAGACGACAUGACUAAAACAAGUAGCGAGCGAAAUUUAAUAAGCAUUUUAAGGUUCAAUAUGAAAUGAAGUUAGGCAUGAAGAGUUAUAAAAAGUUAGAGAAAUAUUAUAAUUGGGCUUAAGUAAUGGGUCACAUGUAAGAGUUUAAGCUAAGCAUGGUCAUGAGAAAUAUUAAGCUUACACGCGUAGCACCUUAAGAAGGAGUUGGCAAGCUUGGGUGAAUUAAGGAUGACUAAUCUGAUUAUGGAAUAAUAUAAAUGAGAGAAGAGGUCAGAAGAAAAGAGUGUUACUCUAAGAUUUUGAUAAAAGAAAGUAUCAAGUGUUGUCUUGAUGAGAAGUCACUAGCGAGAAGAAAAUUUUUGGGGGAUUAGACGUUCUGAACAAGGGAAAUUUAGUCCAUGAGUGAUUUUCCAAAAUGAUUAAAGAAUUUAAAGCUUUCUUCUAAAUUAAAUUCCUUAUUGAUUUGAAAUGUUGUUCAUAUGUUAAUAUUUAUAAAGGAACGAUUUCAAAGCAAGCUUGUGUUAUAAUGCAAGUAAAGUUUUACAUUAAUAAUUGUAGGCUAUGUUGUGAAUAAAUCAUUAGUCCUAUUUCUAUUAACUAAUGAGAUAACUAUUAUGUGCACAUAAGAAAUAAAGACAAUCAUGUAGAAAUGACAUGGUAGAGUGAAGUUGGUCAAUGUGUAAAAGUGUUGGCUUUUUGGCCCUUAAUUUCAAAUUAAUUUAUUUUAAUUAUUUAAUUAAUUUAUGUUUUGAUGAUAACAAAUCUGAUUUUUUCUAUUGACAACUUUAUUAAUUUGAAUAGUUCACAUCGUAGAGCUUGGAAAAAUAAUUCUAACACCUUUUGAAUCACACAAAUCGAAGUUCAAACAAAGAAAAUAUUACUAAAAGAAGCUUAACGGAAAAAUACCCGAGAUGGUGACGUGACGACCAAGCAUUCAAUUUGAACCAAUUAGAGAAAGUCACUUGGAGCAACGGAUGAGUAACAAAUGUGACUUUUAGUUGUGUUUUAUUGACUUUUAUAAAAAAAAAUGAUUUGAAAAAGAAAAUGACUUUAAUAUUAUUAUUUUUCCUUGUGUCUAACGACUAAUUGAAUUUAAAUCUCAACCAUUCAUUUUUCUUUUACUUACAUCUAAUGACCCAAAAUGAUUUUGAAUUUAUCUUUCAUCUCUUUUUAAAUACUUCACUUUUCCCAAAUUUUAAAGAGACAAAAUUAUUAAAACUUUACAUCUUCAAAAAGUACAAAAAGCCAACAUUGUUAUUCUCUCUAAAGCUUUCAAUUCUUAUUCUUUUCAUCUUAUUCUUGAGAGAUUUUUAUUGUAUUGUGAGGAUUAAAUUUGUAAGCUUCUUUUUAUAAAAAUAACCAAACUCAUAACACCUACAUAUGACGAACUCCUGAUGCUUCAUUUUGUGCAUCGAAGAUCCUCUCUUGAUACAUUUCUUCGACCCCAAGUUCGAUGGACAUUUAUGCAUAAGGAGAUUCCCUUUUUUUGUAAUGUAUGAUUGGAUUUGAUAAUAUUCAAGUUGUCAAAGUUUGUCACAGUGCAAUGUUAAUGUCCUAUGGUUAUCCUCCAGUUAUGAUAGUCAAUUUAUGUAAUUAGGUUGGUUUUAAGUUUUAAAGUACACUCAGACCAUUUUUAAAGGUUUUUCAAGUAUUUUGUAAGUUUUGGGGAGCGAGUAGACCAUUUAAGGACCUUAUUAAAUUUUAUAAGUUUUUGGAAUCUUAGAUUGUUGUUACUCUCUUUCGAAAAAUUUAGAUAUUUUAGGCUUUAAUGUAUAGUUGGAGACUUUCUAAAAUAUUUUUUAAACAUUUGUAAACAUUUAAGUUGUUUUUAUAAUAAAAAUGCCAAAACAUUUUUAGGUAAUUUUUAGGUUAAGUUUGAAAGUAAAAAUAAGUUGCAGUUAGACCGUUUUAAGUUGUUUCGAGUGUAAUACCCAAAAAUUGAGGUAAAUUAUUAUUAUAUUUUACUUAUUAAUUACUUUCUACUUUCCUAUUUUCAAUUCUUUUCUUUUUCAUCAAAUUAUAAUAAAACAUCCAAAAUCCUUCAAAUUUUAAUAAAACAAAUCAAGAAUUAAGUAAUGAAAAAUACCUCAAGUUUGGGGUGUUACAUAGACAGUGUGAUAUUUUAAAAUAUUUUUAACCUUUAGGAAAGGAAUUUACUCAAAAUCCAUAUUUUCAUAUUAUCUAAAAAAAACUAAUGGCUUAGACACACCUAUAACAUUAUUAAUCUUGUUUAAAAAUCUAAAGUUGAGAUAUACACAUACUCAAAUUUAUAAUAAUGUACAAUACAGUUCAUGACUCUAAAAAGUCUAAAACAUAGUUUUGAAUUACUUUGGAUCCAAAACUCAACCCCAUAUCGUCUCCUGUACACAUCUCAAAGAUAGCUAAGUAACGUAGAUCACUGUUCUAACAACCUUGUUAGUGCACAAGUAUUUCAAAAAGCUUUAUUAAUUUUUUAAGGUAGUAUUUCAAAAAGCUUAUUACAUUUACUUUUAAGCUUUAACUAAUUAAAUGUCUACCAAAAAAGCUCCUUGCAUUGAUGUUGAUAAUCUCAAAGACUAGAUAUGAACAGAAGAAAAGCCACUUUAUCUUUUAUUAUUUUUAUAGAUUUUGCAUUCAUCUUUUUUCUAUAUAUAUCUUUAUAGACUUUAUUGGGUUUUGUUGGUCAAGACCACCCCCACCACAAAUUUAUGCAGACUUGUUUCUUCCUCAUUUAUCAAUGGAAAGUGAGCUUGUAUUGAACACUUUUGACUUAUGAGUCAUCCUUUAAAAUAAUAAAAUGUAUUAUUAUUUUCUGAUUGUGUGGAAAUAGAUCCUCAACGUGUGAUACAAUAUGAAUAUAGAAAUUUAAGAACUUACACUACUUUAGAUCAAAUUAGCCAACAUUUUGCAUUAAAAAGAGUUUUAUUUUGAAACUCACAAUUAAGUUGAUGCCUUAACUUAACACUUGGGUUCAUAAUUCAAGUAACAACUAAAAAUAACAAAUAAUAAAAACAAUAAUAAGAACACAAGAAAUUGGUUACCCAGUUCAAUGACACAACAUCUCUACAUCGGAGAGACCUUGACCCAUAGAAAAAGAUUAUUUUAUUACCUCAUAAAAUAAUACAAGAGUACACAAAAAUGGUCAAUAAUACUAGCAUCACCACAAAUACUUAUCAUGUUGUAUAUAGUGAAACUUGAUAUACUGAUACAUGAAUCAGAAGUAAGAUUCACUGCAUUUGCCACAUUAACAUCGAGAGAAAACUCCCCAUGAAUCUGAAGUUACCAACCAAUACUGACAAGUUCCCACUUGAUCAUCUAUGACCUUUUUGAGCAAAACCUCUUCGACAACAAUUGUAGAGAAUUAAUGUCAUGUGAUCAUGAUACAUUUAGUGUUUAUAAUCUCCAAUCCACAUUCGUCUCAACGACACUUUCAAUUUCUUCGAAUCACUCUCAGUUUCUGCACACAGUUAAAAGCCCAUCUUGCGCCCACUACAAAGAGUUAGGAAAUUCUUGACGCCAUAAUGCGUUGGGGAUAAGGCAAGAACACGUGGGGAAGAGAUUUCUCGAUGUCGAAAGCUCCGUCAGCAAGAACGUUGGGAGUACAACGUCGAGGGAGCUUUCUCUGACGCACGAAAGAGAGGACAUCGGGAUUGCCUUAUUGUUAACGAAGUUCAAGCCGACUUGUGGCUGACAUCGACAAUGGAGUAUGCCUGACGUCCCCAACGUGUGUUAGGGAUAAGGCAAUCCCGACGCGACGUCGAGAAAAGUUUACUCCAACGUCAUUGAAAAGACGUUAGGAGAAUCCAUUGAUCCCGACGUAGAGUAUACGUCGAGAUCCAUUAUUUAUUUAUUUAUUUAUUAAUAUUAUUAUUUGUUAUCGUGAGGUAUUGUUUUGGGUUUCACCUUCCAAGACAACAAACAAAAUUUACAACAAAUUAUUAAAGUAAAAAAAUUGCAAUUCAUAAAAUUAAAUAGUAAGUUGUUGUUCUCAAAUUGUUCAAAACAAUUACAUUAAAAAAAAAAACUACAAUAUCUCAUAAAACAUAGCCUGGACGUCAGAUUCAAAGAACGAAAUCUCUGCAACCCCCCUCCAGCCUUUCCCCAAAUAAAUUAAUCCUUCUCCCAUUUCUAUACAUAAUCAUCCCCUCAUAUAUUCAUUUGUCGAUUUCGUUGCGGAAAAAAAAAACUUCCCCAUUUUCUUUUUCCUCAACUCUUCGUGCAAGCCCUUUUUGUGCUUUUCCUUUCGACUUUUCCUUGUUGCUCGAACUUCGCAUUUGCCGCCUAGAAUUUUCCUUGCCGAUUGAAUUUUUUUUUUGAACUAACUUUGGACAAGUGCUAUACUAUCCUUGUGUGCCUCUGCGAUUUUCGAGCAAGGUAGGGUUGAAGGUUGUCGAUUUCAAUAUGAUUUUUGCAUAUAGUCGAUGAUGAGGUCCAUAAUUUUCCAUCUCUGAUAUUUUAUUUUUUAUACAUUUUUUUCCUGUUAUUUCAGUUUCUUUCAACAUUUGCGCUUUUUGUAAACAAUUCUUGGUUAUCAUUGCAAUUUCUUUCGUCUGUGUUGAAUGCAAUUUUGUUCCAUUUAGAAAUUUAUUUCCUUUGCAUUUCUUGUUUUGUCAUUUCUUGAAGUAUCUAUGUUGUACUUCUUCAUGAAAUAAAUCUCUGUUGGGCUAUCUGUUAUGUUCAGAAAUGUAUACUCCUAUGCUAUUGCAUUUCAUUUUCCUUCUUUACAAUUUUAAUUUACUCCAAAUAAAGGCUCCAUUAAGAUGUGGCCUUUGAGUCAUCUGAUAUGCUUAUGCAUUGUUUAUUCACUACUACUGCCAAUUUUUUCUUCCUACCUAAUGUGGUAGGUCUCAUGGUUACGGUUUGACCUUAUCCUAUCAUGUGCAAAGAUUAUCUUUCCUUUUUGUUUCUUUUACUCAAUAAACUGGUAAACUAUUUCACUUCUACCAUCUAUAUAAACAUCAAAUUUCUUAUGUCUUCUUCUAUGUUGUAUCCCCUAUUGGACGUCAUUCUUCUUUCCUCUGUUCAAUUUUCUUGGUAGGCCAUCUACGUUUGGUUCAUUUUUUUUUCAUGUCUAUAUUCUUUUAAAGGCAUACUAUACUUCACAUUUUUUUAAGCAUUUAUGCACAACAUGUUCUUCCAUGUUCCAUGUUUCAUGUUCCAUGUUCCAUGUUCCAUGUUCCAUAUUCCAUGUUCCAUACUUCUUUUUUAUGUUUCUUCUCAUUAACCUUCUUAGUACUGAUGUGUGUGCUGGACAAUGUUCUCAUUUGUAUGUUCUUUUUUUGGCAUAGUGUACUCCAUGUAUUUCUUCAUCUAUGAAAUAUAAUUUUUUUCAUGCUUUAACCAUGUUGUCAUUUGAUGCUGCUUGUCAUGAACCAUGGUACGAACAAAGUGUGUAUGACUACCAUUGUUUUUUUUUUUAUGUGUUAUUGUUUAAGGCAUAUAGUCCAUGAAGUUCUUCUUGUCAUGUUUCUUGCCCUCAACCAUUGUACCAAUAAUAUAUGUGUGUGGCUGCCUAUGUUUUGAUUCAUGGUUAUGGUUUGUAAGGCAUACUAUGUUCCAUGAUGUGUGUUGUUGUAAAUUGUUUUUUGUAUUCAUUUCCAUGUCCAUACGUUUCUGCAUUUCUACGUUAUGCGUAUUGAAUAUUGAUGUGUCCACUACUAAAACCGCUUCAUCGUAUUGAAUGGUUUCAUAUCCUCUCAGGCUAUUUUUUUUUUAAAAAAAAAACUAGUCACAUUAUUCUUUAUAUUAACGAGUUUCCAUUUCCAUUUCAACAUUGGACAACCCGUGAAAGUACACGGUACAUAAUUAUAUGAUCGUUGCGGCUACUAUUUUUUUCAAUAAUUUUGUUUAGGUCGACGCACUCACUUGUGUAUACUUUUUUUCAGGACACCCAACUCUGUACAUUCGUUCAAAUAGGUACUACGAUUUUGCCGUUUUGUAGUACAACUUUCCAUUUAUUCUCCUAACAAUUUUUAUGUCGUUUCUUGCACUGUAUUUACAACGUUACUUUUCCCUUAUUCAAUUGUAAAAAAAAAAUUGCACGUUAAGUUCGAUUAAUUUAUGUUUUUCGCAGUAUACAACAUAAACAUUGGUUCAUAUUAUUGGAAAGCAUAUGCCGUUCCUAUACGUUUCUUAUUAUUGUGUACAAAUGUGUGAACUUAUUUUUAAAUUUCAAUGCAUACCCGUAAUCCCGAUUCUGUGACACUUUAAUUUCCACACGCAUUUUUUAAAAAUUCCGACUACUUUAACAAUCCCAAUUGCUAUGCUUUGAAAAACCAACGACCAUGAAUUUUGAAAAAAAAAAAGAAUUUAGGGUUUCCAACCAUUACCCACUCUUUUAAAAUACAAUAACAAUCAUUUUAAAAAAAUUCACAAUUACUUUUCUAAAAUAUGAUCAACACUUAAAAAAAGAACACCGUGAUUAUUUAAAAGAUAUUUUGUGUACAAGAUUACACUAGGAUUUAAAAAAAUAUAUGGUUUAGUUUUCCACCAUCACAUUGUUCACACAAAUUUGACUGCAUCUAUGACCCUACUUUCUAUUAUUUUUUUUGCAUAAAUGGCCACAGUUAUUGUGUUUUAUGUUUUUUAAAAAAUUCAAUCUGUACGUUUAGUAAAUUGAUUAAACCUACCAUAAACAUGGAAAUACAUGUUGGAAGAGAACACAUUAGGGGUGAAAAAACCCGAAUCAAACUAAAGAACAAAACCAAAUAGAUUCGAUUCGAUUCGAGUUGGAUUAGGCUUCAAUAGUAAUAUUACUCAACCGAAUCGAAUUGAACUGGAUCGGUUUGAUUCAAUUCAGUUCAAAUGUAAAACAUUUAGGUUAAAAACUUAAAAUUGAAAUUAAACUCAUUCGUUCGUCUUCCUCCAUCUACACGAGUUCAUCAUUCUCCAUUGUCGGACAUUCUCCGUUCGUCGUGGAUCUUCCUCCUUCGUUUGUCUUCCUCCAUCUACACGAGUUUGUCAUUCUCUGUUGCUGGCCAUUCUCCAUUCUUCAUGGGUCUUCCAACUUCGUUCAUCUUCCUCCAUCUACUCGAGUUUGCCAUUCUUCAUUCGUCUUCUGUUCUGUCUUUCGUCUUUUAUUCAUGUGGAUCUGAAAAAAGAGGAAGAAAAUUCUUCAUCGGACAUUCUCCAUCUUCGUUCGUUGUGGGUCUUUCGUCUUCUACCUUGGGUCGAAACCGCAGGUAAAUUCCCACCUCUUUUUUAUACGAUUUUCAAAUUUUUUCCCUCUUUUCCUUUAUUGUCUUCACAUUGGUUUGAUUAUGUUUGUUUUAUGGGGAACUUUUGUUCAUAAUUCCUUUAUUGUCUUAUGUAUUAGCUAGUAUGUGUUAUGUGCCCAAAUUUUGUGUUAUGUGUUAUGUAUUAGCUAGUUUGUGUUAUGUGUUUGUGUAUAUAUUUCUUGACUGUAUUGGGUGGAUAUGUACAUAAGAGGUUGCUAUUGUGGUUGCUAUUGAAUGCGUUUAGGUUAAACUGAUUUCAAAAGGUAUAUGAAUUAUGUUCGGUUGCUAUUGUAUAUAUUUCUGUUGAGAUUAAAUUGAUUUCAAAAGAUGUUAUGAUAUGCUUUACUUAUUAUUUUCUUUGAUGAUUAUUAGUUAAAAAUUGUUUGCUUUUUUGUUGGUUUGGUUGAUGAUUAUUUUGCACGACCUAGUCAAGGAAGCGAUUGUAGAACAUACUUGAGCGGCUCAAAGCAGAUACAGGAAGGGCAGAAUCCUGAUAUAGUUAAUGUCAUUAAGGAUGCCAUGGUCUGCCAAACCGACUAGCUAAGGCUCAUUGCAGAGUAGCCGCAGUUGGCACUCGAGGAUGAAAGAAGAGGUCGUUCUAGCAUUGCGAGCCAUACCUGAGCUCAAUAGGUUAGAAAGGGUGUAAUGCAAUCGAACACUGAUGAACAAUUUAGUAAACAUGAAGGAUUUUCUCGAAUUGUCAGAUGACGAAAGCUUGACUACUGCACGGUGAUCCUAGAGGCGCUAGCUGAUUGUUUCUUUUACUUGCACGGACUAUUAUUAAUGUUUUUUUAUGACUCUACUUGUUCACUUUUUCUUCUUGAUGUUUUGUAGUGAUAUUGAUGUUAUGUGUUUUUUGUUCCAAUUAUUCAUGUAGUAAAAUUAAUGCGACGUAAUUUAAUUUUAUAUAUAUAUAUAUAUAUAUAUAUAUAUAUAUAUAUAUAUAUAUAUAUAUAUAUAUUUGCAUUUCUUAUUCCGCUUUUACGUGCUGCAUCAUAAAAAAUAAUUGAAAUUAUUUGACAAUUGUAAUCAAAUGUAACAACUAAUCAAUAACAUGUUCAACAUAGACGUUACCAUUCCACAAAUUAAAUCAAUUACUUCAGGCAACGUCGGAUCAUUUGGUAAAAAAAAGUUAUGGACUUUGACUAUUGGAUUUUAAAUAUGAAUUUGAUAAAAAGAGAAUUAAUUAAAAUCUAAAUCUAUCAGAUCACUACCAACAUAACUCUUCCCACAAACACAUCUUAUUAUAACCCUACCCACAUAACACUUACCCCAAAUACAUUUUAUCAUAAAACUAUCAUAACACUAGCUAAAUAACUCUUCUCCCAAACACAUCUUAUUAUAAAAAUAUUAUAACACUAUCUACAUAACCCUCCUCCAAACACAUUUUACCAUAAUAUUAUCAUAACCCUAGUAACAUAACUCUUCCCUCAAACAACUCUUAUCAUAAAACUAGUUUUAUCAUAACCCUAACCCUUCCCCCAAACGGACCUAUACUGUUUAUACAAUCUUUCAAAGUUAUAUGUUUGGGAACCUAAAUAAAUUCUAGAUUUGCCAUUGAUUUUGGAUUUCCUGAAACGAGUAUUGAAUUUCUGAGCAUCUUCUUCAUAUUGUUAAUUCUCCUUUUUUAUAUUUUCACUUUUUCUUGUUUGCAACUUUUCUCGUUUCAAUUUUCUUUUUUCUUUUCUUUCACUACACAAUCAUGUUUGGGCAAGUGCAGUACUAUAGAAGGCAAUUGAUUAAUUUUAGAGAUUUUUGUUCCAAUUACAAUUUUAUGGCUUCCACUACAUUAACAAAACAUGUGGCUUUUUUCCCAUUUCUACGUCAAAAAAUCAAUCCCAAUCCACAAAGUGAGAUGUUAAGCAUUCGUCUUUACAACUAGACUAAGAAAAUGAUUUAAAAAAUCCAAUAAUAUAUUAAAAAGAAUAAAACUUCUUAAAAACUCAGCAACCUAUUUUGCAUAUACAUUUAGUCUAAAAUUGUAAUGAAAAAUGAUAGUUAUUAUGUGAUUAGUUGAAAUUGAUGAUAUUAAUUAUGUAUAACCAACUUUAUCAAUAAAUUUAAGGUUAGUAUGAUAUUUUUUCCUCUUGAGAGUGUUGUUAAGAACGUUUCAUCUUUUGGAUUUUUAAUUUUCAAUUAAUUUCUCCUUUUCCUCUCAUAUCAUAACAAGAAACAUAAGUUAAUAAACAUAAGUUAAUAAGUAGGAAAAUUAUAUCAAAUGACAAAAACAUUUAAAAAACAGCUCAUGACAUAUAUUUUUUGUAUAUUGUAAAUAUAAUAAAAUUAGUGAUAUUAUGCGACAAUUAAUAAUAAAUACUUUAAUGCCAGCAGUGAAUUCUGUUGCUAAGACCAACGUAUUCAAAUCGUUUUCAAACGUCAUUUGGCAAUUGAAAUUAAGAAUUCUUAACUAUGUUCUUGUUUAUUAAGUCUGAUACAAAUGGAUCAAUUUUUUUUUAUAGUUUUUUAUCUACUUUUUCCAACUUAAAUAUUACAAAGUGACUGCUAAUUUUUUUUUCAUCCAGUUUUGUAAUAUUUGUUUUUAAGCUAAACCACAUAUCCAAAAUUUUAUUGGACGGUCAAGAAGAAUAACAAAUUAUGAGUUUUACUUAGGGAAAAUAGUAAAAAUAAUUUUAAAUUGUUAUAAUAGCAAAACAUAAAAAUUAGAAAAAUAAAUAAAUGAAAAAAUCUCAUAAAUACUCUUAUCCAAUAUAAAAAGUACAAUUAUUUACCUAAACCCAAAAUACAUUGUAAUUGAAAUAACACAUGCCACAUAAAAAAUUUCUCACAAAAACAUAAAGAUUAGAAAAUUUGCCAUUGAUGGAAAGUUUCACCUCAUGUCUGCAAAAUUUAAAAUCUAUUUCAAUGUCUAAAAGAUGCAAUUCAUUUGAAAUUGUAAUUGCAAAAUUGAGACACAUUCAAUCAAAGGGUUUGACUCUAUACAUGUCGAACAGUCAUAGUCGAAAGCUUCAAGUUGAAAAUGGGAGCAUUGUUGAUAUUAUAAUAAAGAUGAAAUCAUAAAAUUAUACUAUAGAAUUGAAAACUUAUAUGCAAGAUACGCAUCGGUGAGUUCGUCCACUGAAAUCGGUGAGUUCUUCAUACAUUCGAGAUUCAUUUGAGUUAUUCUCUCUUGUUAGCAAUAAAAAAAUUCUCUUUCACACUGUGUUUAUUUCUUGUCGGCUGCCUCUCAUAAUCUCUUUAUUUUCUUUUCUCUAAUAAAAUCUAAAAGUGAAAGAUUCAAAUAAUUUAAAAAAUGUCAUUGAGGCAUAGUUAAAUCCUAAAAUUUAAAUUUAAAUUGUUAUUAAAAAUAUAUAUUAAAAUUUAAAUUCAAAUUGUUAUUAAAAAUAUAUAUUAAAAUGUAAAUUCAAUUUUUUUAUUAAAAAUAUAUAUUCAAAUUUAAAUUCAAUUUUUCAUUAAAAAUAUAUAUUCAAAAUUUUAUUGAAAACUUUAUAUUAUGUGUUAUUUAAUAAAUUGUUUAAAAUAUAACAAAUUUGAAAAUAGCUAUUAGCAUAAAUCUACCAACAAAAUAGCAAAUUUAGUUAACAUUUAUCAAAUUUGAAUGUUUUUUUUUUUUUUUUUGCACUUUUUCAAUAAAAGAGACACAAUAAAUUAUUUUUUUAGUAAAAAUCAAUCAAAAUAAGUGUUCAAUUUGAAAUAUAAAUUCAAAUAACUAUAUAUUAUCUAAUAAAAAUUUUUAAAAUAAUUUGAAAUAUAAAUGUUUUGAAAAUAGUGGAUUAGUGAUUGUCAUUAUUUUAGGGAUUAGAUUUCACAAUAUUUGAACUCAAAAUACUAUGAAAUCUAAGGAAAGAGGAACGGUUGAAAAUCUUUUAACAGUUUUUUAGGGAAAAUAUUUAUUAAACAUAAGUUUUAUGAAAUAAAUAAAUAAAUGUUAAUUAAUUUGAUUUAAAUAUUAAAAAUCCAAAAAUUUGUUAUGAAUUAUAGGCAUAUAUUUAGGAGAUAUUGAGAAAAUCUUGUCAAUCUCGAAAAUAUCUUAAAUUAGUUAAUAUUUUUCAAAAGUUUGCAGAUACACUUUAUAGUAUGAUAUUUGGUCUCAUUAUUUGUAUCAUGUAAAUACAAGUAAACCACGUAUUAUUCUACAUAAAGAGAUAUAACACACGUAUUAUACUUUUUGAUUACACAUGUAUAACAAUGAUGCUUGAAAAUAAAACUUCACAUACAAAAUAAAACGCUUCAUUAAAAUAAAUAUGAAUAUUGACGUAAUUAAAAAACACAACGUGAAAAAUAAUUAUCUCAUACAAGAGACACAAUAAAUUGUUUUUUUAAUAAAAAAUCAAUUGAAAUAAGUGUAUAAUCAGAAUUAGCACGAUUGUAGUGAUGAUAAAACUUUGUUUUUAAAUUAUUAUUAACCGUAUGUACUGUGUAUUAUCUGAUAAUUUUCUUUAAAUAAUUUGAAAUAUAAAUAAUACAAAAUGUUUAAUUUAUGUUUACCAUUAAUAUUUAAAAUCAAAAUAUUAUGAAAUAUAAUGAUUUGGAAAUAGUUGAAAUUCUGAUGACCAUUUUUUUCAUUAAUCAUAGGUACUAUGUAUUAUCAUAUGAAAAUAAUAAAGUAGUGAUUGUGAUUGUUUUAGAAAUUAGAUUUCAUAAUAUUUGAAUUUAAAAUAUUAUGAAAUCUAAUGAGUAACGGUUGAAAUUCUUUUAGCAAUUUUGUAUGAAAAAUCGAAUUAAAUAAGUAAAUGUUAAUUAAUUUGAUUUAAAUACUAAAAAUUAAAAAAUUUGUUAUGAAUUAUAGACAUAUAUUUAGGGGAUAUAGGAGAAAUCUUGUUAAUCCAAAUUAGUUAAUAUUUUUCAAAAUUAAUUGUAGUUUGUAAAUAGACUGUAUCUGUGUGUUAUUUGGCAAAUACAUCGUAUCUAAAAACACUUAUUCUACUUAAAAGUACAAACGGGUAAAAGAAGAUCGAAAAAAUUAUGUAACCACCCGUUUUGCCAAAAUUAAUUUGCUAUUUUUAAGUUUAGGUAUGAAAAAUAUUUUUCCAGUAGUCGCGUAACUUACAAACACGCUUAACUAUGAUCUUUCGAUGGAAUCCGGUGAAUGGUCACACCCAUGUGAUAAAUAUUUAUAAGUGACAAUAUUAAUUUGUUUCUAAAAUAAUAUAGCAAAAUUUUAAAUUCUGCCAAACGAUACACAAUAUGAAUUUUUUUUUUACCUAUAGUAUAAUUUGUAAAUGUUAUGGUUCAUUAUAUUAAACUUUAUUUAGAAAUGCUACUGUAGAUAAUAGGAUGUCAUACGUAAUUGCCCAAAUAGAUUGAAUGAAACCUAAGAGUAGAUGAAAACGCAUCCCACUUAAUUCUAAUAUAUAUUACUUUGUAAAACAUCAACAAGAAGAAUAAUCAAGUAAGUAUACACUACAUAGUCAUGUAUAUAUACAAUUCCUACCAAACAAUUAAUUAGAGGGUUGUUAGGAUCGUUCUUUAUGUUUUUUUAAUAGAACAAGUAGUUGGUCCGAAUAAAAAUAUUGCUAAAAAGGAAAAAGGCAUUAACACUUACACCCAUAUUAGUCUAUAUAAGAACACAGAAUGGCACCAAAUUUUGCAGUGAAGAUCAAUCUAAUAAGUUGAAAGCAAAGACCAAUAUAGAAAAAAAAAAAAAAAAAAUGUCUCUAAAAUGGGUUAUGGUAUUUGCAAUUGCAAUGGUGCUUCUCACUGCUGAGACUGCAACAGAGGCUCACCGGCCAACGCUAACUCCAAAUGAUCCGGAAAUGAAGUCGAUGGUGGGUCAUGCUGGUGACAAGACCAUUCCUGCCCAUGGAGGAAAAGGGUGCAAGAAAGGCCCGCAUUCCAAUUGCAAGGAACACCAUGGCUGAGUCAGAAGGGUCUUUCUCUGACGAGAUAAGGCCGUGCUGUUGGGGAGAACUAAAUAAAACUACUGCGUUCAAAAAGCCUAUAUUGGCUGCCCUCAAAGAUUAUCCAUGGUUUCAAAAUAUUGUAAUCUAAUGUUUGUGUGUUGAUGUUGGUGUCUUUGUAAUAUGGUUGUUUGUUGUGAGAUCUAAUAUCUAUAUAAAUGCUUUUCUUUUGUAUUCCGCAAUUCUAGCAAGAUCUUUAGCUUAACUCCUGAGCUUUUUCUCUCUCUCUCUCUCCAGAAUUUGCCAAUGGUAACAUUAGACUAUGAAAAAAGUACACCAAUGGUUAUAAAAACGCUUCAAGAAAGAAGUGUACAAAAUGAAUGAUUAUCUAACCAUGAGCCAAGCAAGUCCAUGGUUGACCAAAUCCUACCAGGACCAAUAUGAGGUGGGCCAACCAUUUGAGAAUGCUUUGGAUGAGACUGACAUAUACACUUGGUUGGUCCACUCCAUUAGGAGAAUAAGUUUAACUUAAGCAUUAAAUUGUGGGUAAAAUGCUCAAUACAUCAGUAUUGUACGGUUUCUUUUUUUCACGCAGACGUUGAUCACCUUCUGUAAACCAUAUCCUUCAGGUCAUGUGAAGUAGACUAAUUUUACAAAACCAACCAAAUAUUGAUCUAAAUAGUUUGUGGUAUAUAUUUUUCAUCUGAACUACUUACUGCAAAUUAAAUCCUAAUACAAAUUUUGGAAUAAAGUAUAAACUACCACGACCCUAUAGAUUCAUUAUAAUAUCGGCCUAUACUAUAGACUUCAACAAAGAUAUGUAAUAUAAACCAAAUUUUAUCAUUUUGUAUAGAUUAUUGUUUUCUAUCUUAAGAAUAAAAUAUUUUUCCUUUUAUUUAUUUUAUUAUUAUUAUGAUGGACUACUUUCACGUUAGAAAAAUUGCAUCAAAUGACAAAAAAAUUAGAAAAAAACAGCUCAUGACACAUAUUUUUUGCAUUAUGACAAAAUUAGUGAUAUUAGGCGGCUAUCAAACAGUAAUCAUAAGACUAUCAGACGUUAUUACAGGGUUAUGAUCAGCUGUUAAAUUUAUUAUUUUUGCAAUUUAGAAAAUGUAGUGACAUGAACUCUAUUAUCAUAAAUGUUUUGCUACUUUUGUAAGAGCCCCUCCAAAUAAUGUAAAAUGGUCCAAAAUAAUUACAAAAUAAUAUAAAAUUUUAGUAUUAUGAUAGAGACCGAUAUACUCAUGUUUGUAAGAUUAGAAAAAUAGGAGUGAAGACUAAAAUAUGGUUGAUAACACAAUUUUGAUGAAUUCAAAAUAUUAGAAAACUCAAACCCAUAUAUAUCAUCUAAUUUGGAUAAUCUCAAGCAAUAUGAAUAGAAGAAAAGCUACUUUGUGUUUUAUAUCAUAAAUUACAAUUGUGUCAUCAUGUUAUUAGCACUCUUAUUUAUUUAUUUGUUUCUUCUCUCUUUAUAGUCUUUAUUGGGUUUUGUUGCUAAAAAAUCACUAUCUUCAUCACAUAUAUGCAAACCUGUUUCGCCCUCAUUUAUCAAUAGAAAGUGAGCAUGCAUUGAAUACUUGACACUUAUGAGUGCCACUAAUGCCUCUCACAAUAUACUAAAUUCAUUUUCUUUCUUAGUACACAAUUAAAGCAUAGACUUUUACAAACUUAUAUUUAUUAUCUGCUGAGUUAUAAAUUUUGGGAAGCCUUUAAAUUGUGAAGCUUCUCCCAAGCAACGAAUGUGUGUGCAUUGAACUUUCUAUUCGAAAAAACAAAAAAAUAAAUUACUCUACUGGAUAAAAGAAGAAGAGUUUGUUGGAUAUUUGUCCAAACAAAAAUAAUAAGAUUUUUUUAUUAAGUUAUUUUUUAAAUAAAUGAUUCUAUUUAAAGAUAAGAAUAUUAUUUAGAGAUAAAAGAUUUUCUUUCGUAAUAAUAAUAAUCUUUGCAUUAAGAAGUUACAGACAUGUAUUAUUGUGAUUUUUAAAUAGCUAAGUUAUUGGCUUAGUUCAGCGUGCGCGUUGAUGGAAAAUGGACUUCGAAAAAGUUCUCUCUUUAAGAAUUAUUAUUUGUGAAGGUAGUCAAAUUACCAUUUUUAUGAAGAUGAAUUACUGGAAUUCUGCAAGUAGUUUUUACACUGCAACUAUUGAUAAGAAAUAUGAAAGAAGACUGAAAUAGUUGAACUGUAGUCCAUGAGUUUAGAGAAAGCCUGAGUUUAUCUUCAAGAAGAUUCAAACAUAAAUUCAGGAGAAGUCCGUACUUGAUUAAGUUUUUUGCUCAUUUGAAUCUUAAUAAUAUUUUUAUAUGAGGUAAGAAGCUCCCUAGACGUAGAUGGUAUUCAUCGAACUAGGUUAACAAAGUCUUCUGUGUUAUUAUUAUUAUUAUUUUGUUUCUUUAGCUAUUUUUUCAAUUAAUUAUUUUUGAUAUUGCUAGAUGAUAUUUUGAUGGCAUCACAUUUAUUUUAAGUUAGUUUCCAAAAUAUGAUUGAAACGUAGAGAGUGGACAAAAUUUAGAAAGUUACAAUAAAUAAAAAGAAAUUAUUGUAAAUGGUAAAAAUACUAAAAAUAUUUACAAAAUAUAAAAAGUUUCAAAUUAUAGAAAAUAUAAAAAUUUCAUUCCAUCCGGGAUAGAAUUUUAAAUUUUGUUUUAAUUAAUUUGUAAAUGUUUUCAUUCAUUAGAGUAUAUUUAGAAAGGCUCCUGUAGAUAAUAAAAUGUCGUGAAAUCAAGUAGUACAUCAACCAAAAUGAAAAUGCAUUGCACUUAUAUAUUAAAUUGUUAAAAAUUACUUUCUAAAACAUGAACAAGAAGAAUAAUUAAGUAUACACUACAUAGUCAUGUAUAUAUACAAUUCCUGCCAAACAAUUAAUUAGAGGGUUGUUAGGAUAGUUCUUUUUGUUUUUUUAAUAGAACAAGUAGUUGGUCCAAAUAAAAAUAUUGGUAAAAAAGAAAAAGGCAUUAGCAGUUACACCCAUAUUAGUGUAUAUCAGAACACAAAAUUGCACCAAAUUUUGCAGUGAGGAUCAAUCUAAUAAGUUGAAAGCAUAGACUAAUAGAGCAAAAAAAAAAAGUCUCUAAAAUGGGUUAUGGUAUUUGCAAUUGCAAUGGUGCUUCUCACUGCUGAGACUGCAACAGAGGCUCACCGGCCAACGCUGACUCAAAAUGAUCCGAAAAUGAAUUCGUUGGUGGGUGAAUCAUAAUCGUGACAAAAUUACCAAUCCUUCCCAUGGAGGAAAAGGGUGCAAGAAAGGCCCACAUUCCAACUGCAAGCAACACCAUGGCUGACUCAGAAGGGCCUUUUUCUGACGAGAUUAGGCCAUGCUGUUGGGGAGAACUAAAUAAAACUACUGCAUGCAAAAGCCUAUAUUGGCUUCCCUCAAAUAUUAUCCAUGGUUUCUGAAUAUUGUAAUCUAAUGUUUGUGUGUUGAAGUUGGCGUCUUUAUAAUAUGGUUGUUUGUUGUGAGAUCUAAUAUCUAUAUAUGCUUUUCUUUUGUUUUUGGCAAUUCUAGCAAGAUCUUUAGCUUACCUCCUGACCUUCUUUUUUUUCUCUCUCCAAAAUUUGCUAAUGGUAACUUCAGACCAUGAAAGUACACACUAACUGUUCUGUAGAACACUGUUCUGACAACUUGUUAGUACUCAAGUAUUUCUACAUUUCCAGUUACUUACAACUAAUUAUUAAAUGUCUAACCAAAAAGCUUCUUGCUUUAAUUUGGAUAAUCUCAAGCUAUAUGAAUAGAGGAAAAGCUACUUUAGUGUUUUAUAUCAUAAUUAUUAUUACAAUUGUGUCAUCAUGUAAUUAGCACUCUUAUUUUUUUAUUUCUUCUCUUUAUAGCCUUUAUUGGGUUUUGUUGCUAAAGAUAUCACCAUCUUCAUCACAUAUAUGCAAACCUGUUUCUCCCUCAUUUAUCAAUAAAAAAAAGUAAGCAUACAUUGAACAAUUUUCACUUAUGAGUGCCAAUGAUGCCUUUCACAAUAUAUUAAAUUUAUUUUCUUUCUUAGUGCACAAUCAAAGUAUAGAGUUUUACAACCACAAUCAAACUAUAGAAUUUUACACACUUAUAUGUAUAUAUUACCAGUUGAGUUGUAUUUUCUUUAGAAUUAAUAUAAAAAAAAUUAUCUCAAAUAUUGAAAGGGUGUUUGGACCCCAGAUUUGAAAGAAGUGGAGUCGACUAAAUCCUUGUCUGGAAAAACUUAGUAUUAGGGUUUCAAUCAUUCCCGCAUACAUUUUCCAACUCCGUCCCCUAAUACUUCUCACUCCCUCUCACUCCUUUGUGAUUUUCAGUGUAAUCCUUCCUCUUCACUCCGCGUAAUCCAUCUCACUUCUUCCUCCCUUAUCGUGUUCCUUCUCUUUUUCCAUCUUUCUGUUAUCAUCCCUCUUCGAAUCUCAUAUCCGUGUUUACUUUUCGUUUUCCUCUUGAAACCAUUUUUCUUCUCCCUUUUUGGUUUUGUAAAUAAGGUCUAUUUUUGUAGCCAUUAAUGGUUGGGUUUCCACCCCUUGCCUUUAGAAGUCUUCCUCUUGCAUGUCCGAAGAGACUACUCAGUGAACAUGCAAGGAUCUCUUCCUUAUCCCUCCGAGUUUUCCAUGUCGCUCUGACGACUUGUGUACCGAAACGGCUGUGAACAGAGAGAUGCUACUUAUAUUGUGGGAUCCAAAGAAUGGUAGGGACAUCAGCAUUGGAGCACGAUAGGGGUGUUGUCAGUUCUUAUCGGGUUUAUAUCUCAAACAUGCCUUUAUAGUCAAUGAUAAGUGUAAUCUAGAGUUCAGAGAAGUAUAUUUCUUAUUCAUAUUGAGUCAAAGGAACGUUACAUAUAUUUAUAUAGAGAAUAAAAUAAACCCUAGACACUAUGUACAAUUACAAUAAAGGACGUAUGAUAUAUAUAUAUAUAUAUAUAUCAUAACAAUAAGGUCCUCUUCUGAAUUAUCUUAUUCAUUUUUUUGUGUUUCUUUUUCAUGUAGUAUGUUCAAAAUGUUGCUUAUGUGAUUCGUUCUGAAAAUAUGUUUAAAAUGUUGCUUAUGUCACCUUGAGGAGCACCAAUACUGUUUGUGAAGAAGAAAGAUGGGUCGAUGCAUCUUUGCAUUAACUAUAGAGAGCUUAAUAAGGUAACAGCCAAGAACAUAUAUUUGUUUCCCAGAAUUGAUGAUUUACGUUCAGGGUAUCACCAAUUGAGGAUUAGAGACAAUGAUCUUCCUAAGAUCGCUUUUCAUUCUAUAUAUAACCGUUAUGAGUUAAUUGUGAUGUCUAUUAGUUUGACGAAUACUCCUGUUGUAUUCAUGGAUUUGAUGUACAGAGUGUUUAAGGAUUUUUUAGACACUUUUGUGAUAACUUUUAUUGAUGGUAUCUUGGUUUACUCCAAGAUAGAGGUUGGGCAUGAGAAGCAUUUGUAUUGGGUUUUGGAGACUUUUCGAGCCAAUAAGCUAUAUGCUAAGUUUACAAAGUGUGAGUUCUACCUGAAGCAGGUGUCUUUUCUUGGCCAUGUAAUAUCCAAUGAGGAAGUUUCUUUGGACUCAGGAAAGAUUGAAGUUGUUACCAAUUAGCCUCGUCCUUUUGUAGUCAGUGAAGUUUGAAAUUUUUUGGGUUUAGCAGGUUACUACAGAAGAUUCGUGGAAGGUUUCUCUUGUAUAGCCAGUCUCUCAACUUAGUUGACCAAGAAAGGGACUCCUUUUGUUUGAAGCUCAACAUGUGAGAGCAGUUUCCAAGAUCAUAAGUAGAAACUUGUUACUGCAUCAGUCCUUAUAAUGCCAGAUGGAUCUGGAAGUUAUAUGAUUUAUAGCGAUGCUCCUCGAAGAAGGGAUUGAGUUGUGUUUUGAUGCAGCAAGGUAAAGUGGUUGCUUAUGCCUCCCGACAGUUGAAGAUGUUUGGAUUUAUGUCAUAAAAAUCGUAGAUUGUAAAUAUAAUUCAUUGACCGUUAUUAAUAAAGUGUUAUUAUUGUAAUGAAUGUUAUUGAUUAUAUUAUUAGUUUUGUCUUAAUAACUCAAAUCCAAUAACCUAACAUCCUAAGUUGUUUGAUGAGUCUUGAAAAGUAUGUAGAGACAUACAGGAAUCAAUGUUCGAGAUCAGCUUAAAGGGUCUAUAGUAUAGGGAUAAGACUGAGUACCUUAUCUUGGUAACGCUAUGGAUACGACUCACUUUGUAUUUGAUACAAAUGCAAUGAUCCAACAUGGAGAAGAUGAAGAUGUAGAUGUGUUGCAGUCCAGAGGAUCAUUAUCAUCAUCUUCAAUGUGUUGUUGCCAAGAGAAUCAUCAUCUUCAUCUUCGAUGUGUUGCAUCCGAGAGGAUUAUAAUCUUCAUCUUCGAUGUGUUGCAACCAAGAAAAUCAUCAUCUUCAUCUUCGAUGUGUUGCAACCGAGAAAAUCAUCAUCUUCGUCUUCAUCUUCAAUGUGUUACAACCAAGAGGAUCAUCAUCUUCAUUUUUAAUGUGUUGCACCCAUGAGAAUCAUCAUCUUCAUCUUUAAUGUGUUGCAGCACAAGAACCAUCAUCUUCAUCUUCAACUUGUUGCAGCCAAGAAGCCGAACAAACAAAAAAGUAGGACAUGGAGGAAACCAAACCAAGAUACAUGCUUGCAUGGGGCCUUCAAGGAAUAGCGGGAAAAAAAGUCAAAGUCAAGUUAUGUGUAAGAAAAUUUAUUAUAAGAUAAAGAAAAGAAAAGAAAAGAAAUUUUUUAAAAAAAUUUAGGUUAAAAGAAAAGGUAGUACAAAAUGGUUAAAAAAAUAAAUGAAAAAAAUUAAAGAAACAAGAAAAGAAAAAAAGGCAGACAAAAAGUAAUUAAAAUGAAAAGAAAAAGAAAGAAAGAGAAAAACAAAACAAAAAAAACAAAAACAAAAAACGAAAAUAAAAGAAAAUAAAAGAAAAAUAGAAAAGAAAAAGGGACACUUGCAAAAAUAACAAAAAAAUAAUAUUAAUAAUAGGGUCCAUGUCACUACGUUUUCUAUAUUGCAAAAUUAGCAAAUUUAAAAGUUGAUAACCCUCUGAUAGCCCUCUCAUAAUCCUUAGAUAGCAUUCUAAUAGUUGUUUCAUAGCCGUUUAAUAGCACUAAUUAUUUGUCAUAUUUGUCAUAUUCGUAAGAUGGAAAAAGAGGUGUUAUAGCUUAUUUUUUCUAAAUGUUUUUGUCAUAUGUUGCAAUUUUUUAAGGAAGAACGAGAAAAAUGAAGGAAAAGGAAAAAAGAAAAAAACUCUUUCAUAAUUUUUUUUUAAAAUAAAUUCUAUCUUUAUCUUUUCUUUUCUCCAGCUCGACCCUCUUUCACUUUUUUUUCCUCCCCCUCUCCAUCAGCCCCCUCUAUCUCUCCCGCGACCAAAAAGAAAAACAUAAAAAUGAACCCCAUUUUCACACUAUGUUCUCCCAAAUAGGUAAGGAAGCAAACGAUGAAGCAAAAAUAAAAAGAAAAAAAGUUAGAGGAGCCAAAUACAUAAGUAUCAACAAACGUGUUUGAUUGUCGAGAUUACCUAAUCUUUUACUUUAGUUUUUAAAAAAAUAACAAAUUAAAUAAAUAAAUAAAUAAAAUUGCUUUAAUUUUUUUUUCUAAUUAAAUCCAUGAUCGAAGAAAAAAUAUUGGAGAAUUAAAAAAAAAUUCACAAUUCAUUUUGUUUUUCUAUUGUUGCAAAAAAAAAAAAAAAAAAAACUUUAUCCAAUUCAUAAAUUCAUUUCAAAUUUAAAUUGAGUAAAAAGAGAAGGGGCGAACUUUUUAAAUUCUAAGUUUGAGGCUAAUUCAGGUUUAAGCUGCACAAAUUUUACUAAAAAUUCAAAUUAGAAAAUUAUGAAAAGAAAGAAAAAACUUUAACUUAAAUUCAUGAAUGAGCAAUAUUCCAAUUUCAUCAAUUUUAUAAGUCUCAAUCUCCCAACUAAAUUUAUCGUGAAUUAAAUUCAAAAUUUACUAAACUUUAUAUCAUUUAGUCACAGCUAUGUCCAAGUGCGUAGUCUGAUUAAUUUUGCAUAUUAACUUGAGUCAAAGUCAAUAACAAAUCAUUUCUAGUUUUUGUUUCACCUUAUCGUUUUUUAGAUUCACCCAUCCAUGAAAUUUCGACCAAUUAAAUUCUGCGGCGUUAUCACAACAAGCAUUACGAUAGUUAUAAUUUGAUUGAGUUUGGGUAAUUAACUUUUCUCAUACACAAUCCAAUUCAAAACCUAAAUAUAAAAAUUGAGUCAACCAAGCAAAUGAGCCCAAGCCCAAGCCCAAUGACAAAGCGCCAUCUAAAACCCACGAAAAUUCUCUAUAAAUAGAGACCAUUCCACAUUUUUAGGAUCUUUGGGAGUAGGAGGAAUUGAAGCUUUGAAUAUUGUACCUCUAAAGAAUUGAAAAAGUUAUUAAGACGUAUAAGUUAUUAUCAAUCUCGAGAUUAUCAUCUUCUAAAAGAUUGAAAAAUUGGAAGGUUAAAACUUUUCUGGAAUUCUAGUAGAUCGAAGCUCAAAUAGACUUGCAACUAUAACUUCGUAUUAACUUUUCUGGAGAAGUUCUAAGUUUUAACUUUUAUUCUAAAGAAAGCAUCAAAUGAAUAAAUACUAGAGAUUGUAUUCAUUAUAUAAAUCAAUAUACAAAGUUCAAUUCUACGAAAUACAGUCAUGUAAAAAAAUGUGGCGUGAACAUAUCCUAUAAAAAUCUCUAAUUUAUAAUUUCAUAACAACAUGAUUUGUUUGCUGAUGGAUGAGACCAACUUCACUUUUUGUUACCUAAAUAUUUUCACUCGUAUUUGUUAGCUUGACUUUCAAAUCCAAAACCACUAAAUGGCCCUCCAAAAUUAAAUUGCCAACAAAAACUAAAGGGGAAAAGGUUUGUAGUUCAAUUAAUGAUGGGAGAAAGUUUGUCCGAAAUCAACGUUGGGUCUUAAUUUCAUUUUGGUUUAACUUUCGCAUCAUUUAUCAAAUUUUACAUGUAAUAACUUACUUUUAUUUUUAUGAAAUAUUUUAAUUAUUUAUUCAUAGUUUGAAUGAAGAUAAUGUGUUUGGAAACCGAAGCUAAAUAAAAAGUAUUGUCUUAUUAUUAGGGCGUGAAUUAUGGUUGGAAACAUUGAUAGUUCAAUUAUUCUAAUACAUUUCUUCUAACUAAUAUGCCGUGAAUUAUGGUUUCUAACUUUUGAUAAUCAAUUUUUUAAUAUAUUCUUUUAAUAAAGGUAGUUAAUUGAGGGAAAACUACUUUUUGGAGGGAUAAUUUAAUUGGUUUUCCAGGUUUCAAAUUAGCUAAUUCAGUUCUACAUUUUUUUAAAUAGAUUUUGUCAUUUUACUCUUUUUUAAAUAAUAAUAAAAAUUAAUAUUUAUUAAUCAUGGUAACCAAUUCUAUGUUUUUUUUACGAGAGAUCUUAGGUUCAUAACCCCCACCCCAAGUUAUACUUAAAAAAAACUAUUUUCAUGUUUUUGUUUGACAAAUAGAUUUCAUUCAAUUUGUUCUUUUUUAAUUUAAAGGUGUUUUUAACCGACAUACAGGAAGAUACUGUGAGAUUCAAUCCUUUCUGGACACUUGAAGUUGUAAUUACUAUUUCUCGGGUUUUCUGUCAUAUAAGUCAAUCUUUUUCAGCAAGCAAGCUAAUCGAUGUUCAGAAAGACUAAUCUUUCAUAUAAAAACUAGUUCUGUUUUGCUUCUUGGUGAGUUCUUGAUAUAUAUUGUAUAUGUGUAGAGUAUAAUGUUGUUCACCGAAUUAAUAACUAAAUAGAGAACCGAAGUGAAGAUAUCUCUAUUGUAAGCCUAGCAAGUAGCAUAGUACUGAAGUAUCCAUACUCAUGUGGGCAACCUGAACAAUGUGAUGUAAAUCAAGAUAAUAAGCAACUAAUUGAGACGAGAUUCUUUUAUAAAUCUGGAUUGUUCAGUAUAAGUUUGUUUAGUAUCUAAACGAUAUUAAUUCUGAUAAAAAUAUUUGUACUUAUAAACUUUUAGAUAGUUAAUAUAAGAUCUUUUCAAUCGGGUUCAUGACUUGCAGAUGUAGGUGUUGUGGCAUUGAAUUGGGUUACCAACACUUUUCUGCUAUGUUAUCUUUUUAGUCUUGCUCAUGCAGUUUUCUCGGUUAUUAAUUUGGAAUUUAUCUUGUCUCUUUGAUUGAUUGAGUGCUUUUUUUUCUCUCUAUUAUUUUUUUCUUUUUUUGGUUGUAACUUUUUUUUCUCUCUAUUAUUUUUUUCUUUUUUAAUUUACUAAAUUUAGGAGUGAUUUUUAAAAUCACUAAAAACUCUUACAUUAUUGUUUCAUCCACGUUAUUUAGGAUAUUGAUUUUUACUUAUUUCAAACUCACAAACGAGAGGGAAUGUGUUACAUGAUAUAUAAUUUUAAAAAAAAUUCAUCUCUUAAUUUAAGUUUUUUGGUUAAUCGAUGAUUUAAGAUAUCUCAAUAACUUUAUUUUAAAAGUAUUAAACUAAUUUUGAUGGAUUAAGUAAAAAUAUGAUUAAGAGUCAUUUGUGGAAUUUAUUUUAAUAAUUUUAUAAUAACUCUCAACCAAGGUUAGAGUUAUUUUUGUAAAACUAUAAUUACGGACGAUUGUUUUAAAAGUUAAUGUAAUUAAUUACAAACUCACUCUAAAUCAAUUUCUUCGUAAUGGGUGGAAAGAAGUUAGCAUUUAUUUUGGUAAGAGAAUGGUCCAUCUUGGCUGCUGUCUAGUAGUAUGUCCACUUGCAAAAGCAAAAUAUAAAAUAGUAAAAGAAGUUAUAAAGCAUUUUCAAACAUGGAAAAAGUUUUUUAUAUAUAUAUGGAAAUUUUCAAAUAUAAUAUAAUAAAUCAAAAUACUUAUAAAAUUUAAAAUAGACAAUAAUAAAUAUGGAUAGAUUUUCAUAUUCAUAGACAUUAAUAUAAAUCUAUCAAAAUGUUUAUCAAAUUUGUUCACAAUUUUUUUUCUAUAAUUUAGUUUUGAAAAUAGAAAUAAAGGAACAUUUUGAAACAUAACAAAAUGAACUAAAUAUUUAUAAAAUAUAACAAAAUUUAAUAUUAUCGUUGAUAGAAGUUUAUCGAUGAUUGUUUGGAUGCUGAAUUGAUAUAGCAUGUCUAAAGUCCAUAUGUUCGAGGAGUUUAUAUGUAUUGAGAGUUCUUUAUGUAUCUAUAAAUAUUUAUCACCGAUAGAAUUUAAAAUUAAUUUUAUAAUAAAUAUUUUCAACCGAUUUUCUAUUUACAAUGAUUAAAAAAAAUAAACUAAAAUAAAUAAUUAAAUAUAAAAUAUUAAUUUUGUUUGCCCACCAUCCACCUUUUAUUCAAGUCGGUAGGUCUUCAAUUCUUCCUUAGCUUGUCAUUUUGUGCAAAACUAUCACCCUUUAUUUCAAGUCAGUUGAUAACCUUAGUAGCAUUUCUACAGAUCAUGAUUAGUUGAAUAUUGAUAUUUUAAAUAAAUUAUAAAUAUAGAAAAAUAUAUCAAUGCUAAACUACUAAUAAUAUUGUCUAUCACGAAGAAUGCUAAACUACUAAUAAUAUUGUCUAUCACGAAGAGAUGUACUAAUUUAAUAGUAUUAAGAUGAAGUUACUAAAUUGUUGUUAAAUCAUAUGAUUUUUAUAUAUUAAAGUCGUACGUAUUGAUAUUUUGAAAGAAAAAUAAUUGAAACACUGAAUUCGUAUUGAAGUCGUUGAAGACACGUUAAAUAAAAUUACAACUAACCAUGAAUUAAUGGAUGAAAAUAAAAUGUUUUCUUAAAUUAAUAAUUGACUAAUAUUAUGAUUCAAAGACGAAAAUAGUUGUUCUCAAACAUAACCUUAAUAAGUAGUCAAUUGCAAAAAUAAUCCAACAGUUUGCUAUAAAAAGCCAUCUUAAGUAGUCAAUUGCAAAAAUAAUCCAACAGUUUGCUAUAAAAAGCCAUCAAAAGUUGGAGCAUUUCAACAAGCAAGUGAAACAAAUCCAGAAAAUAAAGAGUCACAAAAUGUCUCAUAAACAUUUGGUUAUUCUUCUUCUUGGAGUGAUUCUUCUUAGCACCCAAGUGAUUGCCCGGCCUUAUUACUUGUCGGAGAACCACCACAGACUGACUCCCUCCGCCACCGUCCCAUCGGCAGUCGGGGAAUCUUUGCAAAAACUCCCACCAUGGUUGAAGAAAAUUUUUCCCAAAAAGCCUCCCAAAAUCCCAAAAAUCAACUUGCCACCUCCACCGCCGCCGCGACGCAGACUGAAACCGCCUUCUUCCAACUGAUCAAUGCUAAAAAGUUGUAGUGAUUUGAAGGUGUUUAAUAAAUCAGCACCGCACCAUCACUGUGGUGUGUGCUCUCUCUCAACUCUCAAGCUUAAUUAGAUGAAUGAUUAUUGGAAGUUUAUUUUUAAGUAAUAUGUUUUUCUAAUAUUAGUACAAUCUAAUUAAGUACAUGUCUCAUGUACUGUGGGACCAUUUCUCUCUUUUUCAAAUAAUAAAUGGAAGGCAAGUGCUUGAGUAGUCAAUCUCAAAGAUGGUGUGUUGUCGUCCUUUGUUAUAUAAUAUAAAUUGAAAGAAUAUGAUUGUACUGUUUAUGAUUUGAUGAACUUAUUUAUAAAUAUAUCAAAAUUUAGACUUAUAUACACAACUUUCUCAUUUAAGUAAUAUCAGAAUAUAAUAUAUUAAGGGGAAAAAUGAAACUAAUAGCAUAGUUAUGAGUACUAACAUGUUGUUUGUCAUUGGAGAGAGUGUCAUCUUCGCAAAGUGACAAAUUAUUUCCAUGCAAUUUGAAUCAUUUGCCCAAGUGGACCACAGUAACAGUUUUGAUCCCGUGACAGACUCCAAUCAUAAUUCAUAACAAUAUGUUUUUUAAUUAGCAAUCAAAAAUCAUAUAAGGAAAAUUUGUCAACCAUAUUUGAAAAAUAGUCUUUCCACCCCAACCUAGGUAAAAAAAUUUAGACUGGCUAAUCGUUAAAGAUCUAAACAUUCCAUUGCAAAUUUAGAGGUGGUGUGACCCACUGAUAGCCUUAUGAUUAUCGCCUGAUGACCCUUCGGUAGCUCUAUGAUUAUCGUCUAAUAUCACUAAUUUUGGCAUAUUUGCAAUAUGCAAAAAAUUGAUGUCUUGAAUUGUUUUUUUAAAAUGUUUUUAUCAUUUGAUUCAAUUUUUAGUGUGUUUCAACGGAUAACAUAUAUUUUAAGUAGUUAGAAGAAAUAUUUAUAUUGUUACACAAUUUUUAUUGAAUUGUUUUCAAAUAUAUAAAAGUGAAAACUAAAAUAUAAGUCUAUCACUGAUAGACUAUGUUGCAAAUAUUGGUCUAUCAUUGAUAUACUAUUUGAAGUCUAUCAGCGAUACAAGUCUAUCAGUGAUAGUUUUGUUGUAUUUGCAAUUUUCAAUUUUCCUAAAAUUUAAGGUUUGAAUUCAAAAUCAUUUAUUAAACCUAAUAAUUCAUUGAAUAAAAAUGGUAUUUUUAUAUUUAUUAUUAGUUAAUACAAUUUCCAAAUAAAGUACACAAAAUUGGCUAAGCAGCCAUGUUCUAAUUGGAUAAGUAGUAUGACUUCUAAUGAAGUUGAUUGUAGGUUUGAGUCCCACUCGACCUGCUUCCUUUUUGUUUCCUAUCACUCACAUUCGUCAAUCAAGCUGGAUUUUGUGUCAUUUGUGUUGGAAAAAAUCUAGAAACCCCCCCCCCCCCCCCCCCCCCCCCCUCCCCUCAUUUUUUAAUUAAAUUUCUCCGAUUUUCAAUUUUUAUUCAAACAAUAUUUUUGAUAAGUCACUGUCAAAAAUUAAAAAAACAAGGAAAAACAAUUUAAAAAAAAAAAGGGAAAAAGGAAGCACGCCCAGUGGGACUCGAACCCACAAUCGCCUGAUUAGAAGUCAGACGCCUUAUCCAUUAGGCCAUGGGCGCUGAUUUGAUAACAGGUAAACAAAAUAAUGUAUCUAUCUACUCUUCAAACGUUUCAUAAUUGUCAAACCAAUGUUGUGUAAAUUAACUGUAAGAUAUUUUAGAAUGCAAAAAAUUAUUGGAAUUUAUGCAUGAAUGAGUAACAUAUUCAUCUAACACAUAUCUUCAUUCUCACAUGUCUAAAUAAAUAUUGUUACAGAUAAUUAAUUAUGGGUGUGUGUUAUAGGUUGAAAUCAUGUUAUCAAUAAUUAUGAGUCACUUGCUAUUAAAGCUCAAGUUCAUAACGAAAAAGCAAAACCUGAUAUCUCAAAAAGUAGUACUUUAUUCCCCUUUGGAUGUGUCAUUUCCAAAAGAAUAUAUAUACAUACAUAUAUAAUUUUAUAUAUAAAUGCUUGCAACCAGGCUUUCAAAUUGUAGUUGUGGUAAAGUAGUUAAUAACUUUUCCCACAUAUGUGCAUUGUUGAUAUCCAGUCGAAUGGGUUUGGACAUGAAAAUAAACAACUUUUUACCGUCUCUGUGUGUGUAUAUAUAUAUAAUUUAGUUUUGAGAAGAAAUAUACAAAAUUUCUCUCGUUUUCCUUCUCAUUAUUUUUUUUAGCCUACUUAAUUCUAAGUUGUUUAUUGUUUAAUUUUAGUAUGUAUUUUUUUACAAACGCAUGUAACGGAUGAGUGUUGUGUUAAAGUUGGGAUCAACCAACUUUUUAUGUUUUAGUAUCCACUUUGUAAUAUUUUUUUUCUUGCAAGUGACAGAAACUUGUUUGGUCCCCUUAGAAAGAUGACGAUCGAUCUUUUCCAUGACAGACAACAUGUUGAUAGUCAAUGUGCUAUUAAUAUGAUUAUUUCAUGAUUGUGAUCCCCUGUUAAAUCACAUUCAUUAUUAUUUUGUUAGGAUCACAUUAGUAGCACAAAAGUAAAUAUAAUUCAACAUUAAUUUAGCCUGUUGCGCUAAAAAAAACUUAUAUAAUGGAUCAUUAGUAUUUUAUUAGAAUAUUUUGACGAAUAUAAAAUUAAUUUUAUUUUUAUUUGAAAAAAGAUAAAAUAUCUUUCUUAUAUUUAUUAUCAUUUAUCAAUCUCUUUUAACAGGGAGUUAAAGAUUGAUCUUCCUUAAAUAUCUAGUUUAAAGAGAAAGAUAUUCUUCGUAUUUAGAAAUAUUUUACUGUAAAGUUCUUCUUUUUUGGCUAUUUAAAAAGUAGAAGUUCUCUAAACGUAAAAUUUAUUCUUCACGGCUGUUGUUCAAAAGUUUAUAUUUUUUUGUGAAGAAUCUGUACGAAGAUAAACCGGUUACCUACAGAUUAUUGAAGAUCGUCAAGAGAUUUGAGAGAGUAUCAAUUGAUAAGAAAUAUAAAUGAAAGCUGAGAUAAUUAUAUUGUGGUCAAUGAAUUCAAGGAGAGCCUAAAUUCGUCUUCGAGGAGAUUCAAAUUUACCGUUAGCUUUUCGAGGAGAUUCAAGUUUACCGUUAGGGGGAGCUUAAGUUUAUACGGUUAAGUUAUGGUGAUAACUUGUUAAUAUAACUUUCGUUAAGUUACAAACUUUUGAAUUUCAGUAAUACUUCUUACCUGAGCAAAGAAGCUUCUUAGAUGUAAGUCAUACUUUGCCGAACUAGGUUACCAAAGCCUUCUGUAUUAUCUGUUCGUUUUGUUACGUUUGUUCGUUUUUUUAUGUUAGCUAUUUCCUGAAGUUAAUAAUGUUAGUCAUAGAUGAAGGAUAUUAUUUAUCAUCUCACAUAUUUUUCAUAUUCAAAAUGAAAAUCAUUGAAAUAGAAAAGUUAGCUUACUUCAGUAGAAAUCUAUAAUCAAUUCCUUUUAAGUUGUAGAAUUAUUUUUUCUCGAAAUAAAAGUCUAACUUAUUAAGGUAAAAGAAGAGACAAAUAUUUUAUUAUAUGCUCUCAAAAUUACAAAAUAGUUAUAAAGUACGUAUACUAAAUGUAGAACUCGAACAACAUUUAUGUAUUGCCAAUAAUAAUUCUUAAAACAAUAUUAAAAUUUUUAUAAAAAGUACAAGAAAAAACCACAUUAUUUCAUAAAAAUAAACUUCCAAAAAUUAUCUAUCUUAAGCUUGAGAGAAGCACACACAUAGUUAUGGUGGUGCUGGUCUAUUGAACACACUUAUGGCAUUCAGUUCGAAGAAGGUGGUCUCCAACUGCGUACUGGUCGAGGUGGCGGUGGCGGUGGCGAUGGUGGUGGCGAUUUGACUUUUGGGAAUUUGGGAGAUUUUUUGGGAGAUUUUUUGGGAGAUUUUUUGUGAAAAUGUUUCUUAAAAAAGGGUAUGACUACUUUCCAAUAUGCGGCUGAGACGGUGGCGGAGGGAGUGAGUUUGUGGUGGUUCUCCGACAGGUAAUAAGGUCGAGCAACAACUUGGGUGCUAAGAAGAAUCACUCCAAGAAGAAGAAGAAUAACCAAAUACUUCUGAGACAUUUUUGUGCCUUUUUUUCUCUUUUUGUUUUGAGAUUCUCAAACUUAGGUGGCAUUUUAUAGCAACGAUUUACAUUAUUUUUGCAAUUGACUACUUAUUAAGGUUAUUUUUGCAAAGAAGUAAUCUUUUGGUCCUAAAAUCAUAACAUAGUCCAUGAUUAUUUUUUAAAUAUAAUUUCCUACGUAAUCGCAUAUCAUGAUUGUUUAGAAAAAGAAUUACACGAAGAAUUUUUUCCAUCGUUAAAAAGAACUACAUGAACAUGUAUAAUUUCUGACACAAUCGUGUAUCAUUUCUUACACAAUUGAUACACGUUUGUGUUUUAUGAUUGUUUAGAAAAAGAAUUACAUGAACCAUUUUUUUCAUCAUUAAAAGGAACUGCAAGAUCGUGUAUCAUUUCCUACGCAAAUACAAUCGUGUGUCAUGAUUGUUUACAAGAAGAAUUACAUGAACCAUUUUUUCUAUUAUUAAGAAGAACUACACGAUUGUGUAUCAUUUUCUACGCAUACGAUUGUGUAUAAUUUCCUAGAUGAUCAUGUAUCAUGAAUUGUUUACAAAAAGAAUUAUACGAAUCAUUUUUUCUAUCGCUAAAAAGAACUAUAUGAUCAUAUAUCAUUUUUUACACGACUGCGUAUUAUGUUCGUGUAUCAUGAUUGUUUAGAAGAAAAAUUACACAUGCAUAUGUGGUAAAGUGUUGAUACUAGCUACAUGAACCAGUAGUGGUAAUUGAAUGAAUGAAUUCUAUAAUAUCUCAAGUAUAAAAUAAUCAAACUUGUGAAUCAUUUGUGUGUUUCAAUCUUUUUUUACUCAUCUCCAUCAAUAUAUUGGACAUUCAAGUAUUUCUUCUUAUGAUUCAUUGUUCACAUGUCUUGCUUCUAUUUAAUGUAGAGUAAGUUAGCAUUUGGGUUUUUUAUUAUUGUAGCUAGUCGAUUAUUUAUUUAUGUAUUUACCAAAAGUAAUAAUAAUUAAUAAAGAAAACUACAGCUCUAAGGUGAUUUAGGGAAAAUCAUCAUUGUAUGAGUGCAAGAUCAAUUCCGUUAAUAAAACAAGUUUACUCUGCUUACGUUAUAAACAAACAAAAUUGAUAUUGAAAAUAUUUAUAAAUAUAGUAAAAUUUUAGAAUAUAUCACUCGUAGAUACUAACAAAUUUGAAUGAUGUAUGAUAGUACUAAUAAAGACUAAAAUGAUAAUUUUUUAAAUUUUAUUAUAUUUAAAAACAACUAUGGAAAAGUAUUUAUAUUAAUUGAAUAUAAUAUAUUUACGGGAAAUAAUGAAAUUGACAACCAAGUUUGACCGGUUCAAUCUACCUUCAAGUGACAAAUUCUCACUUUAAUUUCAAUAUCUUCAAUAACAUUUGCAAGUAGCCAAAGUCAAAUUUCAUUUAUUGGCUAUCAAAACUAGAAGAAACUUCUUAUCAUUAAAUAUAUAUUCUCUAUUGUAAAUACAUACUAAUUAAGAAUUAUUAUUCAUUUUAAAAUGACCGUUGAUACAUUAUUAUUCAUUGAAUUAUAAUAGAAUUGAUUUAAAGAACUACUAAUUGGCAUGGCUUAAUCUAAUCAAAUGAAUACUUUAUUACAUAUACUUACCUUUUAUAUUCAUGGUUUAUUAGCAACCACUAAAAAUAUAUAUCUUAUACUCAAUUGGACUAUAUAUAUACACAUAUGUUUAAUUUUAUUUCUUUAUUAAUGCGAAAGAAAUUAGGAAUUUGAACACUUUAAAUAUAUAUAUUAUUUGAAAGAAAAAAUCAUAAUUAUAACGAUUCAGAACAACUAUUCCAUUGCAAAUCAAAUCACUUAAAUCUGCACGCUUCAUUUUUUAAAAAAAAUCUCCACGCUUCAUUUUCCUUUGCCAAGAUCUAAAGGCCCAAAUUGAAUUUAGAUUUCACUAACUUUUUCAUUUUUCAACCAAUAAUUUUUAAUAUUUGCAAUCCUGCAUAACUCAAUAAGCCACCAUUGUUGCUUCUCCCCAAGCUUUCAUUUUUUUCUUCUAUCUUCUUCUUCAAAGAGAUAUAUUCUAUGUUGGAUGACUUAUUUGCUGUGAUUUAUUUUUUGAGUGUGUUAUUUAAUUCUUCCAAACCUAUUGUCAGGGGAUACUCUUGAAGCCAUAACAAAAGUGUUGUAAAGGCUAGAACCUCGAAGUGGAAAGGAUCAAAUUUGUUCUUGGGCACGAAAAAAGAAUAAUGGUGUGGUGGAUUGACUCUAACUCAUGAAUAGAGUUAAGUUUGUAGUGACAUAUAUCCAAAAGGAACUUGAAAAGUGGAUCAUAUAGAUGGAUUUUGUACCAAAAACGCUACAAAGAUAGCUAUUUAAUUUUACAAAGUAAUUUGUUUAUAUACUUCGUUACAUAUAAAAUUAUUCAUUUAGCCCUUGUGUACUUGUCAUCUAAUCUACACUUUGUAAUUGAUUUUUAAAAGAACAUUACACUACUACAAAAUUGGCAAUACUUGACACUUUUUACCUAUCAAGUAUUUGUUUACAUGACACUUUUAAAUGCGUCAAGUAAUCUAAUGUUAAGAAUAAGAGAAGUUUACUUGACAGUUUUUAAGCGUCAAGUACAAUUAUACUUGACAGAUAAAAAGUGUCAAUUGUAUGAGAUUACUUUAAACUUUUUACAUGUCAAGAAUAAGAAGGUUAUUUGUUUGACAGCUUUUAUGCGUCAAGUAAAUUUAUAUUUGCCAGUUUAUAAACGUCAAAAAUUUAUUUAUUCUUGACACGUUUUGUAUGACAAUAUUUUUUUUCUUUUAAAUAAAAAAUUGUACAAUUUGAAAUAUUCAUAUUAUUAUAUUACACCUGUUUUGAAGUCCAUUCACACACAUAUAAGUAGAGUCUUUGAGAUUACACAAAGUUGCUAAACUACGCAUAUUAAUUAAACAAUUGAAUCAACCCAAACUUUCCAUUAAAAAACUAAUACUUUAACAAAUUGCAUAUAUCACUGAACCAUACCUAUAGUUAGUCAUUACAAACUUAAUUACAAUAGCCCAAAUUUCUACCAUAUGAAGAUAUUGUUCUACCUAGCUCUAUGUCUAAUAUGAAAAAUCUUAAAGUCUGCAAAAUGUAAAUAUGAGAAAAAAGCUAACAUUUGGUCAAAGCUCUGGAUUCUUUCGUAACAUGUCCACAAUAAGUGUUUUCCUACAUGUAGAAAAGAGCAAGAGUUUCAACAUUAGAUUGCACAAGACAACUAACUAUGCUAAGCAUCAAUACAUUUAUUCUCAAUUACAUCAGUUUUUAUUCACUAAAACUAAGCAAACCAUAUAAAGAAAGAAGUCAUGGAAGGAACAAGUUAUUCAAAAUCACUCAAAGAAUAAGCUAAGCAAAAACAUAGAAAAAUUAAAAGAAAAGAAAAAAAAGAACUGCUUGAAGUUCAUAUUUAAGUUUUUUCCUAUGAGAUAUGGUACAGACAACUAACUAAAAUGAUGAAAGAAAGCAAGUCCAACAUACUAUUUUUUUUCCAUUGCUGAAAGGUAAGCUUAUUUAUUCUAAGAACUCAAGAAAAGUAGGAACUCAAUUUAACCCUCUUCACCAGAUUCGAACAUUCAAAUCAUGCAAAUAUUAAUACUGUAAAAUUACAUCUAGACUUUAAUAAAUACCACAAGAAACCAAAGGUAAUGAUUUCAUAUAAGAGACAUAGGGAUGGGUUGGAAUUUUUUUAAAAAAACGGUCAACUGUUUUCAAAACAAAGAUUUAGUGAAGACAUCUUCAAAUAACCAUACAAUUACUUAACUUCCUAUAGUUAGUUGUAUUAAUAGCACAACUCGUGUUUUUCUUUCUAUAAUCAUGGAUAUAUGUAAAGUUUUUUAACAACACUAAAACCAUGACAUUUUUUUCAUAUGGCACUAUAGAACUAAUUUGAUAAACAAUACAAAACAAACUCUUGGUAGAAAAAAAUGUACCAUACAAAUUCUUGAUAGUUGACUUUCUUCCAUGUGUAAUGGUAGGUCUUCCAUUAGUGUAAACCUAAACAAAGCAUGAAAGAGAAAGAACUCAAUCACCAAUCAAGAAAAAUUAUCAUAAAUAAUAAUUGAAAAAAGGUUUACAAAUAUUUCUAAUGGAUAUCCUGUUUUCUAAGUCCAUUAACAAUGGUCCAAAUUUGGUACUUCACAAAAAUAAUUUUUCUUGGUGGACAAUGCCCAUAAAGAUAUAACUUUUCUUGAUGGAUCUUGUCCAUGAUUUUUUUUUUCUUUUUUUGUAUUUGUCUAUCAACAAAUCCUAAACCCAUCCAGAAAUUUAAUAUAUAUAUAUAUAUAAAAUCAAGAAAAUUCAUCUCUUAAUGGGUCUCGUCCAUAAAAAAAAUCUAACUUGUUAGACAUUGUCAAUCAACUAAUAUAUUAUCUUUGAUGUUUAUUCUCCAUCGACAAAUAAUUUUCUUUACGCUUGUGGACCAUCAAUAAAACUAAGGAAACUUUGUCCAUCAAGAAAAUAAAAAAUUCAUAUUUUUUUUUAGGUUUUUUCAUAUUUCUUCAACAAAAUAAGUGAACUUUUCUUGACGUACAUGACCGUUUUUAUGAUGUUUAUGUGCAUUCCUUCAUUUAUAGAUUUUUGUGAUGUCUAGGAGCAAGCCAUCGACCGAACAAAAAAGUUUCAGAGAAAUUGAUGAGAAUUCAAAUAUGAAGAACGUAAAAAUGGGAGACUAAAAAGAACAGAUCAGAAGCGUCGUUUCCAAAAAAUAACAAAGUGGCAUGAUGAUGCUAAAGAACUAGGUUUUUCAUUUUUUUUUUUUUAUUGCUUUGUAAUUAAGUAUGCUUUUGAUAUAAAGAUGUAGGGUGUGCUUAGCAAUAUAUAGUAUAUUAUGGAUCUUAUAAUUGAGGGAUGAAGGAAAAAAAAUGUCUUUCUCCUUUUGUAUUAUCUCAAAACAAUAACUAAUUAUAAUUCUUGAGAAAUGUGUUAAAUAAUUAUACUUCUUGAAUACGGUAGAAUAUGGUAGAAGUACAUAAAAUAAAUAAAAUUAACACAAAUGUCCAAAUAAUAAUAAAGUCAAUACAUGUUGAUGUCCAAAAUUCCAAUCCAUUUACACAUUUGAUAUGCAAGAGAUACAUGUAAAAAAAAAACCUACACACUUAUCUAAAGUUUGAUUGAAAAGAUUGUUUCAUAAUCAUACUAUCAAAUUCUUAAUAUAUUUUAAUUAACUCAUUUGAUUUAUACACACUCGUAUAAGAAAUCUUGAGUAAGAGGUCUCUACAAAAUAAAGCUCCAAAAUGUAAUUCCAAAAAUCAUGAGUAAAGAAACGUAACUUCAUAUUAUUUGUAUAAUUAAUUACUCUCUUAAUUUUAUUUAGUCAAAUAAAAUAAAAAAUUGGCGUGUGUAUAGUAAGUGUUAUUAAGAUUUUGGAAACUGUUCACAACUAAGUUUUGUUUAUAAUUUCAUCGUAUUUGAUUCCCAAUUCUCGAAUAAAUAUCCAAAUUGAAAAUUAUUCAAAAUCCAAACAUAAAUAGAAAUUAUAGAUAUACACAAAUUGGAACCAGCACAAUGCCUAGCCACAAAAUCUAGAAAGGUUAAACGUGUCCCAGUCUCAAUUCAAAAAUAUCCUAUGCAACUUCAAAUUUGUCCUAUUAAAAUACUUAGUUCCAUUGGAUACUCCAACUAGCUGUUUAAUUGGGUAGGUCUUAUUAACUCAUUCAGUUCCUUCCUAAUUCUAAUUCUACGGUUAGCUAUAUUUGAAUCAAAGUUUAGUAAGUCAAGUGAUCACUUAAAAAAGUUUUUUUUCUUGUUGCAACUUAUAAAUGUUAUAAAUGUAAAUUAGGAGUAAAUUUAGAUAUUACCUUAUUUUCUUGUAUUUAUUCGUUAAUGUACAAUUAGUUGUUCAAUUAAAACUUAGAGAUCACUCAUUUACCGAAGAAUAUUUAUAAAAUAUAACCAAAUUUUGUAUUUUAUUAUUAAUAAAUAUUAUUGAUGCAAAUUGAAAUUUUGUUAGGUUUUUUAAAUUCAUUGAAAAUGUCCUGAAGAUUUAUUAUGUGAUAUAUACAUUUUUUUGAAAAAACAAAAGGAAAAGAUUGGAAAGAGGUUACACACGCCAAAUCAUUAUCUACGUUAAAAGAGAUACUUUGGCUAUACAAUACAGUACAAUGGCUAUACAAAUAUUUUUCCCAAUAAAUCAUUGCAGCUAUGAACUCGUAAUGGAGGGUUAUAAUAAUAAUUAAAAAAACGGUUGUUACUAAAGCAAGCAAUGAAAAAUAUAAGUCAUUUAAUAUUUAUAGUUGUUUUCAGUAUAGUAAAAUAAAUCAAAGUAUUUAUAAAAUUAAAUAUAUUAAAAUUUUAAAUUCUAUUAAUAUUUAGUAGGCACCCAUAAUUUUUUUUUUAAUGUUGAUAAGUUGCUGAAAUCUUUUUAUAUUUAUAAUUAUUUUAAACAAUUUUAUCAUUUAAAAUUAAAAACAAUAACAGCUUUGAAUUUGAAAAAAAAUUACAAACAUUGUAAAAUAUUAUAUUUAUAAACUAAUAUGUUAAAAAGAUUUGAAUAUAAAAAACUUGCCCUCAAAACACCUACCUCAUUAAUGGCAAAAUAAUAACCCCGUAAAAUGCUAUAAAAGGCCACAACGUAUGAGGUUCCCAGUAGGAAAAACUCAAACUCCAAAAGCCACAAUGUUUCUCAAAUACUUCCUUCUCCUUCUUCUCGCAGUUGUGCUUCUUACCACAACACAAGCCCUGAAACACCCCUCCAACUCCAACCAAGAAGUGAUUCCAACCACCGACGUCACCCACGGAAAGCUCCCGACCACCAUCACCGAUCCAAACGAAGAAUCCAAAUUCUACAGGAGGCCGUCUCCCUACAAGAAGCCUUACAAGAGGCCACCCUACAAGAGGUAUCCACCCUACAAGAAACGCCCUCCAUACAAGAAGUACCCACCAUCUUCCCACUAAAUGGCAUCCAAAACCAAAGUGGAGGCCAUGGACAAUUAAUGUAUCAUCUGUUUAAUUUCUUUGAUAAAUAAGUGGUGCUACAAGCUCCAAGGGUAAUACUAGGAAGUUCAUGAUGUUGGCCUUUUGAAUUACGUAAUAUCUGUUAAUCCAAACUUCAUAUGUGUGACAUAUGGUUUGUAUUUUCUGUGUUAUUGCUUCACUUAUUGUGUAAUAAUUUAAAGUUCGAAUGGAUUUAAUAUUUUGUUUCAACUAUGUUAGUCUUCUUUUUAUACUCUUUAGAUUUAGAUAUUGAAAUUGUACUGAUUUCAACAUUCAACAUGUAGGAGAGAAAUUUGAACAUUGAACUGUGAUCUUUUUCUUAAUACAUAUUCAUCAAAUUAAAAUAUAUAUGUAUUUAAAUUAACAAUUUCAUAUAACUAAUGUAUUAGUUAUUAAUUAAUUUUGAAACAUAAAAACAUUUAAGAUAUGUUGAAUGAGAGAGCGAGAUGUUUCCUUUUGAGAUUAGACCGGGCUAAUUAGUUAUAUGAUAAGAAUAACAAUUAGGUUAACUAAAAUAUAGUAAAUACUUAUGCUAAUUAAAUUAUAUGUUUUGAGAAAUUUUCACAGUUGAACUAUUUAUAUAUAUCGACAAAAAGAUACUCAUAAACCAUGAUAGACUUCUUUCAUAGUUUCUAUUAUUGAUAGUAUCAAUAUUUAUAAACUUCUACUAGUUUCUAUCCAUCGUAGAAAUUGAUAGAUUUCUUUUCAACCUCUAUCAAUCAUAGAUUUCAAUUAGUUUCUAUCACUAAUUAACUUUUAUAUCAAUGUUUAUCAAAGUUUAUCAAUGUCAAACUUGUGUAUUAAUUUCUAACAUUGUUAGACAUUGAUAAACUUCAAUUAGUGUAUAUAUGGAUAUAAUGAAAGUAAAAGUUUUUUAUAUAACUGUAAACUGCUUGACCCAUUUUUCUACCUUUAAAAUUUCUUAAUUAAAAGCAUACUUUUUUGCUUUUGUUUUUUGGACAAUUAUUUAUAUUCAUUUAGUAAAAAAGAUAAAUAACAACCAACAAUAAAAAAAAUCACUAUUACACAAUUAUUUAUAUUCAUUUAGUGUUAGAAUAAUAUGAAAGUAGGUUUUGAAGCGUAUUUUUAAUCAUAUUUAUAAAACAUGUAUUUAAAUAAAGAAAAAAAGAAAGUUAACAAUUCAAAUUAGACUAACAAUUGAGGAAGAUUUGAUUUCUUUUCCCAAAAAAGGAAGGAAAAAAAAGAAAGAAAAAAAAAAACUGUCUAUUCCAUCCCAUCACAGAUAUGUGUUCUGUGGGUCUAAAAUAUUAAUAUUGUGUAUUCCUCUAUAUAAUUGUAUUUUGGUUUUGUUCAUAACUUCAGACUUCACUUCAGUCAUGCAUGACGUUACUAUAAGAUAAGCUCACAUGCUCACAUAACUCUCUCCAUCACUCACCAUUAUCUUAUUGUUCUAAAAACAUACUUCCAUUCUAAAUAUUCUAAAUAUAGAUUUCCAUUAUUAUGUUUAGUGUCGGCAAUGUGUUACUCUCCUCCACUUCUAAUUCUCUUGCCAAACGUUGUGAGGAUAUCAAUUCUUAGUUUUCAUAUAAUCAGAGUGUCAUUUGUUGAGUUUAGUAAAUUAAUUAUACAUCGCAUAAUUUCUAGAGUUAGUAGAGAUUUUUUUAAGAUUUCUUUAUUUUUUUUUCUUAUUUUCUUUUAUUUUUUUAUUUAUAUUAUUUACAUACUAUAUUUUAAUUAUUUUAGUGCUAUAUUUUUUCGUUUUAUGUGUUCCAAUUUUGUCUCAUUUUUACAUCCCCUUCUUAUAUGAGAUUUAGUUUCAUUUUCUAAAACUUUUUUCAAAUAUAUGUUAUAUAAAUUAUAUUGUAAAUUGAUAUAAAUGAUGUUAUGUACAUGGUUUAUACUCUUACGUAUUAUAAAUCGAGUCAAUUUUAAUCCUAUUUUAAUGAUAGAAAAAUCUCUCUAGAGGAUCGUUGGGUCUACCAACUUAUCUAAGUUAGUAUAAGCACAAUUCAACUUAAUUCAUAAAACAUUAUCGAACUUUUACAAUAUAUCAAUUAAUUUUAUCUUCAUUUUAUUUAUCUUCUCAUACCAUAUAAUACUCAUAAUUCAAGAAAAGCACACAACACCAUGAGUACAUUUGAUUGUAACACAACACAAUGACACUCUCGAUUAUUCUACCAACAUCGAACUUGAUGAACGUAAAUUUGUCGUGAACCUCGUGGCACAACACCCUAACACCGUGUCUAUAAAAAGAGUGUUAGCCCUCCUAGUUAUCUCUCUAGGAUUGCAACUGAUUCCAAUGCUUUUUCGGUUUACUUUUCUUCUCUUUUUUGUCAGUGCUGGUAUCAAAAUUCUAUCCAACUUAUCGACAUGUCUAUUGUGGGGAAAAGAUAACAUUUUCUAGCCUGGAUUCUAAGAUUUUUUUCUGGUUCUAUGUACUUGGAAAACCACAAUAUUGUAAUUAAUGAACUGAAUUUUUUCUUCAUAGUAUUAUCAUAGGCUUGAUGAGAUUGUAUGAUAUUGCUGUCUAAUUCGUGAUACUUGAUUAUAUAAUAUUAAUUCAUAGGAAUGAAUAUGUUAGGUUAACUUAGACAAUCAAAUAAAAUAAAUAUUAUCCUAACCAAUCUAACACUAAAUCCAAUAAAUAUUUUAUUUAAGAUAUUAGAGAAUUAGAUAUUCACUUAAACAAUAAUUUAAAUCUUAACGCGAUUUGGAACGAAUCUAAAUUAGUAUGUUACUCCAAUUUGAUUUAAACUGAUUAGUAUAUUAGGACAAGUUAAUUUGCGUUUUAAUUAUUAGUUUGGUUAGUUGUAAGCACUUACAUAAGUUCAUUUUAUUUAGUUUUUUUUUUCGAGUAACAUUUUUUCUCAUAUGAACAAUUUUUAAAAAUAUUUUAAUUACUUAAACAACAAGUUUGUUUUUAAUGUGAGAUAUUUUAAUUACUUCAUCAACAAAAGUAUUUGUUUAAAUUUCUUUUAAAUCAAAAUCAAUUCUCGUAUAAAGUUCACCAAACUCUAUCGAUAUAUAGGAUUUUUCACUCUCUAUGAUAGAUCAUCCAAGUAGACGCAUCCAAGAAAAAAACUGUAGCAGAAUUUUGAUUGAAACCUUUACGUUCAAGUAAAUACUUGCAUGAAGAUUAUAUUACCUGCCAUAAAAAUGGAUAUAAGAGAUUAAAGACAACUCUAAUAAUUGAAAGCUUCAGUUAUCUACCUAUAUCUAAAAUUUUCAAUUUAUCGAAAGAUUAAAGUUGCAAAAUAGAACUAUAGCACAUUAUCUUUGUUUUUCUUUAAAAACUAUGUUCUCUAUUCGUACUAAUUUUGUCUUCUUUAUAAUGAAUGAAAACACACUAUUUAUGUUCAAAAGAUUUGUCAUUCAUAAAAUGUUUAAAUUCUGUUUUUAUUUCUAAACUUUGUAUCUUUCUAUCUUGAUCUAUAAAUUUUAUAAAUAUCUAUUUUAAUCUUUAAGUUUUUUUUACGUUGGUAUGUAUCAUUGGGAUCUUAUUAACUUUUUAACAUAUGACAUAUAUCAAGAUGAUAUAGAUUUAGUAUAUUACUUAAAUUACAAAAAAAAAAUUACUAAUUUAUUGUAUAAAACUUGUAUGUCAACUAAAAAACCUAUUUAUAAUAUACUAAGAAAAAUUAAAAUGGUUGUAUUUGAUAAAAUUAGACAAAACAACUUGAAUAUAAUCAAUAAUAUCACAUUAUCUUAUAUUUGCACCUAGUUCAAAAUAUCAGUCUAUAAAGUAUUCAAGUUCCACGAAGACAAUAUAUUAAAAAUAGCUAAACCCUACACCUAUUCAAAAAUGAAAAAAAAAGUAACAAAUAUAAGCAAUAGACUCAAGAAAAAAGUUUAAUAAACGUAAGUAAAAAGCUCAAUAUAUUAAAAAACCAUAUCUUCUUUAGGUAGAAAUAUACUUGCGCAAAAUAUAUAUUUGUCAGUUUAGAAUUAUUGUGUAAUCAAACCAAUUCAACUAUUAAAGAAAAAUUGGUUUAGCUCCUUUUUAAAACUAAUCUGCUAUUAUUAUCAAUGAGGAGGUCAAGAAGUUAUUCAUUAUUAAUGAAGCUUUCACUAAAUAAUCAAACAUAAAAGUAAAUCUAAGAGUGAAAUUAAUUAGAAUCUAAAUAAGACUUAAAUUGAAAGAAAAAAAAAAAGAAGUUGAUUCUAAUGAUUGUCAUCUUAAUGGGAGAAAAUGGUAGGCAUAAUUAGGAAAAAUUAGCAAUAAAAAAAAAAAGUGCACAAAAUUAUAGCAAAAACAGUGAAUUAGUGCAAAAAUAAAGAGUAAAAUGCCAAAAAUUGACCAAUUCAAAAUUGAGAGAGAGAAAUGAGGACACCAACCUUGAUGGGUAUUGGAUUUCAACUUUUCAAGGAAAAAUCCAGCCUUAACAUUAUUCCAAUCUUCGUAUGAGAUGGAUUAAGAAAAGGAGUUUGGAAAGAAACAAGUAAAAUAAAUUAAAACAUCAACUAACAUGGAACUACCACAAUACUAUUAUGACAAAGAUAUGAAAUGAAACUUUAACACAAUUUUAUAGAGAAUUUAAUGAUUUUGGGUAAAUAAUUUUAAUUUUCUUUUUUCUUUUUUUGCUAUUUAGACAAGUUCUCGUGAAUUAAAAACCAAAGUACAAGAAAGAAAGAAGAAAACUUGAAUAAAUAAGGUGUGAAUUCAACUCAAUCAUAACUUAUUCAUUUCCACCAAAAAUAGUCAUUCUUAUUUAUAAAAAUAGUAAACUCUAAAAGAAGUGUUCCAAAAAUUAUUUAAAUAGAUUAUCAAACAUUUCAAUUUUUUGUAAGUAACAAACUUAAAAUGUUAAACCAAACCCACCCAUAACUCACUCCAUAAUAAAUUAAGAAAAGAAUUAUAUUCUAAUAUUACCAUGUUCUAAAACCCUUUUAUCUUUUAUCUUUUCUUUCUUUUUUUUUAAUUUAAAACGGUGGAAAUUUAAAUAUUGAAGUUCAUGAAUUAACCAAUUUUUGUAGGUUCACACUCUAAACUCCAAUUGCUUAAGAAAAAAAACAAAUUUUAGUUUUUGGUUCUUGGUCUAGUUUUUCUUUGGUCUUUAAAAUCCAGAUAUUACAAUGUCAUCCUAAGUCUUGAGUUUAUUUUGAGUCCAUUUCAUAAUCUUUAUAAUUUAUCCUUUAAAUUUGAGAGCUUCUUGUUAAUUUAAGUUUAUAACAAUAAAAUAUUUAUUUCAAUAUUUAGAAUUAAUUCAAAUAUUAAUUAAUUGAGAAUUUAAACUAAUAUAUUUUUUUAGUUAACUAAAGAUUUGAACUACUUCUUACUUUCUAAUCAAAUACAUAUUAACUAGCUUACAUCCAAUGUUAAGUGUUAUCAUUUUCUUACCAUAAUUUGCAUAGUUAGAUUUCAAAUUAAAAGUGUUGAGUAAGAAAUUUCGGCCAAUUAAAUUCUGCCACAUCAUCGCAACAAAUAUUCAAUAAUUAUAUUUUAUUGGAUUUUGAUAAUUAAGUUUAAUCCAACCCAAUUCAAGUCCAAUAAACAGAUUAGCCAAGUCCAAGCUUAACAAGCAGAUGGGCUCAAGCCCAAGUCCAAACCCAAUAAGGAAAAUGGACCCAAGCGUAAGCCCAACAGGUAAAUUGGUCAAAGUCCAAACCCAACAAGCAAAUGGGCCAAAGCCCACCUAAAGCCCACAAAAUUUCUCUAUAAAUAGAGACAUUUGUCAUUCAUUUGAGAAGUUCUUUUUUUGAAUGAAGAAUUGAAGCUCUGAAGUACUGAAGAAUUGAAGAUUCAAACUUCUAUAAAGCUUUCAAGACGUGCAAGUUCUUAUCAACUUCGAGAUCAUCAUCUUCUGAAAGAUUGAAGACUUGGAAGAUCAAACUUUUCUUGAAUUCCAGAAGACUGAAACUCAAAUAGACUUGCAACUACAACAUCCUAAAGACCGAAGAUAAAAAAAUUCUAAGUUUUUAACUUGUAUUCGAGAGAAAGCAUCAAAUGAGCAAAUACUAGAGAUUGUAUUCACAAUAUUCAUCAAUAUGCAAAUUUCAAUUCCACGAAAUACAUUUCUUCGAAAUGUCGUGUGAACAAAAAGUAAAUAGCACGUUUUUAAAGACUACUUAUUUUGUAUUUUCAAAAUUUAGGUUGAUUCUUUAAAAUAGUAGUAAAAAGUAGAUAAGAAAUAAACAAAUUUAGGUGCUCCAAAAAAAAAAGGAAAUUUAAUUUGAAAAAACUAAAGUAAGAAAAUUAAAUAACACUAAAGAGGCUUAAUUUUCUAAUUCUAAUGUUACCAUACGAAACAUUAGGGGGAGAGAAAAUGUUAGGGGAAAGGGUUAUGUAACCCUUCCCCAAUUUUCUCAAUCCUUCCUUAACUUCCUUAUUCAUUUUUUAUUCCUUACUCAAUCCUUCCUCCUUCCUUCCUUCUUCCUUCUUCCUUAUUCCUUAUUCCUUAUUCCUUAUUCCUUAUUCCUUCCUCAAUUUAUCAUAAUUAAUCCAUUUAAGUUUAUAUAUUAUUUAAUCCAUUUUUUUCGUUUAUAAAUUUUAUGAUUGUGAGUUCGGUUAAUUUUAAUCUUAUUAUUUAAAAAACACAACAAUUUAAUCACACAAAUUAUGUAAAAAAGCUUGAAAAUAGAUGUCAUAUUUAAAGAAAUUAUUACAAAUUGUUUUACCAAAACUAUGACAAUUUAGUAAAUUAAAUAUACAAAAUUUUUGUAUUAGAUUUAGAAUAUGAAUUUUUUAUUAAAAAAAUUAAUAAUUUAAUUGUACCUAUCGAUUACGUAAAAAAGGUUGAAAAUGAAUGUCGUAUUUCAAGAAAUUACUAUAAAUUAUUUUAUGAAAACUAUAGUGGUUUUGUAAAUUAAAUAUAUGAAUUUUAUGUAUUGGAAUUAGAAUAUGAAUUAUUAAAAAUAAUAAUAUUUUUUGCUUGUACAUUGUGUUCCAAUGAAAAAGGAUGUCGUAUUUGGUUUAAAUCAAUUGUAAAAUAUAUGCAAUCUGUGUAUUGCAUUUAGAAUAUCAAUUAAAAAACAAAAAUAUAAUAUGAAUUAAAAAACACAACAAUUUAAUGGCACAUAAUGAUUACGUAAAAAAAAGUUGAAAAUGAACGUCGUCUUUGAAAAAAUUAUUGAAAAUUGUUUUACGAAAACUAAGAUGCUUUGGUAAAUUAAAUAUAUAUAAUUUGUGUAUUGAAAUUAGAAUACUAAUUUUAAAAAAAUAAUAAUUUAUUGGCACUAAACGUUUGCAUAAAAAACGUUGAAAAUGCACAUUGUAUUUAAGAAAACAAAUGUAACUUGUGGCGAAAAAUUACAAUUUGAUAAAUUAAAUAUAAGAAUAUUUGUGUAUUAGAUUUAGAAUACAAAUUUUUUAAAAAUAAUAAUAAUAAAUAAUUUUCAUAAUUGUUUUCACGCAAUCCUUCUCCCAAAGAAAUAUUAUCAUAACACUACCUACUAUAAUUCUUCCCUAAACACAUACGACCAUAACACUACUAUUCAUAAUUCUUCUCCCAAACACAUAUUAUCAUAACACUGCCAAUAAUAAACCUCUUCCAAACACAUUUAUUAUAACAUUAGAAUUAUCAUCAUCAUUUUAGUCGGUAACUUUUUUUUCUUUUCUGUUGGAGCGCACCUAAUAAUUUAAUAUAGGCUAAUUUGUUCCCAAAAUAGAAUCAUUAUUUUACAUAUAAUUAUAUUAAUUGAACGGAAACGUAAUUUGAAGAGCAUGAGAAACAAAAACGUUUCCAAAACAACCAAUUUAGAAAAUACAAAAAAUGAGGUGGAUCUUCUUGCUCGACAACAACGCUCAGAAACGCCAUGGCAACUGGUGCGUCUCUUCAUCAAUCCCUCCACCACGUAUUCUCUUACCAUCGCCGCCCUCCACUUGCCUCACUAUUCUUUGGAAGCCUGAUAUCUUUGGAAGAUUGAAUAGGAAAACUCCAUAAUAACCCAAGCUUACUAGACUUUCUCAUAUAUAUUCUCAAUUGUUACUUGUAAAUUGAUUUUAUGCUGUUUAAUUUUAUGUACAACCAAAACAAUUUCAAACGGCGCUUUUAGUUCCCUCUGCGUUCGACAUGUGUACCAACGCUAUUACAUUUUUAGUUAAUAGCGAAAACAAUUUAGUUUAUCCAAUCCGAAUUUGGACGAAGAAUUUCAAGUUGUUGAAGAAAGAAGUCGGUUGGGUUGAGAUGGUAAUAUAAGAAACAAAAUAUGAAACCAAAAGUUCCAUAUGUCAAUGCCAUUGUGAAAAAAAUAGGAUGAGAAAUGAGGAAGAAGGAGAAAUUUUAAAAGAGAAAAUAAAAAACUUGGUAAAUAUAUAUUUGCAUAAAUAACCAUAAUAUUGUAAAAUGAAGAAAAAGAAGUGAAAAGACCGUCCACGUAAACUUAAAAAUUUUGAAAUAUAAUAAGUUUUUUUAUUUUGUCAUACGGAUCAUAAAUAUUUGGAUGUAAUUUCGUUAUAUAUCGAUCAAAAUUGACCAAAUAUUAAAUAUAUAUAUAUAUAUAUAUAUGAAACAAUUUAAUAAAGGAGGUAAGGAAUAAAAUAAACUAAGAACUAUUGAACAUCUAAAUAUGAAAAAAUAAUUUUAAAAAAAUCAUCAAUGUUGAAAACUGAACCCAUGAAUAUUAAUAUAUAGGACAAAAUUUGUUUCAAGCAUAACUCCACACCAAUGUGGUAAUUAGAGAUUUUAGAAAAUAAAAAAAGUUAAAUUAAAUUAAAUAGAAACGAAAUUGUGAUAAAUCACUUCCCAUAGUUCCUCAAUUUUUAUCCAAAUUUAUGAAACGUUCCUUAAUAUUUGAGAACGAAAAAUGUGAACUGUUAUCAAACAUAUAAGUUUCUUAAAAAAUGAGAAACAAAUACAUAAAACAUGAAAUAAGAACUUAUCAAACAAACUCUAAAAUUUUAGAAUUAUGUUCAGUACCAACCUCUUCUACCUUUUACCUUUUUUUUUUAAUACAAGAAGUGUUAGAUGUCAUACCAAUAUUUACUAGUCAAGCUUACUUUAACAUAAUUAUAUUAAAUACAAUGUAGGCUCAUAAAAUGUGUUAGAAUGAUUCAAGGACCUAUUAAGCUUGUUCCUCUUGAUUACGUGAGUGAUCAAACCAUAUCCUAAUCAUGUUCACAUAUGCAAUAUAAGUAUACUAUAAAUUUAGUUCUUAAACUUUUCAAACUAUAUGUUAGUAAAAUUUAAAAAUUUUCAAAACUUUAUUUAUGAAUAAUUGCAAGUAAUGUAUUGAGAGUAUAAUUUUCCUUGCAAAUUAAUUUUCAGUCUAGUUUGUUUAGAGUGCAACAAUUACUAGACAGUGUUAUCUAGUAAACAUUCAAUUACCCGAUACCCACUCGAUAUAUGGGUACAAAUUAAUCACGAUAGUACAACUUAUAUAACAAGUGUGUGUUUGUGUCUCACUAGUGAGAAUAUUUGAUUUUGAUUAACAAAGCUUAGUAAACCAUUACCCAUACAAUGUCCUUAAGUUGGCUUUCAUUGGAAAAGGUGAAAUAACUCUACAAAUCUUUUUCUAUUUCAUUUUUCUCUCUCUCUCUUAGAUAGAUUUUUCAUCGACAUAUUGGAUCCAUUGACAAUAGCCAUUCUAAAUUUGUCAUUUUGAAAAAUAGCAAAACCGUUUUUUUUUUAAAUAGCAAAAUGAAAAAAAAUAUACAAUAAAGAGAAGAAUUUGUAAAAGCUCUUGUACACAUGAAGUGUAAGCUACUUUCUUAAUUCUAAAAUAGAAUAAAUACACUUUAAUAAAUCAUGAAUACAUACUUGUUCAAUCAAAAUCUUAACCCUCCAUCUUCAUUUUCCACGAUCAAAGUCAGAACUCUUCAUUUUCAUUUUUCAUACGCGUUGUAACGAUUUUUGUUUUUCGUUGUUUCUCAUCUUCCAUUUUGAAAAUCUUCCUUCGUCUCUGUUUUCCAUUUAAUUUUUAUCUCAUCUUCUUCGAGCAGGCAAACCUAAUCUUUCCACUUUGAAGCGAGCAAACCCCAAUCUCCACCCUCUUCCAUUUGAAGUUUCAGUUUCAUCUUCAUCAUGUAUUUUAAAAAAGAAGAAUAUAAACAUUUGAAGCAUGCAAACAAUAUCUUCAUUUUGCAUCUUCCAUAUUUGAUUUUUAAGUUUACAACUUGCAAUCUCAAAUGCUUAGGGUGGAAGAACAAAAACCUUCACUCAUAAUAAAAAGAUACAAAAGUUAUCUUCCUUGUCUCGAAGGGAAAUUUUAGCUUAUUUUUUUAAAAAAGUUAUUUAUAUUAAUUAUUUAAUAAAUUGUAGAUGAAAUUUAAGAGAUUUUAUAUAAAAAGAAACACAAUAUCUUAGCCUAUUAUAAUGAAAAAAUAAAUUUAAUUUUAAAAAAUAAAUUAAGAUCUAAUACGAAAACUAAUUUUAAUUUUUAAAUUAUUAAGGGCGGAAACAUUCCACUUAUUAUGAAAUAAAAAAGGGUUAGGUUUUAAUUUCCAAAUAAUAAAGGAAAAUUUAAGAUCUUACUAUAAAAACUAAUUUUAAUUUUAAAAUUUAAAAUUUAAAAUUUAAAAAUAAAUUAAGAUCAAAUAGAAAACUAAUUUAAAUAUACAAAUUAUUAAGGGUUGACAAGAGAUUCAGCAGAUUUUGAAAUAAGAAAGGUUGAGAUUUAUCAAAUAAAAAUUAAUAUUAUGAUUAUUUUGAAAUAAAAAAAUGAAUAAAGUUAUUAAAAUCUUUAACGAAAUAAAAAGAUGAAUAAUGUUGUUGAUAUCUUUUAAAUUUUGAGAUAUUAGGAAAAUGUUAACGAAAUAAAAAAAAUGAAUAAAGUUGUUGAUAUCUUUUAAAUUUCGAGAUAUUAGGAAAAGGUUAUGAUAGAGUUUAUUAACAUUGAAAUUAAUUACAUACUCAUAAUUGUAUAUCACAAAUUAAUUAUACUAUAAACUCAUCAUUGUAUAUCACAAGUUAAUUACACAUAAAAAAACUUUUGAUUACAACGCGAUAUAUUAAAAUAAUUACAUUAAUUACACUUUUAAACUAGAAAUUAUAAUUUAAUUAAUGUCUUUAAGUGAAAUGAACAUGUUUUGGUAUAAAAUUCUUUUCAAACAUAAUCAAUGUAAUUGUUUUUUAUUUUAAAUUCAUUUACAUCAUUAUAUGAAUUAAUGAUAUUGAACUAAUUAUAUAUAUAUAAUGUUAUAUUUUUAAAAUAAGUUAAUUAGAAUUUAAUAAAAACAUUGAAAAACAAAUAAGCGAGUUCUCACUCGAAUAAAAAGUAAAGAAAAUUUUAAUUUAAAAUAAUAAUUUGAUUAUUUUUAUAAUUUAAUGAAGGAAUGUUAUUUUGAUAUUAAAACUUAUUUUGAAAUAAAACCAAUUGUUGAAAUUCUCCUAAAUUCAAAAUAAUAAUUGGAUUAUUCUGAAACUGCGUUUUAAAAAUCAAUCGUUGAAAUUCUGACAUUCUAACAUUUAUAAUUUGGUUAUUUUGAAAUUUAUUUUAAAAUAAAAUUAAUGUUGAGAUUCUUUCACUUUUAAAAUAAUAAUUUGAUUAUCCUAAUAUUCAAGCCAUUAUUUUGAGAUAAGAUAUCAGUUGAGAUUUUUUAAUUUUGAAAUUCAAUUGGGUUAUUUUGAAAUUCAAAUUCAAUAACCGUAUUUCAAAAUUUUAAUUUGGUUAUUUUGAAGUUAGUAAGAUUGAAUAAAGUUAUUAAAAAGUUGAAUCAAUUAGUUGAGUCCCAUGAUAAUAAAAAAAAAAUAUGAUAUGAGUUGUUAUAUAUUUUUCAGGUAAAAAAUAAUUAAACGCUAAUAAACGCAUAACAUAAAUUAAUUACAAUGUAAACACAUAGCAUAAAUUAAUUACAAUGUAGAAACGAAAUAAUGAUAGUUGGAGAAGAUAGAUAUUUUGGUAUUUUAUAAAAUAACAUGCACGUGCAAAAAAAUGUUAUUUGCUAAAAUUCAGAAGAAAAAAUAGUUUUGUCAUUUUUCAAAAUGAUCCAUAAAAAUGUUGUUAUAUCUCUUAUUAUUAGUCUAAUAACCUCAUAAAAUUAGUGUUACGUUUUUAUUCUAUAAAAACAAACGAGCCGUAAGCUUUUUAUGAUACAUCAUCGCAGACAAAUCAAGAGAAGCUAAUGAUAGUGACUAAAUUUGAGAGAAAUUUUGCCUUACACUUCAGCAGUGUUUGUUAGUCAUUUAAGAAUCAAUUCGGGUUUUGAUCAAGAUGAAAUUUUAAUAGUGUGUUCUUGGCAUGAGAGACUUCCACUAGAAGGUGGAGAUUUUGUUUGGAGCCAUUUACACUUAGAAUUGAAUAGAUAGUUAGUUGCCACAUAUUUGAGAUUAUUUUAAAAAUAAUAAUAAAGGUUACUUUUCAAAUAUAGAAAUAAAUCAAAGUAUUUAUAAAAUUAAAUAUAUCAAAAUUUCUAAUUCUAAUAAUAUUAAUAGAUACUAAUAACAAAUUUUUCUAUACUUGAUUGAAUAUGUAAUUUUUUAUACCCCUAAAUACUUUUAUCAUUAAAAAUAUUUUUCAUUGUGAACGUUAUAAAAAAAAUAUUUAAACGAAGUUCAACUUAUUGAAAUAUUAUAAUAAUAAACUAAUAUGUUAAAAAUAUUUGAAUGUAAUAAACUUGUCCUCAAAACACCUACCUCAUUAAUGGCAAAAAAAAUAACCCCAUCUAUUGCUAUAAAAGGCCACAAAGUAUGAGGUUCCCAAUAGGCAAAACUCAAACUCGAAAAGCCACAAUGUUUCCCAAAUACUUUCUUCUCCUUCUUCUCGCAGUUGUGCUUCUUACCACAACUCAAGCACUGAAGCAUCCCUUCAACUCCAACCAAGAACGUAUUCCAUCCACCGACCUCACCCACGGAAAGCUCCCGACCACCAUCACUGAUCCAAACGAAGAAUCCAAAUUCUUCAGGAGGCCAUCUCCCUACAAGAAACCCUACAAGAGGCCACCCUACAAGAAGUAUCCACCCUAUAAGAAACGCCCUCCAUACAAGAAGUACCCACCCUCUUCUCACUAAAUGGCAUCCAAAACAAAAGUUGUGGCCAUGGACAAUGUGGCAUCUGUUUAAUUUCUUUGAUAAAUAAGUGGUGCUAUAAGCUCCGAGUCCUAGGGUAAUACUUGGAAGCUCAUGAAGUUGGCACUUAUGUAAUAUGUGUUAAUCCAAACUUUAUAUCUCUGAUAUAUUGUUGUAUUAUUUGUCUCUACGUUAUUAUUGCUUUCCUUAUCGUAUAAUAAUCUAAAGUUUAAAUAAAUUUACUACUUUCGUCAACUCUGUUAAUAUUUCUUUUUUUACUUUUAAGAUUGUGAUAUGAAAGUCGUAUUGAAUUCAACAUGUAAGGAGAGAGAUUUGAACUUUGAAGUGAUCUUUUUUCUAAUACAUACACAUCAAAUUAAUAUAUGUAUUUAAAUUGACAAUUUCAUAGGGCUAAUGCGAGUUAUUAAUUAAUUUAGAAACACAAAAACAUUUAAGAUAUAUUGAAUGAGAGAGCGAGAUAUUUCCUUUUAAGAUUAGAGACGACUAAUUACUUAUAUGAUAAGAAUAACACUUACGUUAACUAAAAUAUACUAAAUACUCGUGCUAAUUAAAUUAUAUGUUUUGAGAAAUUUGUAUAGGUAGAAAAAAUGUCAAACUAUUUACAUAAAUGGUAAAGAAAGAUAUUGAUAAACAAUAUUAAAGUACUUUUAUCAACCUCUAUUAAUAAUGAUUUACUUGUAUCACAGUUUUUAAAGAAAGAUAUUGAUAAACAAUAUUAAAGUACUUUUAUCAACCUCUAUUAAUAAUGAUUUACUUGUAUCACAGUUUUUAUCACUGAUAGUAUUAAUAUUAAUAGACUUCUACGAGUUUCUAUCACUCACAUAAAAGAUAAUAGAUUUAUUUUCUAGAAUUCAAUUAGUUUCUAUCCACUCAUAAACUUCUACCAACGCUUAUCAAUGUUAAACUUGUAUCAAUUUCUAAUAUUAGUUUACUUCUAUUAGUACCUAUUUGGAUAUAACCAAUAUAUAAGUUUUUACUCUUAACUUGUAGCUUGUAAAUAGCUAGCAUAACCCAUUUUCCUACCUUUAAAACCUCAUAAUUACCAAACAUAUUUUUGCUUUUUGUUUGUUGGACAAUUAUUUUUAUGUUCAUUUAAUAAUAAAAAACAAAGAACAACAAACAAUAAAACAGUUACUAUACCCUAUUCUAUUUUAUUUUUAUUAGUUGAAAAUGAGAAAAAAGAACAAUAUUAUCAAUCAAAAUGUUAACAAACAAGCUAAUUUUUUUUCUUCCAAAAAUUGAUUGUAUUUGUAAUACAUUUUGAAGUGUUUAAUUUAAAACACAAGUCAUGUUGAAAAUUUUAAAAGUGUUAUAGAAAGCUACUAGUAGCUUUUGAAACAUAGUUUUAUCCCGUUUUAUAUUUAAAAAGAUAUUAAAAUAAAAAUGAACCUUUUAAGUUAAAAAUUCCAUUUGAUAUUUCUAUUUCCAAAAAAAGAAAAAAAAACAACUCUCUAUUCUAUCCCAUCACAGAUAUGUGUUUUGUCAGUCUAAAAUAUUAAUAUUGUGUAAUCGUUUAUGAUUAUAUAUUGCUUUUGUUCAUAACUUCAGACUUCAUUUCAGUCAUGCAUGACGUUACUAUAAGAUAAGCUCACAUGCUCACAUAACUCUCUCCAUCACUCACUAUUAUUUUAGUUAUAAUCCAUCAUAAAUAUAGAUGUCUAUUAUUACGUUCAGUGUCACCCUCUUACCUUUCCCACUUGUUUGCCAAAAAUCUUGAAGAUAACAAUUUUUAGUCAUCAUAUAAUCUAUUUCAUAUUUGUCAAAUUGCCUCUCAGCAGUGUUAUUGGAUGGCUUUAGUAAAUUAUAUAUACAUCAGUGAAAUUUAUCGAGUUAAGUGGAGUAUUUUGAGAAUUCCUUAUUUUUUUUCUUUUUUAAUUUAUAUUAUUUACAUACUAUAUUUAUAUUAUUUUAAUAUUAUAUUUUUCUCGUGCUCCAAACUUAUUUUCACUUUUUUUAUAUGAGAUUUGGUACCAUUUUCUAAAACUAUUUCCAAGUAUAUACAUUGCCAUUAAUGAUGUAAAUGAUGUUAUGUAUAUGAUUUAUACUCUUACGUAUCAUGAGUCGAGUCAAUUUUAAUCCUAUUUUAAUGAUAGAAAAAAUCUCUCUAGAAGAUCGUUUGGUCCACUAACUUAUCUAAAUUAGUAUAAACAAAUCAAUUUAGUUUAAUUUAUAAAACACUAUUGAAUUUUGACAGUAUAUCGAUUAAUUUUAUCUUCUCAUACUAUAGAAUACUCAUAAAUUGAAGAAAAUCACAUAACACCGUGACAUUUGAUUACUACACAACAUAGUGACACUCGAUUAUAACCUUCAACAAAGUAAAAACCCUAAUUACAUAACACCGAACUUGAGUUGCACAUAAAUUUUUUGUCAACGUCGUGGCACUACACCCUAACACCAUGACUAUAAAAAUGGUGUCGUUUGCCCUUCUAGAGUUUAUCUCUCCAGGAUUGAAAUUGAUUCCAAUGGUUUUUGGCUCUACUUUUCUUCUUUUUUGUCAGUGCUUGUAUCAAAACUCUACCCCACUUAUUGACAUGUCAAUUGUGGGGAAAGAUAACACAUUUUCUAGCUAAUUGGUUGUAAGAUUUUUCCUAGUUGUAUAAAUGGAUAGCUAGAUUUUUUCAUAUAGAUAUCAAUGAGAUUUAAUAAUGGAUAUCUAGAAAAUUAUAAAAAAUUAAUAAGGAAGAAAAAGAAUAAAACAUAUAUAUGAAAAAAUUUAAUAAGGGACGGAAAGAAUGAAAUAAACUAAAUAUGAAAAACUAAUAAUAAAUGAUCAAUGUUCGAAACUAAACCCAUGAUUUAUGGGACGAAAAUUGUUUCAAGCACGACUCCAACCUCUCAUACCAAUGAGCUAACUACACAUUUUACAAAAUACAACAAAUAAAAUUAAAUAAAAUGGGAACACAAUUGUGAGAAAAUAUUUUCCAUAAUUUCUCAAUUUUUACCUAAAUUCGAGAAAUGCUCUUUGAUAUUUAGGAAUAAGAAAUAAGAACCGUUGUCAAACACGUCUACUUCUUAAUAAAAAAGAAACAAAUACAUGAAACAAGAAAUAAAAACGUUAUCAAACGGACUCUAAAAUUUCAGAAUUAUGUCCGGUAGCAGCCUCUUAUAUUUUUUGCCUUUUCUUAGUACAAGACGUGUCGAGUGAAAGUCAAGAUUACUUUAACGUAAUUAUAUUAAAUACAUUGGAGACUCAUGUUGAAUAAGAAAAUUUGAGACCAAUCACAAAUUGCCACAUCAUUUAUUAAGUUAACGAUGAAAAGUACAAAUAAUUAAAUUUGGGACUAAUUAAAAUUGACAUGUGCCCCAAAUUAAAGAAUUGAAAAAGAAACAUAAAUUUGGUCAUUCUAAUAAUGUCAUAUGUUUUCAUCUUAAUCGUUGGAUUAAGUUAAUCAUUUUGGUUCAAUUAAAUAUUAUUUACUUGAACUAAGUUCAAUUAAACUAAAAAAAUAAGCUUAAUUGAGCCCAAAGACUAAAUAUAACCUAAAUCCAUAUGGUUAAGUCCAUAGGUCUAGUCCAUGGAUCAACCAGGUUUAAGCUCAUAAAUCCCACCAGUGAACUCUAUAAAUAGAAGAAUUCUUCUCAUUUGUAGGGGUUGUAAAUUUUUGACUUGAGAAGACUUAGAGAGAAUUCUCCCAAGAGCUAGAAGACUUUUUAACUCCUGAAAUCGAUCAUCCUAAAAAAUUGAAGCUUCUUUGAAGAUACAAACUUUCUUCCAAGACUCCAACUUCAAAAACAUCACGUGUUUCGCUUCCUCAAAUCAAGCGUAAGCAUUCAACCAACUUGAAGAACAUCAUGUGCUUCGCUUCUCCAAAUCAAGCAUAGACGUUCAACAAACUUCAACAACAUCACGUGCUCCGCUUCCUCCAAAUUAAGCGUAAGCAUCCAGUAGAGAUAGAAUCAGAAGAUCAAAUUCUAGAGAUAGAACCACAUCGCAUCAAAUGAACAAAAAUACAACAUCAACACUCGAGUUCAAAUCCACGAAUUAAAUUUCUCCGGAAAUCUCGUGCGAACAACUCAUAAGAUUUGUUUGUAUGAUUCAAGGACCAAUUAGUUAGUUUGUUCCUUUUCCCUUCGUGAGUGAUCAAAUCAAAUCCGAGUCAUAUCAACGUGCAAUAUAAGUAUAUUAUAAAUUUAAUUUUUAAACUUUCAAAACUACUUUGGUAAAAGUUAAAAAUUUCCAAAACUUUAUCCAGAUUAAUUGCAAGUAAUUUAUUAUUGAGUAUAAUUUUGAGGACAAUUUAUUUAGAGUGCAACAAUUAUUGGACUAUGUGUUAUCUAGUAAAUUUUCAUUUACAAUUGUGUGGUUAUGUCUCACGAACAGUGACUGUUUAAUAUAAUUAACAACUUAGUUAAUCAAUAUAAUUGCUUUUAAGUUGAGGUUUCACUAGAAAAGGUAAAAUAACUCAUCAAAUAUCUCUUUAUUUCAUUUUCCUCUCUUGGUAGAUUUUUCGUCAACAUAUUCGAUUCAUUAUGUCUUUGACGAAUCUAUCAACAAAGAAUCAACUGAAAUGACAAUUCCUUCACCAAAUGAAAUUAAUAAAGGAAGAUUUGUGUUAAGUUAUUUCACUUUUAAAGUGAGAAGUCCCGAAAGGUCCGUCAGAUUAAAUGAGAAAUUUUUAAAAAUAGCAUAUUUUAUAUAAUAUUUACGAUAUAUAACAAAUUCUAUCACCGAUAAUCAUUGAUAUGCUAUAGUGAUAGAAGACUAUCAUUGAUAAAAUCCAUAAUUUUGGUGUAAGUUGUAAAUAUUUUAAUUUAUUUUUUAUUUUUAAAAAUACUCCUAAUAAGAAUUAGUUUUUUAUUUUAUAAAAACAAAGUAGGCAACAACUUUUUAAUACAUCAUCGAUUGAGAGAACCUAACUAGAGCGAGUAAAUUUGAGAAAAUUUUUGCCUUCCACUUCAACAGCAUUUGUCAAAUCAACUUGUCGAAUUGAGCUCAAAUUUUGAUAGUGUAUUCUUGGCAUGAGUGUCUUCAAACCGACAAUGAAAAUUUUAUUUGGAGUUACUUACUCAAAUCAGAUUUGAGUGAAUAGUUAUUUGUCACCUAUUUGAAGUUAUUCUAAUUUAUUAUUUGUUAUUUUUUGUUGUGUAGAUUGUUACUUUUGAUAUAAUUUUAUAUAACUCUAGUUGUGACUAGAAAGAAUUCAUUGUACACGUUACUUCGAUUAUUGCGGUAAUUUUGACUAUCGGUCAGGAAUUUUUAGUGAGACAGUUUUUUGAUGUCAAGAUUUCUAGUGUGUUCUUACUUUAUUAUUGCUUUUGUUAAUUAGUAUUUUAUUAGAUUCACACAGGAAUUGAAUUAAGUUAUACAAAAUUUUGUGGAGAUUUUAGUCGACCAAAAACCACCUUUGCAUUGAAUUAGGAUAAAAUUAAAAGAAUUAUCUCAAUGAUAUUACUUGUGAAUUAGUUUUCUAACAACUUCGUUAAAAUUUUCCGCUUCCAUUAUAAAUGUUUUCCAGUUUGGAACAAAUACUACUUCUCAACACUUCCUUCUUAAUUUUAUUUCUCCAAACAACUACUUAAUUUAUUUUCCAGUUGUAUUUGAAUUACUAAUAUUAUCAUUUGAUUUAAAUAAGACUUUUUUUUUAAAAUAUAAUAAAAUUAAUCAAAAUAAUUACAAAUAAUAGAUAGUAACGUUCACAAGGUGUGCAUCAAUUAUAAUUAAUAGUAGUCUAUUGAAAUCUAUUGACUAUUAGUGAUAGAUAGUAAUCUCAAUAGUUGUUUAUUAUUAAUAGACUGUGACAUCCUACUAAAUUUAUACACAUUCUCAACAAUUUUGCUAUUUAAAAUAAUUAUCCAAGAAAACUAAAUACAUGAUACCAUUGCUAACAAUUCAAUCUAAUUUUGUUCUUGAGAGAGAAAAAAAAAAAGAAAGAAAGAUAGAUAAACAUGAGCAUUACCAAAAUCUCCACCAUAACCGACAUUCAUAAGGUUGCAAACUACACUCUUAAUUUAGGCUAAGUAUAUUGAUAUAUUGGAGUUAAUACUUUGACAGCUUUCUUUUUAGCACAAUAAAUUUGGGUAAUGAAAAUUCUACCUCUAAUUUUAACAAAGAAGAAGAAAAAGGUAGAUAUGAAUUAUUAGAUUAGGUUGUCAUAUUAAAAUAUAGCCAAAUAAUUGAAAAAGUGAACCAAAAGUUUGAAAUAUGAAUGACUUUUGCACCAAUAUAUAUAUAUGUAAUGGUACAUGUUUUGGAUUUUUCUCUCUUUUAAUACCCAUAAAAGUUACAGUUGUCCAAUAUAAAUUUCACACUUCAUUGCCGACAAAUUUUGUACAUCUACUUUUAUUUUAUUUCUAUUAUAUAUUUCACACCUUUUUCUUUUCUUUUUUCUUAUCUAUUCUUUUAGUUAAAGUAUGUAUGUAUACAUAAAACUUUUUGGCAAUGGAUCAACUUUCAAGCUUGUAUUAAUUAAGCUUUUGAGUGUUAGGAGAACUCUAAUAUGUUGGAAGGCUUUCAAUUUGUUACGUUCCAUAUGUUUAAAUUUAAUAAUAUUGUUCUCCUUAUAACCUUUGAGAUGUAACUAAUACACUCUUAGAUGAGCUACGUAUAUUUGUUUGUCAAACUUUAUAUGUUUUUGUAUUGGUUAGUUGUUGAUUUUGUAACGUUCAUGAUAAAUCUCUCUAAAUUAUUAAUUAAAACUCAAACACCCGCACUAGUUACUAUAUUAAUUUCAUAUAAUUACACCUUCGACAUUUUUUCUCAACAAAAAUAUUUAAGCAAAACCAAAAAGAAAUAUAGGAGCGAUUGACAUAAAAUUUAAAGUUGAAGGAUCACUUGAUAUUAAAUUUAAUAAAUUCUAUGUUAUGUUUGUUAAAUCGUUCAUUUAAAAAGGUAACUUUUUAACGAUAGUAAAAUGGAUCAAACUCUUUACAAGUUAUAACAAAAUUUUCUACAAUUUAAAGUCUAGAUAGACGCAGAUAGAAGUUUAUCACUCACCGUCUAUAUUAGUGAUAAAGACUAAUAAAAGUCUAUCAUUGAUACUAAUAGAAAUCGAUAUCGGUCUAUCAUUGAUAGAGGUCGAUAAAAAAACUUUAUCUAAAAAAACUAAAAUAAUUUUUUUUAUAUAGUAUAUAUAUUUAUGUCAACUAAGCUACACUCGUAUUGACAAAAGUUGAAUACAAAUUUAAUAACGUGAAAAUGUUGAUUUAAUAUUAAAUUAUGUUUGUUAAUCAACACACGUUUUGUAUCAAGAUCUUCUAUCCUGUGCUUAUUUUUGCACAAUUAAUAUUCUAAUAAUUUUAUUUAUAAAGCACAUAAACAUAUCAACUAAAAUGGUGUUUGGUAGGCUUAAAAGUUGUUUCCUAUUUUAAAAAAAGUUAAAUAGUAAUGAAAAGAAAAGGAAUGAAUAGUUUUUAAUAUAUAUUUUAGGUUAAUUUGUCUCUAUAAAUGCAGGCGGCAUUCUUUUCCAGCUCCUUCAUCACAAACAUGUCUUCUUCCAACUACUUGUUAGCUCUACUUCUUGGGUUACUCUCCGUGGUUCUCACCAAGCCCGUUGUUGGUGAUUACAUCCUCAAUCCUCAACCUCCCCAUCCACCAUUCAUUCCUAUUUACGAACCACCAAAACCUCCGGUAUUUCCUAUUUACGAACCACCAAAUCCUCCAAUACUUCCAAUUUACGAGCCACCUAAACCUCCCGUUGCUCCAAUUUACAAGCCACCCAAGCCGCCAGUGAGUCCAAUUUACAAGCCACCUAAACCUCCAGUUGCUCCAAUUUACAAGCCACCCAAGCCACCAGUGGGUCCAAUUUACAAGCCACCUAAACCUCCCAUUGCUCCAAUUCACAAGCCACCUAAGCCGCCAAAGCCGCCGGUGGGUCCAAUUUACAAGCCACCGAAGCCUCCGGUAGUUCCAAUUUACAAGCCACCCAAGCCACCAGUGAGUCCAAUUUACAAGCCACCUAAACCUCCCGUUGCUCCAAUUCACAAGCCACCGAAGCCUCCGGUAGUUCCAAUUUACAAGCCACCUCAACCUUCACUGGGUCCAAUUUACAAGCCACCCAAGCCGCCAGUGGGUCCAAUUUACAAGCCACCAAAGCCUCCGGUAGUUCCAAUUUGUAAGCCACCUAAACCUCCAGUUGCUCCAAUUUACAAGCCACCCAAGCCACCAGUGGGUCCAAUUUACAAACCACCAAAGCCUCCGACUGUUCCAAUUUACAAGCCACCUAAACCUCCGGUUGCUCCAAUUUACAAGCCACCUAAACCACCAAAGUCGCCAGUGGGUCCAAUUCACAAACCACCAAAGCCACCGAUGGUUCCAAUAUACAAGCCACCUAAACCUCCAGUAGUUCCAAUUUACAAGCCACCAAAGCCUCCAGUAGCUCCAAUUUACAAGCCUCCAAAGCCUCCAAUGGCUCCCGUUUACAAGCCACCAAAGCCUCCAGUUGUUCCAAUUUACAAGCCACCCGAACAACCAGUAGGUCCAAUUUAUGAACCUCCAAAACAUCCAGGAGAUCCCAUACACAAACCGCCAGUGCCAAUUGACAAACCAUCUCUACCGCCACCAUACUCUUACAAUCCUCCGUACAAUCCGCCACCAUCCAACUGAGUUCGUGUGUUGAGUGAAGCAACCUAAUUAAGCUGAAUUAGCAUAUAUAAAUAAGAGCUUUUGGCUACUCAAUGUUCUAUGCUUAUUGUGCUCAUCUUUCUUCUUUGUAAAGCAGAGCAUGAGCAGGCCAUUUGGUUUAUGGCGUUUCCAAAAUUAUUUCUACCUUGUUGAUGGUGUUUCAGAAAUUAUUUCUACUUACUCUUCUGGUCUAUUUUUCAUGUUUUCACUUAUUGGAAAUUUCAUAAUAAAAUCUUAACUACAAUCCCACAUUGUAUUUAUAAUCCUCUCUGUCUUGAGUGAGCCUUACUCCUAAAUGUUAUUAUCAAGGUAUUGUCUUUUUAGUGUAUCAUUGAAAUAAAUAAACUCAAACCACAAACUUCUUGAUCGCUGUAAUUUGUGUAAAACACUAGUUAAAGAGGGUGUAUGAAUUAAUGUAAGUUAAAUCAAAUUCAACUAAGAGGAAUCUUAAAGAUUAUUAAAUUAUGGUUAAGAAAUAUGUUCAAAAGAAUUUAAAGUUGUUAUCCUACACUAACCAACAAGGUGCCUCUUUCUUUCUCAAUGGUUUGAUUACGAAAACUUUAAAAAGUCUAUUAUUUUUAGUAUGAAGUAAUUCUAUGUUUGAUGACCUCUUAAAAUAUGUUAUAGAAAGCAUGUGAAUGAGAACAAAACAUCGUACCAUGAUUUUGCUAGAGGUUCUAAGAAUUGUAAAUUAAUUUAGUUAAAUUUGUUCUUGGAGACUAUAAUUUUCUUUUGAAUUUUGUUGGGCGUGUGAAAGAGCAAGAAACUUGGUACGUUUUUUAAAUGAUGCAUAGAGGGAGGCUUAAUAAAAUGAGGAGAGAGAAUUUCAUUAAAUAAGGAAAGUAGAGAAAGGGGAGAGGGGAGAGGGAGAGGGGAGGGGAAUUUUGUAUUUGAACAGUGGAGAGAUAAAGGGAAAAUAGGGUUUUGGUUUAAGAUGAGGAAAGAGGGAAAACACAAAUUAAUAUUAAUGAAGUGAGAGAAAAAAUAGACAUUUAAAUGAUGAGUGAUUGAUUUUAGAGAGAAGGUAGAGAGUAUUAUUCUGGAGAAAGAUUCAUGGGUUCUCAAAUUAUUAUACAACAUCAUAUUUGGCUCUAUUUAUAAAUAUUUUCAUAAAUUUUAAUACUUAAAAUAUUUUUCCAAACAAACAUUCAUCUCUUUAGUUUAGGAUUUGACGUUGUUAACCCUAUGUUUGGAUUCGAGAAGGUUGAAAGAAAAAUUAUUUUAUUUGGAAUGAGAAAGAUUUUAAAUAAAUAUAUUUAAAAUUUCAUGUUCAAAUGUUAAUUGGGAAUAAAAAAAAGAAGGUAAAUUAAGAGUUUACUAAUACUUUUAAUGUAUUAGUUAAAAAUUAGAGAAGGAUGAGUUCAAUUAUGUAAUUUACUUUUAAAUCUGGUAAAUUAUUUUUAAAAAAUUAAGCAUUUUGGUACAAAUUGUUAAUUAGGUUAGUGUGUUUUUUUCACUCCUUGAGCACUUUGAUAACAUUUAGACUUUGAUAAAGGAUUGAUAACAUUUGGACUUUGAUAAAGGAUUGAAUGAAACGGGUAAAAGGUGCUGCCACUUAGAAUUUAAAAAAGCGAGCAAGAUUAGUGUUUUCUUUUAAUACUCUUUUUGUUUUUGGGGUUUUGAGUUUAGUUUUUAUUUGAUUUCUAUAUUUUGAAAUAAAACUGUUUGUCCCAUCUAUUCGAAGGAUGCUAAAUUUUAGUCUUUAAUAUAAUAAAAUGGAUGGGUAGUGAAUUGAUGAAAGAUUAAGUUAUAUAGGGAUGAUGAUUGGAUUAAUUUAAAAGCAAAACAUAUAUUUAUAAUGAAAAGACGUUCCUAAUAUUGAAAGGGCAAGAAGAAAAUGGAAUUGAGAGGAAGAAACUUUGACGCUUUUUGGAUCACUUGGGUCCAAAAGUGAUCCAGAAAGUAAUAGGCAGACGGGGAGGGAUUUAGAGUAAACUAAAAACAUUCAAUUCAGACUUUUUUAUAAAAAAAAUUAUUUAAUUACCUUCUCCUACUUUUGUGGAUCCUAAAACCUCAGCAAUAACUACAAAGCAGCCUCAAGAAGUACCUAACUUCUUCAAACGCACAGAGUACGUAUUUCAUUAUUUAAUUUUGAGCUUCUGCUUCUAAUUUACAACAGGUUUGUUUCUCAUGGGUUAAUUCUUUUGUGCUUUACUUACUUGACCCAUUAGGGUUUUGUGUCGAUUAAUAGUUUUAUGUUUUAAGAGCUUUUUGGGGAAAACUAUUUGCAGGGAUAAAAUGAAUACAGAAAAUUGGGUUGAGAGUGUUUUAGUGAUUUGUGCUUUUCUUUUCCAACAGCUCCAUCGUUUCAUUUUUCGUCUUCUUCUGCAUUAUUGUUGUUUGCUGAUAAAGAUUUCUACCUCUCAUUUAUACUUUGCAGGGUGGAUUUUGAUCGAAACUAAACUCAAAGACUUUGGACCAAAAUGAUAUUUUUGGUGCAUAGCCGAUGGAUACAGCUGGAGUGGCAAGUGGAUGAAACUUAAAUCUUUCUAAUGUAAGAGUGAAUGCAAAACAAAGGCAUCCAAAAGUUCUGAGAGAGUUGUAAUCUUCUUGUUGGCCAAAAAGGCAAUACUGAGGGGUUUGCAACUGUAUGAUUGAUGAAGGUAAUCUGUUGAUUAGGUAGGCACCAAUCGUGAGACAGUCUCCUUAGAAUUUUAUUGACACUCGUGACUGAAAAAUGGAGUUUGUGAGACAUUUAGUAAGUGUUGAUGCUUCUUUUAACUAUGAAGCUUUUUUCAAGGCAGCCAAGACAUGAGUAUUGAUGAAUGACUCUUUUGGUGUUGAAAAAUUAUGUAAAGAUUCAUUCUGGAGCAUUGUCAUAUCAUAAUUUCUUCACAACUCCAAACUGAUUUUCUAUGAGUUUGAAGAAUUUUGGAAUUAUAGACAAUACAUCUUACUUUCUUUUAAGAAGAUAUAUCCAGAUAUAUGUUGAAAAAUCAUCUACAACUGUUAAGAAAUAUUAUUUAUGUUCACCUCUAGUGAGAGAUUGAUAGGGACCCCAUAUGUCACAAUGUAAAAUAUCAAACAUUUUAUUGCAUAUAUAGUUGUUUGAUUGAAAUGGUAACUUUUUUGUUUAGCUAAAGGACAUACUAAAAUUGUCUUGAGAAGUUUCAACAAAUAUCAAAUCUUUCAAGACAUUUACAAGUUUGCGAGAGAGGUGGUCAAGUCUGUUGUGUCAUGUAUGAGAAGGUAUAGAUGGUGUCGAAACAACAUUACAAUGAUAACGAGUUUGUAGAGUGGUUUGAAAAUCAUGUAAGUGAGAAAAGACAAUAGCUAUGAUAUUUAUUUUUCUAUACAAUUUCUACUUAUUUUUAAAUAUGAAAGUAUUUUCUACGUGGGUUACUAAAUAAUAUAUUGAAGUUGGCAAACAGUUAUUAGACUUAUCUCAAGGUCCAUCACAAGAAGUAACACACUCUACAUGAGGUACAUUGUUGAUGGAUUUAGAUUUUGUAUCAAGGAUGUUGAUAAUUUAAGAAAAACACAAAAUAGUUAGGGUGGUUGAGAGAGUAACUGAUAAUCAAAAUUACUUUGGUGUAUUACAAGAUAUUAUUGAAUUGCAUAUAUGGGUGAAUAUAUCAAUAGACUUGGAAAAGGAAUUAGAAACUGAUGAUCAUCGAAUAACUAGUGUGAAUGUGACAUACACAUUUGCUACAAAUAAGCCAUUUGUAUUAUCAUGUUAAUCUAAACAAGUUUUUUACCUUGAAGAUAGAAGAAACUCGAUUUGCCAUUUUGUGUUGAAAAUUGAUCCAAUAGAUUAUUACAAUCACUACAAGAAAGUAGAUCUUGCCCGAUACAACCACAUGUCGAAAAAGCUACAAUUCGCGUCGGAAAAGGUAUUUUCGACGUUUGAAGCGACCUCAAAAGCCACACGUCAGAAAAAAGUGUACUAUUAAUUUUAAAACGUCACCUUUCCUGACAUGGGGCAGAGGGAUGUUGGUAAAGGUUGACAUUUUAAAUUAAUAUUUAACUUUCCUCGACGUCACAUUGAUACACGUUAGGGAAGAUUCAAUAUUCAUUUUAUAUUUGAACUUUCCCCAACGUCCCUCUGCCUCACAUUGGAGAAAGUUCAAUGUUAAAUUAAUAUUCAUACGUUCCUCAACUCCUAUUUUCCAUUCGUCGGGAACAUGUCUUAUGUAGAUGCGACUAUGCAUGUAUCAACGUUGGGUGGUCAACGCUGACGAAGGGUUUGCCAACCUUAUGCCGCAUUGAAAUUUCUCUAAUUUCUUGUAGUGAAUGUCCUCUUGAUCAUAGAAGGUUAUUGUCAAGAUGGUGAAAAAGAUGACAAUAGAUGAAUUUAGAUGAAGAGAGAAAGAUGUAAUAUGAAGCUAACAAUCUUGGUGUUUUUUCAUCCGAGAUGAAAUGUAAUAUGAAGCUAAUAAUUUUGGUGUUUUUUCGUCCGAGAUGAAAUGUACCCUUAAGCUAAUAAUCUUGGUGCUUUUUCGUCCAAUAAGGUAUUUAGAUGAAGAAUGAGUAUUUAUUUGAAAGCAUGAGUUUGCUUAUUUGUGAAUGAGAUGAGAAUUAGAUUUUGAUAUUUAAAAUAUCUUUUGAAUUAUCCAGGCCUUACCAUCUUGAGGUAGAUUUGUGUAAAAGAUGAAAAUAGUGUGAACCAAAUUGAAUAACAAUGAUAGUACAAAUAGUCACGACUGCAUCUACAUCUAAUCAAAUAGUUGGUGAUCACCAAACUUCAACAAAAUCUAAUGCAAAAGCGGAUUUAGGAGCUUCAUCAUUGUUUAUACAGGUGAAAUUAGAUCAACUACGUACUACUCAUGAAAAGUUUGUUAAUAGAGAGGUAACAUUAUUCAUUGUUAUACGUACAUAUUAUUAUUUAUGUAUGAUUUGUUACUUACUUUUUUCUUUUUCAUUUUACUUUAGAGUUUUCUUUUGAAAAAGGAAAGGUACGUGGCCCCACACGAAAUCUCAAACUUGUUAAACUACCACAUGGGAUGAGAUUUGUAGUAUCGUGGUGGAAGAAAUGACCCGUUACGAAUAUUACUAAUAUCUUCAAAAGCCAAUGCACUCUCUUAACUAGACAUGUCAACUUUACUCCUUUACGAGUGAAAACUUGAAAAGAUAUUGAUAAACUGAAGAAAAAAAACUAAUUGAACUUAUAGUGGUAUGUGAAAAAAUAAUAACUUUUUUCUUUGAUUAAUUUACUUCUUAUAUAAUUAGAUUACAACAAUCAUUUUCCUUGCAAAAGCGAUUUAAAUUAAAGUUGAAAGUCACGAAGCUUCAAUGUUGCUUCAAAUUAAUCGAUCUUAUAAUAAUUGGAGGGAUCGUUUAAAGAAAAAAUGGUUGAGCAAAUAUGAUAGAAUUAUAGAAGUUUUAGCAAAUAAUCUAUCAGAAAUUACAAAAGAAGAUGCAGAAUAUCUUGCGAAGUUAUGAAAGUCAGCUGAAUAUCAAGUUGUAAUCUAAUAUCUUUUUCUUGUACAUCCAAAGAAGUUGUACUUACUAAUUUAAUUUUUAUUGAUGCUUAUAUUCUACUUUUGAAAUGCAAUAGAUAUGUGUGUGAAAGAAAUCAAAAGAACUGCUCUAAGUUGAAUGUAUAUCACACGUGUGGUUCACAAAGUAUACAAGAAAGAGUUGAAAAAGAGGUAAUUAAAUGAAAAAUUAUAUAAACUUCUUUUAAUUUUGUGAAACUAUCUAAUAUAUAUUAUUUUCACUUAGGUUCAAGACAUGUAAUGAAGAACCUAGCUAGUCGAAUUAGAAUUUGGGAGCUAACUCAACUUGACCAAUAAUGAAUUGCUUGUGAAUAAAGCUACACAAGAGAAACUUGUAAGUACAAAAUAAUUAAUAUAUAUGAUGUAGCUAGAUUGUGUUAUUAUUUAAUCACCAUAAUUAAGAAUAGCGAAAUUGUUUAUAUUGCUCUGCUUAUGUAUUAUUUAACCAUCACUCGUGCGUUUUGAUUUUGUAUAAUUGGAGCUUCAUGUUCUUUCUAUUUAUGUUGCUCUGUUUAUGAUAGGAAAUAUAAUUUUGUAGUUGGAACUGUAUAUGUUGCUCUAUUUAUGAUUUUGUAUCAUAGUUGUUGUAUGGUGGGUGCAAAACUUAGCGUAGAUCAACACAUGAAUUCAUAUUUGUGUUAAGUUUUGAAUUAUUAAAUGUGAAUUUUUGUUUUGUAGUCUGAACUUAAAUCGUAUGCUUCUCAAGUGAUUGAUUGUACUUUUGAAGUGAACGAAGAUGAUAUUUUUGUACAAGUAUUUGGACUGGAGAAACGCGGACGUGCUCGUGGUUAUGAAGUAGGUGUUACCCCUUCUAAGUUGUUUGGAUCAUCAUCUAAGGUAAAAAAUCUUGAGUGUCGUCUUAAUGAGUUUGAAAAAUAUCUUCACGAAUUUUAAUGACAAAGAAAAUCUGAGGUACAAACACUACAUGAUAGAAUUACCGAAUUAAAAAACCGUUUGAAGGAUAGAUUCCAAGUUAUGAUGGCAGAUAUGCAAUCAUGUUUCUAGUUGAUCGUCUGUCAUAGUUUGAUGUUAUAGAAGUUGAAUCGUCUCUUGUUAUGUAAUUUUACGAUAAACUUACUAGCUUUCAUCCAAGUCAUUGAUUAUUUUUUCUAUUUCAUUUUUAUACAUUGUAAUUCGAUAUUCACCAUUAGGUAAUGGAUUAGUAAAAACAACAUUUUGAUUGUAAUUCAAUAUUCACCGUUAGGUGAUGGAUUAGUAAAAAUAACAUUUUGAUAUUUGUCAGUAAAUGUGUUAAAAGGUUUUGUGAGAAAAUUUUCGAAAGAUUUAUACAUUUGUUGAAAAAGUUCUUUUAUAAAAACUUCAAAAAAAAAUCAUUUAGAUAAUAAAUAUUUAUCGAUGAAUAAUUUAACCGUUAUCAAAGGUAUGUGUUACCUUUAAAAGUUAUUAAUUAUUAAUUAGUAAAACCUUCGAGAAUUAGUAAUUUUCAAAAGUUAGUAAAUCUUCGAAAAAGGAUUUUCGGCGGGAUCUACUUCGACACAUUUCAAAGGUUGAAAUAACCUUUAGCAGAAAAUGUAUGAAAGGACUAUUAAAUAUAUUUUGGAAGGUUGUGGCAUUCUGGAUUGUUUUUUAGUGUCCAAGUAUUUGUUAAAAUCACACUUUUGAUUUUAUUAAUCACCCACACAAUUAUUUUAUUCUAAAUUUUCUUCUUCAAUGAUCCACUCCUUUCUAAUUAAAUUAUCUUUGUAUUUUGUGUUGUGUAUUUUUGUAGGUGGAUUGAAUGAUCUUGUAUUUUUGUAGGUGGUCUUCAAAUUUUAUACUCGUUACUUUAAUCUUCCAAACCUUAAUCCAUCUUGUAUUUUGUUUACUCUUGAGUAAUUACUUUGUGAUGUAAUGAAUUAUAAAAUUUCAAUUAUGAGAUGAAAUUUAAAUUGUUAUGAUACAAAUAUAUGUUUUUUACCUACCAUUUAGGUUUCGUUAAAACAUUAUCCACGACUUUGUUUUAUUUGAAUGUUUGAAAAUAAUUGCUUAAUUAUUAUCGAUUUGGGCUAUAAAUUUUAGGCUACAUUGGCAAAAAAUAACAAUAACAAAUAAAAAGUAGUGACAUUUUUAAAAAUUAUAAAAUAAAUAAAAUAUUUACAAUCUAUAGCAAAAUUUUGGAUUAUAUCAAUAAUAGCAACUGAUAGACUUCUAUCAUUGUAGCAUAUCAAUGACUAUCAGUGAUAAAAUUUAAAAAUUUUGCUAUAGGUUAUAAAUAUUUUGUAAAAUUUGUUAUUAUUGAAAUUUUUCUAAAAAGUAAUAAUAAAAAAAAUUGUCUAGAAUAAGUUAAGUUUGAAAAUAAUUGGAAAGACUCACGUGGUUGAAGGACUCUACCUACUUUACACACACUAACCAUAUAGAAUGUUCUCUCAUUGAGCAUUCUAUAUUUAUAUAUGUUUAAAGGCGCAACUAAUGUUUGACAUCAACGCUUAGGACAUCCAUCUAUUGCUUGAUUGAAGGAUUUGUUACAACUAUGAAAGGUCCUGAUCGCCUUUAACCUUAUGCGAUGCAUGUGACAAAGAACUGAUUAUGCAAUGAGACAUCUUUGCAUUGAAGGCUACGCGAUAAACUAUUAUGCGUUUGAACUUAUUUCACUGGGAUGUAGUGUGACGUCACCCUUAUGUAAGGAAGUUGGUGAUUGAUUUGACAUUGCCACCCAUUCAUCAAAAUUUAGAAUAAGGACGUGGCACUAGUAGGUGCCAAUUUGACAAUGGAUCAUUCCCAUCGUCGGACAAAAGUAAUCAUUUCAGCAUUAGAAAGUGUUGCUGGAAAGACUUUAUAAAUAGGUGAAGUCCAGUCAUUUUGAAGCUUCUUUUACCUUGAGCUUAAUUAAGAUAGAAUCGAGAGAAUUUCCAAGAUUUUUCAGAGAGCUUGAAUUUGGCAAGGAGUUGAAAAGAAGAAUAACAAGGUGCAUAUGUAUGUUAGAAGAUCCUUUUCCGACGCGUUUUGCUAAAUAUACUGACGUGUGCCUGCAUUGAAAGAGCCCUGUAUUCUUGUAGUGGAUGUUCUAUUCUUUGAAGACUUAUCGCCAUAUCAAACUCAAAAUGGAGAUACCACCAACGCCACCCCUGGCUUCCUGGAUCAUUUUGUACUUCCUUGUCCGAUUUUUGAUACAUCUAAAGCUUACUCUAGCAGCAGAUAUGGUGUUUUACUCUUUGGUUCACCAUCCAAUAUUCAAUACAUUUAUGAAAGUAAUGACUUCAAUGCAAUAAAACCUUGAAUAAUGACAUAUAACAAAAUCUUGAAAGUGCUCCAAAUACUGAAUUUGUGAAGCUGUAAUUGAACCUGAAAACAUGCCCAAAUCUAUUAUAUCUCUGAGGAGGAUCUCAGGACAAACUCAUCCUCCUUCAUAUCUCAAAGAUCACCACUGCAAAGUUAGAUUGUUAUUUUCUGUUGUAUUAGUUGUAUUAGUUAAUAUGUUAGACAGUUAUUAGUUGCUACCAAGCAUCUAUAAAUACCAAGUUUGGUUGAUGUAAAUAUUUUCAUAUACGAAAAUAAAAGAAUUUAUUGCAGUCACUGAGUUUUCUUCCAAAUUCUGCUUCCUCUGUUAUGGUAUCAAAGCUAUUUCCGCAAAGAAGAGUUGCAGAAUAAAACCCAAACGUCCUUUACCCUCGUGCAAUCUACAGUAAUGACGGCACCUGAGAGUUCGACGUCUGGCAACUCCAACCACUCAGUUUCGAUUACCUCUUCUGAUCUUGACGCCCAACUAAAUUCCUUCAUGCUUCAUCAUUCCAUCACUCCAACCACCAACCUUGUUUCUACACCAUUGGCAGGAGCGAAUAACUACUCAUCAUGGAGUAGAGCAAUGAUGCUGGCGUUAUCUGGAAAGAACAAAGUUGGGUUCAUCACCGGCCUGAUCAAGAAACCUUCAGAAGGUAAUCUAUUAUCCGCUUGGAAAUGCAACAAUGAUGUGAUAGCUUCUUGGAUUAUCAACUCUAUUUCGAAAGAGAUAGCAGCAAGCCUCGUUUAUAAUGGAAACGUAAAGGAGAUGUGGGAUGAAUUGAAAGAAAGGUAUAAACAGUCCAAUGGACCUCACAUAUACCAGUUACGAAAGGACCUAGUAACCACUACACAAGGAAGUUUAUCAGUUGAAAUAUACUAUGCAAAAAUCACCACUAUAUGGCAAGAACUUGUGGAAUAUCGUCCUAUGGAUGAAUGCACUUGUGAAGGAUCAAAGAAAAUGAUCGAUUUCUUGAAUGCAUAAUUCGUAAUGACAUUUCUCAUGGGAUUAAAUGAAUCCUAUUGGCAGAUUAGAGCCCAAAUUUUGUUGAUUGAUCCUUUACCUCCCAUAAAUAAAGUCUUUUCUCUAAUCAUCCAAGAAGAAAGACAAAGAUCCAUUGGAUCUUCACCCUUCAUUGAGAGCAUCACAUUGAUGACUAACUCUGAAAGAAGAUUUUCUUCUGAUAAAUCCAAGAAGAAAGAUACAAGACCUAUAUGCUCCAACUGUGGCUAUAAAGGACACACUGCUGACAAAUGCUACAAGUUACAUGGCUACCCACUCGGACAUAGACUUGCCAACAGCAAUAAUUCUGUCUAUGAAAGGCAGAACAACACAAUCCAAGAUGGAAAUGACAAAAUGACAGAAGUUUCUAAGAGCAAUCAAUCUGCCUUUUUUGCUAGUCUCAAUAGUGAUCAAUAUACACAGCUUCUGGGCAUGCUUCAAACUCAUCUGAACACACCUCAAAAUGGUGAGAAUUUAAAAAAUGAGACUACACACAUAGCAGGUACUUGCCUCUCUAACUCACUCAAUGAUCCCUUAACAUGGAUCAUUGACUAUGGUGCUUCCUCAUAUAUUUGCCACGACAAGUUUAUGUUUACAAAUCUCUAUAGCGCCCAGAAUAUGUUUGUUAUCUUGCCCACUAAGACUCGUCUAAAGGUUGAGCAUAUAGGAGAUGUUUUCAUAUUAAAUGAUCUAGUCCUGAAAGAUGUACUUUAUAUUCCUGACUUCAAGUAUAACCUGCUGUCAGUAAGUACUCUCCUUAAGGAUGACAAAUUUGACAUAUCAUUUGCUGAUUCUAAUUGUCUUAUUCAGGACAAGUGGCUUUCGAAAACGAUUGGGAAGGUUGAAUUAACUAAUGGGCUCUACCUACUCAGAAUGAAAAAUGAAAGAGUUAAUUGCAUUCAACACACUACACUAAUGUGUAAAGUCUCGGCCUCUAUGUGGCAUAAACGGAUGAGACAUCCCUCUAUCAGCAGAAUAAAGGAGUUAGCUAAGAUGAUACAAAUUUGUAUAAUGAUGAAAUUUGAAAUAUGAAAUUUGUAAAAAGAAUAAUGAUGAUUUUAUAAGUUUUUUUUUUUAAUACGGGAAAUAAAUAUUUUUGAAUUUUAUUUAUAUACGUGUAAAUUAACCUUUUUAAAAUGUUACUGUUGGGUAGGAUACACAAUUUUCUUUCUCACUGCCUACAUUAAAAAAAAUAUAUUAAAAUAAUUAUAUAAAAAAAGGAUAUGAUUAAUUGUAAUUAAAUAUAUUAGGAUAGAUGUGGUUGGAAUGCAUCAAAAUAUUGUAUUUCCAUAAUUAGAUGAGGUGUGAGGAAAUUUUGUGAUUGGAAAGUGAGAAGAGGGAGAAGAGGGAGAAGAGGGAAAAGAGGGAUUUGGGUUGCAAAGAGGGAAAAGGGGGAUUUGGUUUGGAAAUAGGGAAAAUACAAAAUCAAUCAAGUAAUAGAAAAUUUGAAAAGAGAGAAUAUUGGAUGAGUUUUCAACACUUCGUACAUACCUAAAUUUAAAUGACUGAUUCAAACCGUUGCUUAAAUUUGUGUCAAAUAAAUUUUGUAAAUAUAAAAAUUUGUUCAUUAUAACCUUUUCAUCUGACCAAUUUAAUUGCUUAACAUAUUUAAAUUGUCCUAAAAAUGGUUCUAAUUCAACUUGUGAGAGAAGAGGAAGUGGAAGAGGAAGAGUUUGAGGGAAGAAGGAGAUGUAGAAGAUGUGAUUGAAGUAAAAGAUGUUUCUUUUUAGAAAAAUGGGGGCAAAAGGUAAGUCUAAGAAUAAGAAGUGGUAAUUGCUGAUGAUUUUAGAAAACUUGGGAAAAAUAGUGAGCCAAAGUUUUUAGAAAUUGUUGGAAAAGGUAAAAUGUUCGUUUUAAUUCUUAUCGGCCACAUAACUUUCCUUCAUAGAUAAUAAAAGUUUAUGCCCAUGUACGUGGGCAAAAACUAAAAUAAGUGUUUGCAAAAAUUCCACCUAGUAAUUUUUUGGACGCCACAAAACAUUUUGCCCUUGUAUAUAUUUUUGUUGGCAAAAACAAUGAUGUGCUAACAUAAUGAAAAUGUGUUGGAAAAACAUAUCUCUACCGAUAUUUUUUGUUAUGUUGCCAACGAAAAUUGUCUCCAAAUUAUAAAUUUUUUUUGUAAUUUGUACUUGUUGUCCCUAUUUUACUUGUUAAGAUGCAUCCUCAAAGGAGGCUGAAAUUCUUGCAAUCCACGAGGCAAGUGAGAAGGUGUAUGACUAAGAUCAAUGACUCAGCACAUUCGUGGAACAAGUGGCUUGUCUUCUAGUAAAAAUUUCCCAAUGAUAGUAUAUGAAGACAACACAAUAUGUAUAACUCAAAUCAAAAUAGAUUAAUUAUAUUAAAGGUGAUAGAACAAAACACAUUUCAUCAAAACUUUUCUACAUUCAUGUUCUUGAAAAAAAUGAUGACAUCACAACACAAUAAAUUUGUUCAAAUUAAAGGAUAACCUGACAGAGUUAUUAACAAAAUCACUACCUACCAUUCUUGAAAAACUGAUGUGCACAACACUGAAAUAAGACGACUCAAAGAUCUUAAGCGAUGUUUCAAAUGAGGGAGAGUAAUUGUACUUUUGUAAGUGUAUUAGAUUAUAUGAAAUAUAUAUUCUUUUUCCUUCAUUAACAUUUGUUUUUUACCUGUAAAUUUAUAUUUUAUAUAAGUAAAGAUCAUCUAUGGGGAGUAUUAUAAUUAAAUAUUAUGAUAAUAUGUGUCAAAUAGAUACUAAUCUUUAGUGUCUAUAGAUGACUUCAAUUCUAGCCAGAGAUGACUUCAAUUACUCAAACAGAAUUUCUAAAUUAAUUAGAUGGGUUUUCCUCAAGUUUUUAAGGUCAAUUUUCAAUUUCCAGAACGGAAUUCAUUUCUAAACCUAGAAACAAUAAGAUAACACUCGAAAUUUGAAAGAGAGAAAUAGAAAAUUAGGGAUUAAGGACGUACUAGAAGCAAUUUGAUGAUGUUGCUAGCACUGAAGAUACAGUGAGCAAUGGUGAACUUGAGAAGCUCAGAGGGAGGAAAAUAGGCCGCCAAUACACAUUUCUUGGUGCAUCUCCAACGGUGAAUCUUGCACGCCGCAUACGAACUAAGCACCACGAAGGCCUGAAUGGUCGGCGACGGUGAAGGAGACGCGAUGACGAUCGAAAAAGGAGAAGAGUUGAAGUCGAACUGCAAUUUACCUUAGUAGAAGAGCUGAGGGAGAAUGAGAAAGUGAGGGAGAAGGAGAAAACCAUGCAAGAAGAGAAGAGGAGGGAGAAGAAAAAGGAGAAAAUGACAAUGACCCAAAGUUAAUUUUUAGGUUUAUUUUAAUUAAAAGGUAAUAUAGACUUUUCACAACUUAUUUGUCCUAAAAGUCUUAUUUUUGAAAAACUCAUCUCAAAACUCUAUAUACCCAUCCAAAUAAUCUCAUUGGCAAUUUCCCAGCAUGGUUUAGAUACUGUUGUGAUUCUUGCUCAGAGCGAAUUGUUAAGACUCAGAGUAAUUUUAGAAAAAGAGAAGAUGUAGAGGAAAAGAAAAUACUAUAAAUGAAGUAAUAUUAAGUUAGUGAGAACUGAGAAGAAAACAUAAUUAAUAAUUAAUUAGAAAGAAGGCAUAUUCUGUGCCAAAAAGAAUAAACCUAACUUGAGAGCUGGUUGGAUUGUAAAUUUGUAUGUUCAAUGAUGAGUGGUUGGUGGAAUUUGACCCUUUCUUUGACUUUGACUAUUUGACUAUUUGACCAUUUGACCCAAUUAUUCAACCUUUUAACAGUCUUAACUUUCAAAGUUUCACAUGAGAAACUCAACUGCAUAUAUACCAUUUUCUUUAAAAAUAUACAUCUAUAUAUAUUUCCAAUUAUCAUUAAAAAAUGUUACGUUUAGUAAUACUUAUAACCAGUUUUGGUAAACUGAGUAGAAUUUCAUUUCAAUAAUUGAAGUUUAACAGAAUAUACUUUAGUAAAAUAUAUGUACAUUAUCACCUUUCUCUAUUUGUUGUAUAACAUUUCCUACUUCUAUGUGUGUAUGCAUAUGCAUGUUUACUUUGCAUGCCAUUGUAUUAAAAAAGUAAUUAUAAUUUAUAGUAAUUUUAAAAUUAAUAAUUCAAUAUAUAAUAACCUUUUAAAAAAAUUACAAAUAUAGUAUAAUCUAUCACUCAUAGACUAAAGUACUCUUAUAGUCUGACCAAUAUUUGUAUUCCAAUACGAUCUAUCAAUGAUAAACUUUAUUAUUGAUAAGACUUUGAUAAAUGUUUUAAAACUUUGUUAUAUAUUUAACUAUUUUGAAUCUAAUGACUAUAUUUGCAACUAUACAUACAAACAAUAUCAUAUUUUAGAAAUAAAUAUCUUUUUAUAAUAAGUAUAUUUAUAAAUUAAAAUAGUAAUAUCGUUGGUAGGGAGGCUCGCAUACCAUUUUGUAGGUUGUGAUUUAAGGUAAUUUUAAAUUUUAGUUAUUUUGAAUUUUUUAAGGUAUAAGUUGGAUUAUCUAGGAUUAGAUUAUGAUGGAUGUUAAUUAAGUUGAAUUAGAAGAUUAAGAAAAAUGUGCAUUUGGUGGGAUGUAAUAUAGAUUAAAUAAUUGUAUAUAUUUAUAUAUAAGGUUCUAUAUGUUGAAUGGGAGAUAAUAUAAAAAUUUGACACAAAAAUAACGAUGACAUUUACGUUUUAUAUAUAUGUAAUUAAUUGUUGGAAAGGAUUGUGUUUAGGAGAAAAUUAGAUAUAUAUUUGUAUAUGUAUAUUUAAUUAGAUAUAAAAAGGAUUUUGUUAGAGUGGUAUAAAAAUAUAUUUUUUGUUAAUAUUUAUUUUAGAAAAGGAAAAAGUAAAAAGGUAAACAAAGUUUAAGCAUUUAAUGUAGUGAGCAUCCGUGCAUUUUACCUUCGGGUUUUGUAAAAAUAGAAAAAAAUUAUGAUAAUAUAACCUAUAUGACAACAUUUUCUAAAUUUGUUAAAGUAGCAAUUUUAAAAGUGACAACUCUUUUAUAGCCAUCUAAUAGCUCUAUGGUUACUGUUUGAUAGUCAUCUGAUAUCACUAAUUUUGUCAUAUUCGCGAUAUGCAAAAAAUUAGUUUCAUUAGCUGCUUUUUCUAAAUGUUUUUUCUGUUAUUUGAUGCAAUUUUUCUUUUUUGUUUUUGUGUUUUAUCCUUCAUCAAAAGGAUCAUCGCCCCUUCCUUGGAGUUUCUUUUCGGUCACUCUCCAAUGCUUUUUGGGUGAGUAUUUGGUGGUUUUUGUAUUUUGGUUAUGAGUUUUAAUACCCAUUAAAAAUUGGUUUUAAGGAACUUAUUAUAAGGUUCAUGAAAAGCCAAUUUUAGUUUAUUGAAGAACUUUUGGAAUUUAUACGUGGUUUUUCAAACAAGAUCGUAAUUUGGAGUUUCAACAUGAAUUGGCUAAGUUAUAUUGGAGAAUUAAAAUUGGUUUAUAAUAUAUUUAAAUUCUUACUUUUGCUAAAAUAUCGUAAUAGCACACUUUUCUUCUAACAUCUUUCCUUAUUUAUAUUAAUUCUAAUUUGGAUUAGUCAUAUUUAAACUCUUACAAACUUGUCAGAUACUACUUACCUAAAUUCUGAGUCUUUGCAUGUCUAAACACUUGGAUUCCAACUCCAUCAAACAGUUAACCCUCAGUGAUCUUGAUAUGCAUUAGUCUGAGAUCACCUCAAGAACCUCAGCAAAACAUUAUUUGUCUCUAGUCUCAACCGACAUAACCCCAAGAUAGCUCUGAGAUCCUUCAAUUUCAUCUUUUGUCUUCAAUAAUCUCUGUCAGACUCGCGUAUCCAAGAUUGCCCGAGAUUGUCCAAGAUUUUUCUAAUUUUCUUUCUCUUCUUCUAAUCUCAGUCGAACCAGCACUAAGAUUGUCUUGAGAUUACACUUCUUAAGCAUUUUGUAUUUCAUCUCGAUCGAACCAGUAUCGAGAUUGUUCUCCUCUGAGAUCAACCUUAUGUCUUCAAUCUUGUCCAAGACUCCACAUGAUAGGACGAGAUCCAACUCUAAACCCCUUCUGUUUUUCAUUUCAGUCUACUAGAGCCCUAAGAUCAACCUUCUUUCUUCAAAAUCUUCUAAAAACUCUUAACUAAAAAUUCUUAUUUACCAAAAUGAUCCUUCUAUUAGAUACUGGUCUUACAUAAUACUUCUUAAUUAAUACGUAAUAAUGUAUACUUGAUACCCUUAAGUUAAAGAAAAAAAAAAAACUUGACCUUCUUCUUCAAAACCCACCAUCUCUCUUCAAUAUGAAAAUUUACACCCUUAAUUUGUUCGAGAUUUGAAGGAUCGGUUUCUAGAAGUAGAUGGACAGAGAAGCUGAAAUUGGAUUAUAUUCACAAAUUUUAGUCUCCGUAUAUGACCCAUGCCCAUAAACCAUACCUACAUCAAUUUGCUUGUGUCAUGUACCCAACCAAUUUUAUUUGUUACGGUUGAUUCUCUGAGGGUGUACUAAUCCCAGUGUUAAAUUGAAAUCUUGUUUAGAAUUGCAAUUUUGGAGUUAUAGACGAGUAUGACCAUAUACCCAAAAAAAAAAAAAAAAUGGAGAUUAUCGCACAGGAAGAAUUUGGAAGAGAAUUGCAAUUGUUGGAGUUCUAAACAAGUAUGACCAUAUACAAAAAAAGAAAAAACCAAAAAACCAAAAUAGAGAGUAUCCGAGAGGAAGAACUUGGGAGAGGAUGAAGUAAUUAAUCGAUGAAGAGUUGAGAGAGAGAGAGAGAGAGAGGUGCAUGAGAACAAAGAAGGGAAUAAGAGUGUCGAUAUGGUACAAGCUCCAUUUUGAAUUAAAGAACCAACAAAACAUAAUUAUUCUAGAUUUUGCCAUAUCUCUAAAAAAAAAACAAAUAUGAAAGACUAACUUGCAAAAUCUCACUUUGAAAUUACUGCCCAUUGCAAUUUUCCUUUUUUUUAAAAAAAAAGAAACACUUGUACUAAUGUUCAUAUAUCAAUAGCAAAGACAUUUUUAACUUUUCAAUAUUUUUUUUAUUACUUAAAAAUUCAAGUGAUUUUUAAACGAAAUACCCACCGUUUUUUUUUUUAUUUUUAUCUAACACCAAUAGUAAGGUCAGUAAGGUUAUUUUUAAUUUUUUUUGUUGAAUGUUUUAUGAUAUUUUCUUACCUUUUGAAAACUUUAAGGGUAUUUUUUUGACCCACAUAACCAAUUUCAAAAACAUUUAUUUAUAUAUAUAUAAUUUAGCCAUAGAAUAUAUUUAUUCCAACUAGUUGAUACAUGAAUAACAAUAGUAUCAUACUAACUUUAGUUUUUUUUUUUUUGAAAAUACAUAUUUUAUGUUUUAAUUAGUGGAUGAUAGGAAGCAAGUUCACAAUAAAGAAUUAAGUCCAACAACUUCUCACUUUUGUGAUAUUUUAAAAAAUCAAUUACCCCUUUGCUUAUGUUUUUUUCCUUCUGUAAUGGAUAACAACUAUAAUAAUACUAAUGAAGAAAAAACAACAAAAACAUAUUCAACCUUACACCAUGGAGUCUUUCAUAUAAAAAAUUUAUAGAAAAGAACAAAGAUAUUAUAUACUUUGAUGAAGCAAACUAUAAUUUAUACAUUAAUAACACAAAAAAAAAAAAAAAGAAGAAGAAGAAGAAGAAGAAGAAGAAGAAAAGAAAAGAAAAGAAAAAAAAAACCCCAAGAUUCUUGAUAUCUUUCUCUUGCUUAAAAAAGGCAAGGAAAAAUUGAUGCAAAAUCUUGAAAGCCAUAAUGGCAACAAUCUAGGGUUAUAUAUCUAUGUUCCAAAGCUAUAAAGUUAUAAACAAGGCCAAAUAAUGACAUCUUGAUUAUGGCCCUUCACAAUGUAGUUGUUUCUUUUGAACUAAUUGUCUCUUUCCCUCGAAAUUUAUCAAACUAUUGUUGUAGCUUCUAAAAUAAUGUGUUCGUCCUUUUAACACAAAAAUGGCAGAAUUUUUGGGGACCGUGAGAGAUUCUACCACGGUCGGAGAUUCUCGGAUGACUCUAAAAGUUCUUCCAAAUAAUCAGAGCCAAGAUCUUCCAAAACAACCACAUUAUUCUCAGUCUUCCCAAUCCUAUCUAUCUCUUUGCUCUUUCUUCUCGUGAAUUUCUUCCUCAUCGAAUGUUUUCUCUUCAAAGCCACCACCGGAGAUCCACCGUCGCCGCCCUCACCCGCGGAGUUGAUCAUCUCCAUCUCCUUCAGCGAUUCCUGAACUCUUUCCACCGGAAAAUUAAGAACGGCGGCGGAACCUCUCAUCGAAAAAGCUGCUUGAUCGUAGGCCAAAGCGGCCGCCUCGGCACUGUCGAAUGUCCCGAGCCAAACCCUGACCCCAUUUCUGGUUGAGUCUCGUAUCUCCGCCGCGUAUUUUCCCCACGGUCGCCGGCGGACCCCUCUGUAGGACUUUCUCUUGUGGGGGUCUUCUUCUCCGAGGGAAUCGACCUCCUCGUCUUUGAUGGGAUCCUGCCGAGGGGAAUUCUCCUGUGGGUCCACAUAAGCCUCGGAGAUUAAGCUGUGAAGAAGCAUUUCGUCGGAGUCAUUCUGGUUGAAGGGGAGAGAGUGAUCGUUGAUUUGAAAACCUUCCCAUCGGAGGGAUUCAAAGGAGCUAAAGGAAGACUCGGGUGAGAGAUCGGAGUUUUGGGAGUGAAAGAAUGAAGAAUUCAUUGAAUUGUUAGAGGAAAUGAAGAAGGGGAAUUGUGGUGCAUGAAAGGAGAAGUCUAUUACUCUGUUUUUCUCGACAGAGAGAUGGCUUCUUCGUCGGCUAUAAAUAAAUACUAAAUGGCAGAGUAAAUUGAAAACAAAAAGAAAAAAUAAAAUAAAAAGAAAAAGCUUUUAUUUUAGUUGAUGUCUAUGAAUAGUUUCAUGUGGAUUUAAAUUUUUAUCAAAUUUUGGCCUCAUAUUUUCUAUUUUUAAAAUUGAAAACGGGGGUAUUUUUUUUUUUUUUUAAGUUAAGUUGAAAAUAUUUAAAAAUAAGCCUAAUAUUAUGUGAUAAUUAUAAAGAGGGUGAAAGCAAAAAAAACCCAUUCCUUGUUUACCCAAUAAACUAUAUGAGUUUGAAGGUCUAUUUACCCUUUUUAAUUAUUAAAAAUAAAUUAAAAUAUAGUAAAAGUUUAGGUUUUAUUGUGUUGAUAAACUUUUAUAGACAUUUUGAAUAGAAUACAAAAUUUGAUUAUUUAGUAAUUUAUUACAAAUUUUCAAUAUUUACCUCUUUAGUUUAACUGGUUUUGUGUCUAUGAAAUUAUAAAAUAUUAACUAGGUUUUAAAAUGAAUAUUUCUUAAAAGAAAAAAAAAAGAGUUUAUUCACUAAGUUUGAAAUUAAGAAUAAAAAUGAUUAUUGAUUAUUGGAGAGCAUAUAUAAUAAUUAAGAAUGAGAGUGGAUUUUCUUGGGGGAGACACCAAGGCAGAAAGCGAAGGGUAGAAGGUUAAAUGGAAAACGUGAGUGAAUUAAGAAGUUGGAAAAGAAAAUUAAAAAGGAUUGGUGGCCAAGUCAAAGUGGAAGAAAGGAUAAUGAUGACGUCAGGCCGAUGACCAAUUUUUUAAAAUCAUAAGAUUCUUUGUACACGUGUCAAGGGAUUUGGGAUGACCUGGAAUUUAAUGUUCAAUUCAUGUAGACAAGUUUUAUUUAUUUUUUGUGUAUGUAUGGAUGGGGAAGUUUUUUAUUUUCUAUUUUUUAUUUUUUAAAUUUAGUGACAGUUGAGAGGGAGCAUGUGAUCCUCAACUGAAACACACAUUCUAAACUUUCUAGAACCCCCCCUCCUUCCCUUCCCUUCCCUUCCCUUCCCUUCCCUUCCCUUCCCUCUCUAUCACAUAAUUAUUUCUUUUAGGUUUAUGUCUUAAUCUUCCAUUUCUAUUUUCAUAUUUAUUGUUAUUCUUUUUUAUGUUUUUUCUUUUUAAAUUGAUGUUCAAUCCGACGUAGAUAGAUUCCCACAAUCUACCACAAAUCCAUUUCCAAGAGUUCACAUUAAUUAACAAACCAAUACAAGAUAAUUACUUUCAUUUUACAAUUCUACCAACAGUUUAGACUAUAUUUUGAAACCCUCUAAAUUCAAUUACAAUCAAUUUCCUUCCAUUUUACUUCCUUACCUUAGCUACACCCAACUCAAGAGUGGACUCAAAAUUCACAUUUAAAACUAAUUACAAUUGGUUUGAUCCCCUACCAACUAAUCUAUAUGUUCCACCUUUACUUAGGCUCAGCUUUAACUACACUUAUUGUGCUAGCUACUUUAAGAUUAAUUUUCACACAUGACAAUACAUAAAUAUACAUAAAAUUAGGUUCCAUACUCAGAAUUGAAUUAAAUGGGUCCGGGUUUGAAGUUUGAUUUCAAAUUAAAAUUAAGCUUUUGUGUUAAGUAGUUAUUUGCACUAAUAUAAAAUUGUCAAUAAAAGCUAAAAAUGAGACUAUGUGUAUGUGAGAGUGAGUAAAUCAGAGUGUUCAAAUAUAUCAUUGUGUCGUGGAAUGACCAAUAGGUUGUGAUACAACCUCAAUGAUAAAUAGUUUCUUGUCGAUUUCUCUCCAAGAUUAACACAACUCGUCUCUUUCUUAUAUGUUCACUCAUUAGAGAAAAGGAUCAUCAUAAUCAAUCGAAAAUUUUGUCUGUAUUAGAAGAAGAAAAUAUGUAAGCCUUGUUUUUAGAAAAGUGUUGUUGGAAAUGGUACUGUGAACAAUGCGUCGAGACGAAAUUUAGGCAUAUGAAGUUGACAUGUGAAAGUUUUAUGCAGUGAACUUCAAUGUUUAGAAUGAGAGAAUGCAUUUAGAUGAACAUCUGACAAUGAAAUAUCUAGAUCUUGUUGUCUGAGUUUGGACGCUUGAGACAUAUGUAGCCAAAAACUGCAAAAUAUAAACUUGUAGUUAGGAAGAAGGUUGAGUCAUGAUCAUGAUCUCUUUAAACCUUGUUUUUUUAGAAAAGUGUAGUUGGAAAUGGUUCUACAAACAAUGCGUCGGGACAAGAAUUAGGCAUCUAAAAUUGACAUGUGAAAAUUUUAUGCAGUGAACUUCAAUGCGCUUAGAAUAAGAAUGCAUUUAGAUGAACGUAUGACAAUGAAAUGCCUAGAUCUCGUCACCUGAGUUUGGACACUUGAGGUGUAUGCGGCCAAAAACUUCAAAAUAGAAACUUAUUAAGAAGAAGGCUAGUGAGCAUUGCUCGUAGUGCAAACAAUUUUGAUCAUGUUGUAUCGUCUCCAGGAUAAAAUAGUCAAAACUCAGCCGGAGUUGCACCAAAACCGAUUGGAAUACCAACACUCUUUUGAUUUACCUUUAAAACAAAGAAGAGAAAGAAAAAGGAUGGACAAAACUUUGUGAGAUAUGAUCUUGGUAUAAUUUUUUCUAAUUUUCAAAUGAGAAGUGUGGAAGAUCUUAUAUAGAAGAGAGAUCCGUUAACACCCUAACAAUCAUGUCAACGGGUAAUUCACCUCAACGAUCAUAAGAAUCUCAACCCCUUGUUCAACAAAUUGAAGAAUUAUGAAAGGAAACCUUUUUUCAUUAAGGAAAAAUGGAUUGUUUUAACUAAAACAAAACGAUUGACCAUUUGAUUAAGGAACUAAAAUAAAUGUUUAAGGUAAAAAAAAGAACUAUUAUUUUAUUCCUCACUUUACCUCUUGCCACACCAGUCCAACCGAUGUACCAACAGAUUAACUUUUUUCUCUCUAAAACAUGAGUACUCCAUAGGGCGUUUUCAAUAAUAAAUAUUUCGAAAAAACAUCAUAAAGGAAGGAUAGCAAUGCAACUAUUUUUUCUUUCUUAGAUUUGAAUAUAUAUUUUUAGUAAAUAGUAUAUAUAUGUUAAGUAAUUGAACGUUUAUAAUUUGACAAGUACAAAAGUCUCAUUACUAAUAAGGGAAGAUUUGUAUUACUACUUUUAUUUUAUGCUUAAUUGUCAAUAGCGAAGAUUUGAAAUAAUUCACUCCCUGAAGAGAUGACAAACCAAAUGCAUAUUCCUCACGUCUCUUAUCCCUUCUUUUCUUUUUCUAAAACAGAAAAAAAAGGUACAAAAUGGCAUUUAAUCUUAUGUAAAAUGAGUACAUAAAUAAUCAAAAUUUGCUGCCUAAAUAUUCAUUAAUACCAAAUACAAACACAACCAAACUAAUGAUGAUCCUUCCUACUAAUCAUCCCCAGAAUAAUAAUUAAUGAUAAAUAGAGCCACCACUUCUAGAACUAAUUAAUAUUUGUUUAAAAAAUAAAGAAUAAAAUUAUUACCAUUUCUAAAAACAUUUGAAAAAUCUUAAAAUAUGUAAAAUUGAUGGUGUGUUAAUGAUCCAAAUACAUGCCCCCUUGAAGAAGCAGUCACCCUCCCUCCCUCCCUCUCCCUCUCUCUCUCUCUCUCUCUCUCUCUCUCUCUCUCUCUCCAUUUCAAAAGUGAUAUAGAUUUAUCUUUUAAUUUCUGCAAAUCCUCCAAGAAGAAAGGGAGAGGUAGAAAGUGACCAUUCAAAUCUAUAAACAGUGGAAGAGCAUCUUUCUAAAUGCUUUUCUUAUUUUCUUUUCCCUUUCAAUAUGAAACUUCUCAGAAAACCUCCAAAUAUAAUAUAUAAAUACCAUUAUAUUUCUUUCUCCUAUCUCUUUCACAAAUCAUUUCAUACCGUGUUUUCGACUUUCGUCACCUUAUCAUUCACUCAUGUAUUUACUUUUUAAAAGAUAUUUUGAUCGGUAAAGUGAACUAUUAUAGUACACUCCACGUUUAAGAUUCCAAUUACAAUCAAAAUGAUAAUCACCCAUACUUCAAAUUAUUAUCUAAAAUUAACUAUAAUAUCAUUAUUUUAAAUCUUUCUUAUUACAAUUGAAUGUUUACUAUUUAUUCAAUCUAUUUUUUUUUGUCAAAGUGUUUACUAUCUUUUGUCUAUAUUAAAAUAGUUUCAACCAUUACUAUAAAUUGAGUGUAAUAGUCGACCCUACCAUGCCAAACAUGAUUUAAUUUCUAUGAUUAUAUAAAUAAAAUUUCAUGUCAUUUGUCACAUUUUGAUAUAAAAAAAUAUGACUUUAAUUAAGUAGGGAAUGAAAAUCCAUGUUGCAUUUAAUUAUUGGUUUUCAUUUUUAGAAUAAAAAACUUUGUCGAUUGACUUGGAAAGUAAAAAUGCCUUUAUAAGAUCAAUUACUCAAAAUUUCAAAAAGCCAUCUAAUCAAUGUUAGCCUAAACGUUUUAAGUCAGAUAAUUAACUUAAUAUCAUGAUAUGAUAUAUAUGAAAGUGAAAUCUAUUUAGAAUCUCUAUAAGACCCACUGUAUCCAUCAAAAUUAUUAGAGAUUAGUCCAUUCCUAAUUCCAUGGUUUUUGACCUCUUACCUUAUAUCCAAUGACUUUAUAAAUAUAUAUAUAAUGAAAGAAAAAAAUGAACAACUGAGAGGAAUAGUUCAUCUAUCUAUACUAUAUAUAAAUAGACGAUAUAAGGAAACUUUUUCUUUCCAUUUCUUUCAUUUGAGUAAUUCUAUCUACGAGAUUUAGUGAAUUUUGUCGAUUUUAAAACUUGUUAAUUAAAUAAAGAUCGAAAAGAAAAUUGUAAAGCAAAUUACUUGUUAAAUUAAUUAAUCAUUAAUAUCUAAAUAUUAAUUACACUUAUAAUACAUCAUCAUUAAAUACAUUAAUUAGAUAUUAAUUACACUCUAUUUUUUUUAAUUUCAAGAACUUUUUAGCUUCCAAAAAUCUUGAAUGGUAUUUUUCAAGUAGCAUGGUGAGCUUUCAUUCCUUCACUUAGAAAAUAUAUUUUAUUAAUUUUUUAUCGUUAUAAAAUCAUCCACUAACUACAUUGAUUAGACAUUUCACACCAACAAUAAAUAAUAAAAAAAUUAUAUUUAAAGUCUCUUCACUGUAUAAAGCUCGUUAUUAUACUUGAAAAAUAUCAUUCUCUCAAGCUUGCGACGGUGGAUAGCCAUAUAGAAAUAUGAGAAUGUUUGAGGCCAGGUCAUUGGAACAUCAAGUCACAUAUAAGCCAAUCCAUUGAAACAAAAAACAAAAUAGAGGAAUGAGGCACCAAAAGUCACUAGCUAGCAAAAUUAGUAGAGAUUUUCAUAUUAAAGUAUUGUUGAUUAACGUAAGUAUACACCAUAAUCAUUAGAGUUUGAAAUUUACGAGCUUUGAUACCAUAUUAAAGAUUAUUAGUGUCGUUGAUUUUUUCAACUUAAGAUUUUCGCCAAAAAAGAUUGAAUUGAAUUUUGAAGAUUGAUAUUAAACUGUUGAUGAUUUAAUUUCUUAACCUAAAGUAGUCUCUUGGGAUUGGUUUUGGGGAAACUUGUUGUAACAUGGUCAUACUUCAUUGCUUCAUUUUCCCUUGGGAGGAGACAACGACUCACAAAACCAUGUGUUUCUUUCUCCCAUCUUUGCCACAUCAUCCAUUUGUGUGAGAAAAUGACAACCAAUAUAAAGUUAGGUACAUAAAGUUUAUAUUCCAAUUGAGGUUUACUUUAUUUUGGUCAGAAAAGCAAAAAUCAAAAAUGUUUUAUUUUAAUCUAACAACAUUAAUUUAAUUAAGUGUUAGGUCAGUUAUUAUAUAUAGUAUUUGAUUAUUAAAAUCUAUGAGUUAUAAGUCCAUGUAGUCCAUAGAGUACUCUUUGUUUGGGAGUGACUAAAAGUAAUAUAGGUUAUAAUCGAUUUGUGUAUGCGAUAUCUUAAUUUGGACUAAAUUUUUUUUCACAUCAUAUCUCGAAAAUCAUAUACAUUAAUUAUCAAAACCAAUUAUUUCUUAACUUCUAGAUGAAUCAAGUGAUAAAAGUAUCCUAAAUAAGAAUUUUGGCCCAGAAAAAAACUGUUAAUUAGUUACAUAUAGGAUGUUUUUCUUUUCAUUAAAUCUUUUGUUUGUAUCAGAAAUUAUUUGCUUAUUCUAUAGAACAAGAUAAUAUAUGAAAAACAAUAAUUGACCUACAUUUUGUAUCUAUUAUCUCCUACAUUUCAUACACUAGUUUUGAGACCUAAUUUCAACAAUUCCAGUAAAUAACUUUAAGAGAUUUAUUAAUUUUAUUGAUUUCAUUUCAUUUUUUUAAGAACUAAACUAGCCAAAGAAAUUAUGAAAAAGAAAAGGAGAAAAAUAUAUAUAAUUUUUGUUAAUCAAUCUAGUUUUCAUUUUGGUUUAUUAUAUUUGUUUUAAAACAUUACACAAGUUUGUUCGUCGAGAAUUUUCAUAGGUGAUUCUCAUAAGUGAUCCUCGAAGUUGGUCGUUGGUAGUAGUCAUCAAAACUAAUUGUUUGAAGAAGUGGUCAUUGUUGAAUUUGGAGAUUAGAAGUCUCAAGUUCAUAUGAUUAGAUUUUCUCUUUUAUUUUUUAAAAUUCAUGAUUAGACGAAAUUUGUGAAAUUGUGUACAUUUUCACAAGUUGAAUAGUUUUAAUUGACUAUGUCGAGGAUGUCAAACAAAAUUGUGAUAUAUCAAUAAUGACUAUAUGUUGGAAUUUUUUGUCCUAAACUCGUAGUUUGUAAUCAUAUUAUGUUUCAAUAAAGUUGUUAUUGAGAAAUUAAAUAUUAUAAUCCUAAAUCCAAUAAAUCAAGUUCCAAGGCUAUUUUUUGAAUAAACUUGAACUUUAUGUGUAAAUAUAAACGUGGAUCAAGUUCGAGUAUAUAUAGCCUAAAUAGUCUAUAGUAUAUGAAUAAAGGUUGGGCGCCUUAUUUAGAGAAACUAUGGAUGCGGCCCACUUUGUAGUACAAACGAGGUGAUCCUGAAUCGUUCAUGUAGAGACAUGAAAGUGGGGGCAUCCUAUGUAAAGUGUUUACAUAAGACUGAACCAUGAAUUAGUCUUUUUUACGUUAUAACAUCGUUUACUGUUUAAAACUGACUAUCUCGAUUAUUGAUGACCUUGGUAACUUAAUCUUAAUCCUAAGUUAACUAUGAACUCCUGUUCACACGAGAUUAUCAACGUUGGCCCAAUAAGCCUCCCAUUUCAGGGAUAAGAUCGGGUGGAUAGCUGGGAACAUAGGGUACAAGAUGGAAUUCACUCCUACCCGCUUUAGGGUUAGUAGAUAAGUUGUUCUCUUAAGCACUGAAUCCAAGUCUUGAACAAGGGGCCCCACCCUCUCAUUGGCCCGAGAGGGAUUAAGUUUAUAGGUUGAACCUUAAACCAAUUGUUCAAUAGUGGAUUAGUGGGACUUAAGGAGCAAGAUGUAAUCUUGGGGGUAAAACGGUAUUUUGACCCAGCCAAGGUUACGAGCAACCUGUGAAGGAUUAACUUACUGAUUAUGGUUUUAUCAAAUGGACACAAAUAUAUCUAUAGUGAGGGGAGUGCAACUACGGGACUUUAGUGGAAUGACCCGUUAGUUAACGAAUGUUGAUUAACUCGGUUUAAAAGAGUUUAGCUAGUUAAUCUUGAAUCGUUGGAGCCCAUGAUCUAUAGGUCCAUUAGGUUCCUCUGCUAGCUCAUAUGGAUUAAACUUAGAACAGUGUGAUGAAAUAAGUCGAAUUGUUCGAAUUGGGAGAAGAAAGAGAAACCGACAAAUAUAGUGAUAUAGUCCUCGAUCUUCUAAUUAGAAAUAGAGCUUUAUGUUUUACAUACUAUAAGUAUGAAUGCGGAUUCAUACUAAGAAGCUCGAAAUUGAUGGAAUUGGUCAAAAAUAAUAAAAAGUCAAAAUGUUGACUUUUGACUUUGAAAAGUCAAACUUUGACCGGCCUUAUAUUCAAAUGUGAUUUGAAUUUUGGAAAAAUGAAUGCGGAUUCAUGCUCGGGAGGUUGGAAUUAGUCAAGACGGACAAAAUGGUAAAAAGUCAAAAUAUUGACUUUUGACUAAGAAAAGUCAAAGUUUGACUUUUGACUUGAAAAAUCUAAUGACCAUUUUACCCUUGGACUAAGUUAGUGGGAAAAUCCAACAUUUUAUUGGAUAAUCCCACUAACUCUUAGUGGGAUACAUGGCUAUAUAAGAUGUAGACACCUAGCCCACUAAGUUCCACUCAUUGUUAGUGGAACAUUAGGUGUUGAGAUUUAACAAAUUAAUUACAUGCAUUUUUGCAUGUAAUUAGGUUAUAAAUAGGGGUGUUUUCAAAUGAUUGAAAACUUUUGCCUUUUUUAUUAUCCUCCAUCUCAACCAAAGGAAAAAAAAAAACUUCUACCUUCAAAUCUCAUUUUAUCUCCAUUUCUUUCUACACCAAAUUGGAUCCCACAACCCGAUUUUUUGUCCAGAGGAUAGUAGUUGAGUACUAGUGGUGGUCUCAGUUUGAAUUGACAAGAAGAUAUCAAAGCUUUUUAAAAGCUUCAAAUGUAAUAUUUCCUAAAACCCUAACUUGAUUAGUUUAGGGUUACAUAUUAAUUGUGGCAAUUAGGGUAGAAAUUCGAUUCUUUUUCUGCUGUGCAUGUCUUAGUUCUAUCACUAUAAAUUAUAUUUGGGUAUAGGCAGUGGAAUGUGAAAAAAUAUUUUAAAUCACGAAACUAUUUAAAAUAUUUAAAAAAUUAUAACAAAACUUUUCCUUAUAUAUUGAUUGAUUGUGAUAUAUCAAGAUGUGUCAUUGAAGUGAUAGAUUGUUUAUUUAAAUUUAUCACAAUCUAUCACAAAUAGCAAGUAAAAAUUUCCUAAAUUUGUAAAUAAGUUAACACGUUUUGCUAUAAUUUGAAUACAUGCCUAGUUGAAUUGUAUCAAUAAUAAUAGACAACCAUUAAUUAACUACGACGUCUAUUAUUAAUAUAAUAUAAAACUUUUCUAUAUUCUAUAAAUAUUUUAAUGGUUAAUUUUCAUAAAUAUAAUAAAACACCAAAAUAUUUACGGUUCGUGUAACAAAAACGAAAAGCUCAUGAAACCAGUAAAAAUAUUUUCAUAAAUUCUAGAUUUGUUUUUUAUAUUUCAAACGAUUCGUCACUUCUCUCUUCCUUCUUCUUUGCAAUUAUUCAUUUUCUCUUCCAAAAUUCUUCAACUCCUCUUCCAGGUUUUCUUUAUUCUAUUUUUAAUUCAUUUUCUUUUUCUUUCUUUCUUCAUCCUCUCUUUUUUUCCUUCAAUCUCCUCUUUUAGAAUAUCACGAUUGUUUAAAUACUACUUUGAUAUAAUAUCUAAAUGAUCGCUUACCUAGUUAAUACGAUUGUUUGGCAUUAUCAACACAAUAAUUUAGAUUUAAAGCCUUUUUUCUAUCAUUUAAAAAGAACUACACGAUCUUGUGAAUAUGAUCUAAACUACCACGUACCAUAGUCAACUUAAUCGUUUAACGUGGUUAACACAAUCGUUUAGAUUUGAAGUUUUUUCUCAUUGUAAAAAAAAUUACACGAUAGUGUUGAUACUAUACCUACACGUUUGUGUAUAAUUUCCUACACAGUCGCGUAUCAUGAUUGUUUAGAAGAAGAAUUACAUACACGUGUGUGAUUGAUUACACGCGCAUGGGACAUUAUUUUAAUUUGUUUUUGGUGGAUUUUGGUUCAUUAGAAUAAUGAAAUAUGGUUUAGUUUGUGUCUGUGGUGGGUGAUGAAAAGCCAAAAAGAAACUAUAUAUUUAUAUACCAAUAAGAUCUUACCAAACUUCAUGAAUCACACCUGAUCUAAUAUUUAUUAUAUUAUUGUAAUUUUGGCAAAUAUCCAAUAACAUUUUUAUGAUUUGAAUAAAAGAGGAUUUCUUUUAAAUUAAAAGAUUUAAUAAUCGUGUUUUUAUAAUGGCCAUUCAAAUAAAAUACAGCUACCUAACUAAAAUAUGUGUUAGAAUAUUUGAACCUCACCAGAUGGUAUGACAUUUUUGGUUUGUGUGUAGCUGAGGAAGACUACAAACCACUUCUCCUUAAAUGCUAUCAUCUAUUUACACCUAUCAUUCUUCCACGAUCCUAACUUGUUUAAAUAUUAUUUGUGUGUUUACUAUUUUUUUUUUAUUGGCAACUUAACUGAAUGAUCUUCCCCAUACGAAUUUUGUAUUAGAAAAGUUUAUACUUUUAAAGAGUAUUUUCUGGUGUUAUGAGACAAAAAAGUAGGUUGAUUGGGGUUGAGGAACAAAUUUUGUAUAAAAACAAGUGGAGAGAGACAAGGAGUUUGAUCAAAUUGGGGCAAAUUAAGGAUAAAAAUUUUGGGGUUUUUUUUUUUGUCUGACUUUUUAUUGUUAGGCAAGUGAUGAUGUCUAUUGAUACUAAAGUAGAUGGGCAGAUUCAAUUUAUUUGCUACACACACUUGCCACCUUUCUAUUGCUUUUUCUCAUGUCUUUCCUCCUCCUUAUCUCAUCAACCUAUAUCUAUUUUCACCAUUUUUAAACAGACGUUUCAAUUUUUAAUCCAAAUUUAAAAUAAAAUUAAGUUUUUUUUUUAUUAUUAUUUCCUUUAAAAUUCACAUCUGUAUGAGAUCCACACACACAUAUAUAUAUUUUAAAUUAGGAUCUAAAUAUUUACUAAACACAACCAAAUGAUCAAAUUUUGUAGACAUAUCAUGUAUUCAAGCAUACACCAUUUGGAAAACUUUGCAACUUUAGUAAUAUAAAAAGCUCCUACUCAAUAUUGACACAUGUACGCACACACAAGCAUUCACAUACACUAGAAACUUUUAUAUGAUAUUUACACCACUUCUGUCUAUUUUACUUGAUAAUAGAUUUACAUAUUUUCAUUUCAAUUUUGUUUCUUGGUACAAUAAGAGUAAGAAUGAAAGAACAAACCUUAAACUCUCUAUAUAUAUAUAUUACCACUUGACUAGAUUUAUUUUGAUUUAGUUUUUCUCGAGAAAGAACUUUGUUGCUAUGAUAACUUGAAAUUUUCAAAUGCCCUAGAUUAGAACCUUGACUAAUAAGAAAAGUAAAAGGAGAUGGAUUUGGUAGGCUUGAAAAAAAAGAAAGAAAAGAAAAACUCCCACUACUACAUUCAAAAUUAGAUUGACCCGAAGAAUUGACAUAAGGUUUGGCACCCAAAGGCCAAAAGGAUAAUAUAAUUUAAUUUCUUCUUCAAGAAAAACGAUUGGGUUACGUCUAAUUCUAGUUAAUUGAAAUCAUUUGAUUUUUAAUUUAUUAAAAAAAAAUUUGUUAAAAUGAGGUAAAAUAUACCUCUUAAUCAAAUCGAAUUCAUUCCAUAAGACAACUAAAUAUAAUACUAUCUUGAAAAGGUUUUUAUUCUGUAUAAAUUAAUAUAAAUUGUAUAUAUAUAAUACCAAAUUUAAUUAAUUUUAGAUUACAUUUCACUAAUGUACUUUACACUUUUUAAAAGAUGGUAUUGACAUUGAAAAUAUUCCAAUAAAAUAUCUUUUCAAAGACUUUGCUUGUCAAAAUAAUGGAUGCAUAAAAUUAGAAGGUAUACAUAACCUUAUUUGUAAUAUUAUUCACAUAAAUAUGAAAAUAGAUGUGUAAAAAUUGAAUGGGUCAAUAAUGUUAUAAAUACUGCUAACAACAAGCUAUUCUAUAUGUAAGUAACAACUGCAAUCAACUUUAAAGUUAAAUUUUUAUAAAUAUAUAAAUUUGUGUUGACAUGUUGAUAUGUCAAGAGUCUAACAUUAAUAUUAAAAUAUUCAUUAAUAUCGAUAUAUGAUACUUUUUGUAAAUAUUUGUAUAACAUUGUCAUCUAUUUUGUUCAAUAUUAAUAAGUAAAAAAAACAUAAUUACUAAUUUAAAUAAUUUUUAUAUUAAUAUUAACUUCGAUAACUUAAUAUUUCUCAUAGUUAUGUCUUUUCAAUUUUUACCACAUCAUCAUGUAAAUUUUGAGUUUAAGUAUGGUGGAAAAAUAUUUAAAAAAUCAAAUGUAAUUUUGAAGAACAAUUUCAAAACUGAAAGUUUAAAAUACGACUUUAUAACCCUUGCCAACAAUAUAAUUGAGACUUUAUUUUGUACCAUUUAUCUAUAGUUAUAUAACUACUUCCAAAAUCUAAAAAUAAACUUAAAAAUGAAUGUUUCUACUUUAUUGGUGACAAUUCCUAAGGCCUAAGUACUUAUAUAAUUAACAAGAAAAGAAAAAAGAAAGAAGAAUCAUGGACCCCAGUUCCCAACAUCACACUAAUAACCUAAUUAACUAAACCAUAAUAUAUUCUUACUUAUUCACCUUAAUUAAUUAUUAUUAUAGUAAAAAGAAAGUGAUGUGGAAUAUAUACUAUGAUAUGACUCCUCAAUUCUUAUAGCUAGAUUUCUUCUUCAUUUUUUUUUAGGUUAAUCUUGUAAUAAUCGCACCCAGGUACAUGAAUCUGGAUAUUAAACUUUACACAAUAAUUAAGUUAAAUGAACCAUAUGGUUUAAAAUAAAUAAUUGAUAUAAUAUUGGGUUGGGAAAAAGGGGUAUUUAAUUUUCAUUAUUUUGUUUUGGAAGAAUAUGCAUUAUACUUCAAUACACAUAUUUUAAAAACCCGCCCCCUUUUUUAUAAUCAUUGUGUAAAUUAUUUUCCUUUUACCCAAAGAAUUCUCAAAUUGGUUCCUUCUUUUUUUUAUUUGUAUUUUAAAUUUGUUUUGGAUUAUUAAAGAAGUAUGCAGUAGGUUUUGAUGUUGGGUUUUAUUUCAAACUUGUAAAGUGACAAUGGAAGUCGAUCCUGUGUUUGGUUCAUGAUCCCAUUGUUAUUUUAAAAUUAUUUUUAAAAAGAAAUACUUAAAUAAAAAAUAAAAGUAAAUUCUAUUUUCAAACUAAUUGUCAAUUUGCAAUAGUAUCCAAUGUUUAUAAUUUUUUUAAAUAAGCUAUAUUUUUUAAAAAACUCUCUCUCUUUUUUUUUUUUUUGAAAAAAUAAGUAUACAAGAUUAUUUUCCUUGUUACUUGUUUUUGAAAACAUAAAAGUAAAAACGAAGGAUGAAGCAAUGCCUAAGUUUUCUAAAAGAAGUUAAAGUGGAUUGCCUUAGAAAUGGUCGAAAGGAAUUUGAGAAAAUCUUAACAGUGUUUGUUGUUUCGUAAAUUAAAGUGUUAAAUAAUUUGACAUAAUCACUUCUUAAUGGUAAAAGUGGAUAAUGGCAAAUUUUAGAUUCAGUUUUUCUAAAAAACUUAUAUAGAUUUUCAAAUAAUGUGUUUUUUGCAAGAACUAUAACAGAUCAAACUAUGACAAAAAAAAAAGAAAAAAAAAAGACCCACUAAAUUAAAGAACAAAAAUUAUGAUUUUAUUAAUACGAAAAAAUAAGGUAAAUUACAUCAAACCGCAAGAAAAAUUAGAAAAAAACAUGUUAAUAUCAUUUAAUAAUCAUUCCGUUUUCUAUUUUUAUUUUUGAAAAUGAACCCUACAUGUUAUAAAUGUAAACUUCAAUUUUUACCCAAAUUCCAAAAAUAAAAACAACUUUAUGGAAUUAAGUUAUAUUUUUUUUUAAUUUUUAAAAGAAUCUAAAAUCAUUUUAGGUGAUUCAUGGUAACUUGAGGAAGGAAUUUUAGACAAAUAUUUAUCAUUUUUGAUGGUUAUGUUUUGAGCAUUAUUUUAUUAAUUUCAUUUUUAAACACUAAGGGAAUGUUUGGAAUAAUGAGUGACUUAUAAUAGUAUGAGGAUUAUAAUAAUCUAAAAAUUAUAAUAGUCUACUCUUCAUGUACAAACUAUUAUAGUUUAUUUUAUUAUAAGCUACGUUUGGAAUGAAAACUAUUAUAAUCUAGGUUUUUUACUAUUCUUUUUUCGUCUACAUAUAUACUUUACAUGAAAUAAACAUUUUUCUUCAAUUGAUUUAUUAAAUCUUGUUAAUUAUGAUGUUAAUUUAAUAAAUUUAACUUCAAACUUGGGUUUUACUACUCUUUUUUGCCAUGCAUAUAUAUGGUACCUAAAUGUUAAAUUGAUAUUAUUAAAUCUUCUCAAUUAAAAUUCUCAUUUGAAAAAUUUUAUGGUUAAUCUCCACAAACUAAUUUUCUCAUAUCUUUAGAAAUUGAAUUUGAAAUUAGUUUAACCAUAUACCGAUACAAUUUGGCUAUGUAGUUAGUAACAAAGCAAGAUAAAAAAAAAAAAAAAAAAAAAAAAAAAAAAAACUACAAUUUGACAUCCAUCGUUGUCUAUCAUUGAUAGAAAGUGAAGACAACUAUUACUGUCUAUCUACCAAUGACAGAUAAUGAUAAAUUUGUCAGUACCGAUGAUAUAAUUGUUUUCAUAUAUUUUUGUGUAGGAAUACAUACUGCUUUCAAGAUGAAUGAAAAUGGGGAUUUUAAGUUUUGCUUCAUGGUUAUUGUUGACUCAGAAAAUGAUGCAUCCUAGAAAUGGUUUUUUGAAAAUAUACAUACUUGUUAGGAGGAACGUAAUCAUUUAGUCAUUAUCUCUACUAGGCAUUUGAGCAUUCCAAAUGGUGUUUUAAGUGUAUUUAAGGAUGUAGAGUACUGUGUUUGCUUGCAACGGGUUUUUAAAAAUUUGAAGAAGUGUUUAAGGGAUUCUUUGAUUGAUAGAUUUUACUUUAGUUGUGCUAACACUUAUACUUUUGAUAACUUUGAGUUCAACACGAGAUCUAUGGAGUUUAUUUAUCUAGAUAAUACGAAGUUAUUUUAGUAAUGUUGGAUUUGAGAGGUGGUCUCAAGCAUAUUCACGAAGAAGAAGACACGAUACGAUGACAACAUAUCCUUCAAAAAGUGUUAACUCAUUUUUUAAAGAGGAUAGAAACUUGCUUGUUGCAAGUUUACUUUAUGAAACUAAAGUGUUCGUGUAAAAGUGGUUUGAUGAUCAAAGAAAAGCUAGUUUGUCAAUUUUUUAACCUCUUGGGCUGAAAAUACCUUGCGCAAGCAACAUAAAGAAUUAAGAAGUUUUUUGGUAAGAGUUUUUUUUUUAUUAUUCUUUUUAUUUAGAUAUAUCAAAUUGAUGGAAGAAAGAAAGGCAUAGAAGUCUAUCACUAAUAACCAGUAAUAUAACUAUGAAUGUCUAUUUGUAAAUUUUGAUUUCAUUUUCUAUUUUCAUUUAUUAAGUUUAUACUAUCAACAAUGUUGAAUACAUUGUAAUGGUUGGUGAUAAACAAUUCAUAUUGAAGUUGAACUUGAGAUCUUGUAGCUGUCGAGUAUGGAAUUUCAAUGAGAUUCCUUGUUCUCAUGCACAUGUUGUUCUUCAAAUGCUUAACCUAGAUACUUAUUUCUAUGUGUUUGAUUAUUAUCAUUCACAAACAUCGUUGUCAACAUAUUUGGGUUGUGUGCGCCCAGUUGGAGUUCAUUCAAAUUGGAGGGUUGUAAAUGACAACAUUGGAGCUUUACCUCCUAUUUUAAACGUCCACCUAUAAGACCUAAAAAAUUAAGAAUCUCAUCAAUUGGUGAGUUUAUAGUAGUUCAAGAAGAUGUAGUAGUUGUCAUGGCAAGAGUCAUAAUUCUAGUACUUGCAAACUUCGUCAAAUUAAUCAAUGAUGCAAUCAUUAUAGUUGCAUUUUUAUGUUGUAUCGCUAAACGAAUUUAUAUUGAAAUUUAAUUAUGAUAAAACUAAAACUAAUUCGAAGCAAUUUGAAAUGCUUCACAAGGAUACAAAUCUCCCUUCAAUUUUCUACACACUCUAGAAUGCCAAUUAACACAAAAUAAAUAGGAACCCAAGAUACUGCUAUAUUCCAGGAAGGAAGGAAAGAUAAAGUCUUGAACCACCAAAUCUUUCUUUAAAAGAUAAUAUCUUGAGAUAAACAUUUAAUUAAAAGAAUAUCUUUUAUAUUAACUACAUUCUUUUAAUAAAAUAUUGACUUCAAAUAUGGAGGCCUUCUUUAAAAUAAACUCCGAACAAAUAUUUUGUACUUUCAAAGAUGGACCCACAAAUAUUCUAACAAACUCUCCUUUGGGAUCGACUUCAUUUAUUUGUUCAGACAUGCAAACCAAGAAGGCAAUAGAACUCAGAACACCAUGAAACAAAUAUCUCAUAGGAUUUCAUUUCAUAUUAAAGAGUGGACAAUACAAUCGAGAAUACCAGAACUAGCCACUCAAGAAGCAUACACAAAAAUUUUAGAGAAAACAACUAACAACAAAAAUGUUUUUCCAUCUAUCACAUCAUAUCAACACUCCCUCUUGCAUGCUGACUAAUAACUAAGAAGCAGGCAGUGAAGAAUGAGAGGGGUCUUGAGAGCGAGUAAGCAAUGAACGCACAACGUUAAGCACAAAGUCAAUAGCAGCACGUUGGCCAGUCAUAUCGAAGAUAACUCCUUGAAGAUUUUGGAUAGAAAUACUUAGAGAACGAGUCUCUUCUGACAGAAGUUGUACAACUCUUGUAGCAAAAAACACAAGAAAAAUGAAGACCAUUCAAGGGAAUUCUGUGAGAAGAAACAAAAGACUAAGAUCUUGAGCGAGGAGACCAAAAAGUUGCUUGAAGGUCUUGUACAUGGGAACCUUGAAAGAGCUCAUAACAGAUAGCUAAAAACUUUGAAGCAGACCCCAUUAUAUCUGAUUCAAUGAGAAUAUCAAAAUGUUGAGACAUAAGAAAAAUAGAUAACAGUUAAGGAAAGAACAUAGUAAUGUUUAUUCCAUAAGUAACAACAUGUUGAAAAACAAGAUCUUCAACAUCAACUUUCGCUCAUGUUCCAAUCAAGUAGAUCAAAAUUUCCAGAGAAAUAGAUACUUUAGCUAAAUGAGUUUACGAAUAACAAUUUGAAAUGCCAGUUUUGUGAAGAAUAGCAUACUUCACACUUAAUUUUGUAGCAGGAAACUAACCAUCAGAAGACCAUGAGAGAACUGUACCACUAGAGGGCUCCAAAUCUAAAUGAAUCUUACAAAAUUCUAAAGUUAGAGGAUUAUUUAAAUCAGUACGUAAAUUAACAAUGAACUCCUUAAUAAGCUUAGGGUAGAAAACCCCAACAUUUGUAAUAAUGGAUAAUAUAUCAGCCUUGGAGACAAGCUCAUUAACAGAAGUGCACGAACAGUAUUGAUUUGAAAUGAAAAACUCAUCUGGAAUGUAGCUUUGCACCACAUAAUUUCAAUUGAAAACACAGUCUUUUGAGUGAAACGAUAUCCCAUCUAUUGGGGCACUUGUGGAACAUUGGAUGAGCGCUUGCGUCUCCCAGCCUUUGUAGUGACCACUUUUUGUCCUUUGGUAGGAGGACGAUAACUAGAUCUAGCACAAGGAUUCAUAGGCAUAAAUUCAGUGACAGGAGGACCAAGCGACAUUCAAGAUGGAGGAGGAUGAUCAGAAGUAGGUCCGUGCAACAUCAGAAGGAGCGGUGGAAUCAGAAACCAUAACAAAUUCAACAACUGGUACAUUUGAAGAAGUACCCUGUGGAACAUUAGUAUCACGACCAAAUUCCUUAACCAAAUCUUUAAUACCAAUAUCUACAAAAGAAGUAACUUUCGACGAAGUUUUGGAAUUUGCAGGAGUAGUAGUAACAUUUUGAGAAUAAGGUAGAUUAGAGUUAUACGUUCCAUCAUCAGAUCGUUCAAAACAAAUAUUACCAAUCAGCUUGUUAUAUAGUUCAUUAGCAGCAAAAAUCUUCUCAGUUCUAGAUUUCUUAUUAGACUCAGAAAUAAUUUUCUUAGGUACAAAAAAGGAAUUGCAAGAAACUUUACGACAUUAUCAUCAUCAUCAUCAUCAGAAAAUUCACAAUCAAUAUUACUAGUUUCUAUGAACACAUAUUUAGGAACUUGAGCCAUAUUCUUCCAUUUAGAUUGAGAAAGAAAGGAAAAAAAGAAAUAAAGAAAAAGAAAAAUAUUUUAUUUAAUUUUAUGAAAUAUGAAAAUAAAAACAUCAAAAUUGUACUCCCUCAAAUAGCAAAAUUGUCCCAACAAAAAACUAUUAUUCUCCCAGAAGGACAAAAAAAUAAAUAAAAUGAAGAAGAAACAGAGGCAUUCUUAUGAAUAGUCAAAUAAUGAAAUUAUUUAUAAAAUAAAGUAAAAUUUAUCUAACCUUUUUAGAG
rnacentral:lncRNA from 1 species